rnacentral:lncRNA from 1 species
GUGUCUUUUUUUUGUAGUGCACAUUUUGAACCAAGUUGGUCUGACAGAGUUUAACCAUUCGGUCCCACCGAGUUUGGGAAUUUGUGUGUAACGGUUAGAUUUUGUGUGGAGGCUAUAUAUACCCCUCCACCCCCUUCUCCAUUUGUGAGAGAGCCAUCAGAACGUGCCUACACCCCCACUACUCAUUUUUUGAGAGAGAACCACCUACUCAUGUGUUGAGACCAAGACAUUUCAAUCCAACCACAAGAAUCUUGAUCUCUAGCCUUCCCCAAGUUGCUUUCCACUCAAAUCAUCUUUCCACCAUAGCCAAAUCUAUGUGAGAAAGUUGAGUGUUAGGGAGACUAUCAUUUGAAGCACAAGAGCAAGGAGUUCACCAUCAACAAACCAUCUAUUACCUUUUGGAGAGUGGUGUCUCCUAGAUUGGUUAGGUGUCACUUGGGAGCCUUGGUCAAGAUUGUGGAGUUGAACCAAGGAGUUUGUAAGGGCAAGAAGAUCGCCUACUUCGUGAAGAUCUACCCUAGUGAGGCAAGUCCUUCAUGGGCGAUGGCCAUGGUGGGAUAGACAAGGUUGCUUCUUCGUGGACCCAUCAUGGGUGGAGCCCUUCGUGGACUCGCGUAACCGUUACCCUUCAUGGGUUGAAGUCUCCAUCAACGUGGAUGUACGAUAGCACCACCUAUCGGAACCAUGCCAAAAAUCUUCGUGUCUACAUUGCUUUUGCUCCCUCCAAAGUCCUCUGUUUACCUUCAUAUGCAAUGAUUUACAUUCCGCUCCUAUACUCUUGGAAUUGCAUGUGUAGAUUGUUUGCUUGACUAAGUGCUAAGUUGCUAAAAUCUGCCAAGACUUAAAAUUGGGAAAAGGCUAGACUUUUAUUUGGUCAAGUAGUAUAAUCACCCCCCUCUAGACAUACUUUCGAUCCUACAAGUGGUAUCAGAGCUUUGGUCUCCAUUUGCCUUGAUUUCCAUUGCUUUGGUGAUCAUAGCCUUGGUUUCACAACCUAGGAGAGUAUGACGUCUAGUGAGGGAAAUUACCACCGUAGAGGUCCUUACUUUGAUGGCACUAAUUUUGCUAGUUGGAAGCAUAAGGUGAAAAUGCAUAUUCUUGGACAUAACCCCGCCGUUUGGUUUAUUGUGUGCAUUGGUUUGCAAGGUGAAUUCUUCGAUGGGAGAGAACCAAAUCGUGAAGCAACUGCAGAAGACUAGAAGAUGUUGCAAUACAACGCUCAAGCUUGCGAUAUCCUCUUCAAUGGAUUGUGCCCCAAAGAAUUCAACAAAAUCAGCCGUCUUGCGAAUGCAAAGGAAAUUUGGGAUACUUUGAUUGAUAUGCACGAAGGUACCGAGUCAGUCAAGGAAUCCAAGUUGGAUGUGCUUCAAAGUCAACUUGACAAGUUCAAAAUGAAGGAUGGUGAAGGUGUCGCUGAAAUGUACUCUAGGCUUGAUCUCAUCACAAAUGGGAUUGUCGUCUUAUGAAGUGAAGAGAUGACUGACAUAUUCAUCAUCAAGAAGAUCCUAAGAGAAUUGGAUGGAAAAUAUGAUACCGUGUGCAUAUUGAUCAAAAUGAUGCCCAAUUACAAAGAUCUCAAGCCAACGGAAGUCAUUGGAAGAACUGUUGCUCAUGAGAUGUCACUCAAGGAUAAAGAAGAGCUUCACAACAAGUCUAGUGGUGCACAUAAAGCCUCAUGUGAUGCUCCUGCAACAUUCAAGUGAAAAACAAGUCUUCAAUGAGGAAUUGAGCUUAAUGGUUAAGAACUUCAACAAAUUCUACAAGAGUAGAAGCAAAGAGAGAAGCUCCAAGUCAAGAUCCUACCAUGACAAAAGAUCUUCUAGUCGUGAGUGAAAUUACUACAAUUGUGGAAGACCCGCAAACUACUCUAAUGAGUGUACGGCUCCCUAGAAAAGAAGAGAAGACUCACCUAAAAGAAGUAGAAGAGAAGAAUCACCUCCAAGAGAGAGAAGGAGUAUAGAUGAUCGUUAUGAACGAAGAACCUCUCGCAGAAGCAAGGAUUCGGAAAGGAAGGACAAGUCAUCAAAGAGCUACACAAAAGAAAGACAUCAAGCUCAUGUUGGUGAAUGGGUAUCCGGUUCUGACUCCGACCACCACUCCAAGAGAAGUUAUCACUCCGACUCCGAAUAUACUCAAGAUGAGGGUGUUGUCGAUCUUGCACUUGUGUCAACCAACUCCUAUGACAUAUUUGAGUCACCAAAUGAAGGAAUUGGAAGAUGCUUCAUGGCUAAAGGCCCCAAGGUACCACACCCCGAGUAUUUUGAUUUCAACAGUGAUGAAGAUGACUUGCUAGGUGAUGAUGAUUUACUUGUUGACAAUGCUAGUGAUGAAAACUAUGAUGAAAUUGCUAUUAAUCAUGCUAAACAAGAUGAAACGAAUGAUAAUGAUAAGAAGGAGAUUGAGCGUCUAACUAAAGAACUAAACACUCUUAAGUUAUCUCAUGAAACUACUUUAGAAGAUCAUCGAGAACUUUUAAAAACUCAUGAGAAGCUACGCUUCGAGAAGCUCAACCUAGAGAAAGAACAUGGGUCCUUAAAAGCCAUCAAUGAUGAUCUUCGGAAGAAAAGUUCUUCUUACAUUGCCAAGCGUUUACUCUUGUCUACUUACAUGCCACAAGUAAAAUCUAGCAACAAGAGUAAGAAGAUUCUUCUUCUAGUAGUAACAAUAAUCAUGCUAAAUCCAAUAUUGUUGCUUCUAGUAGUUCUCUUGAUUCCACUAAUGAUUCUCUUAGCCAAGGUACACUUGAGCAAGAAAAUAGCUUAUUGAAGGGAAUUAUAGAGGAAGGUGUUUACAACAGCCUUGCCAGAAAUAAGCAAUUUGAGGAAAUUGUAUGCAAGCAAGGAAGGCACCAGAAGAAUCAAGGUGUUGGUUUUGGAUGGAAGUUCAAUGCCAAUGGAUUUGAGUGGGAAGAAGAUCAAUACCCCAAGACAGAGUUUGUUCCUCAACAAGAGAAGUAUGAUCCUACUUCCUUUAAGGGGACACAAGCUCAAGAUGAUCUUCCACCACAAGACCACAAGCUAAAAGGCAAGGACAAGCUUCAAGAGGAAAUUGGUGCAUUUGAAGAAGCUCCAAAGGCCUUGGUCAAGUGGUUUCCCAAGUCCACCUCAAGUUUUACUUCAUCAAGUACAUCUACAACCCCAAGGAUUCCCAUCAAGAUGAUGUGGAUCCCGAAGAAGAAGAACUAGAGAGUUCUUGAGGGUGACUUCGCCAACAUACUUCACUAAUAUUCAUAUUGGCAAGAACAAGUGCAAUCAACUUCCACAUCUUGCACUAGUUCAAGGAGUCACAAACUCUCUUAUUAAUAAGUCAAGGGACAAGGUAACCUAAUGUUUUCAUGGACGUCAUCGUGUAUGUACUUCACUCUAUCUCUAUGGAUACUAGUAGACUGCCCGUGUGUUGCCACGGGCUCUUGAAAUAGUUUGCAAGAGUUACAUGUUAACUUUCUAAGGCCUCACGCCGCCGUAGAUCCAGACCCCCGCCACUGAUUCCACCCCGCAUAGGCCGCCGCCUGCCGCCGUGCUGCCCCAUCACGUUCGCCUCCGCCCGGCCGCCGCGACCCUGCCCGCCUCCUCUCCGACCGCCUCCGCCUCCUGUCCAUCCUCCGCCCGGCCCCGCUUCAUCCGCCUCCUCUCCGGCCAUGCUCCGUCCGCCUCCUCUCCGGUCCGUCCGCCACCCCACUUCGUCUGCUUUCGCCCCGAGCCGCACGCCGCCGCCCCGCUCCGUCCGCCUCUGCCCCACACUGCACGUCGCCGCCCCGCUCCCCACUCGGCCGCCGCCUGCUCCCCGAUGGCGCCAAAGAAGACGCCAAAGGGAAAGUCCGGUUUCUUCGGCAUGAGGGCGAAGCCCUCCGGGAACUUCGGACUGGAGUUCUCUGACGCCAGGCAGCGUUGGUGGCUCGGCACGUAUCCCACUGUCGAUGAGGCUGCUCGUGCCUACGACGUGGCGGUGUGGCGUGCCGGUGGGCCGAAGACGGACCUAAACUUCCCGGAGGUCGAGUCCCAGCCGGUGGCGGAGUGGCUCGUGCCGCAGGGCAUCCAGAUGGAGGAGAUGCCGGCUAAGAAGGCGAAGAAGAGACAGGCGGUGUCGCUCCCGACGAGAGCGACGAGGCGGCGAUGGCUUGGUUUGCGCGAUUUGCAAUUUGUUGCAAAGCCAUCUCUAAUGAAAUGCUAUUUGCUACAUUUUUAAAUAGGAAAAUUAUUCCAAUCAGCUAGCAAUAACUCAACAGACCAAUCUCUAAUGAAAUGCUAUUUGCUACAUUUUUUAAAUAGAAAAAUUAUUUCGAUCAGCCAGCCAUAACUCAACAGACCAAUCUGAACCCACAUUUUCUAAAGUAAAGAAAUUAUUUCCCUUGAUAGAUCAAGAUGCCAAAGUGUCAUUUGCCCGACUGCUAUGUUCCUACACACACAGAGCAAAUUAUUUUUCAAAUCAAGGAAUUAAGAAAAGGAAGAAUAUCAUGAUGUCCAUGGCACUUGCCAGGUCUGCCAUGCUACCGUGGCAUCGUCUUUGUAGUCUCUACCCACAUGUCGAGUUGAGAAAUAAUCUUCAGAUAUACCCACUGCUAACACACUCGCGUACAUAAUGUCCCUUGGCUGAUUGAUUUGGCUGACUAUUAACACAAGCACACAACACACAAAAUCAGUCAAUGGCCAUAUGUAUGCAUUUUUUUACUUUAUUCCAAUUGUGAUGCAAUCGUGACACCUACUCGCCCCGUCCGCUCACCCGUCACGGUAAUUGCCACUGGUGCCAACCGCUCGACCUCGCCACCGCCACUCACCACUCAGUCUCCACCGGCUGCCCAUUGCCUCUUGCGCCACCCGUGCGCUCGCUCGGCUCAAUGUUGUUGAUUGGAAUGCGGGACUGAAGGUAAUCCAUGGACAGGUUUUAGUUUUGCUUGCAUCAAUCUUCGGUACUUGUCUAUCCAUCUAACGCACAAAAAAUCGACUCUCUGACAUAAAAGUGAUCUAACUCUAUUGAUGAGCACGACAGUACAUACCAUCCCAUCAUGAUGUUGCCAUCUCUCACACUUGAUGAUUACAUCUUGUUAUUUCUAACAUGUACACCAUCGGGCCAUUGCUUUAUUAGAAAUAUAUUUACACAAUAUGAUGAGAGCAACAUCAAGGAGUCGGAUGCUGGUGCACAGAUUCUCCUCAAAUUCCACAUGCAACCCUUGUAGAGAAGAAUGACAUAUUUUUCUUAGGUGAUUUUUGACCGAGCUCCUACAGAAAAAUUCAAACAAAUCAUGAGGAGCAUGGAGCCAAGCAAACUAAUCAGAGUAAAUCAUGAGAGGAGAAGCCUCUCAACCUACUACAGGGAAUCGAGUCAACAUUAAUUCGUGUAAGAAUUAAACCGUAAUGUAGAUCAACAACCCAGUAGUUGAUAAAAUAACCCUGACACAACCCAUUAAUACAAUAUAUGGUCACAGGAAGUAGAUUGAGAUUGUGCAGAUAUCAUGAUCUACGAACCGUAUCUACGAAUAUUGAUUGCAAAGUCACAAAUAGAACCUCCUCACAUCACAAAACAAAUGUUUCAUCAACAGAAACUCUAGCGAAUGCCAAUUGGAUUAUAUAAGUAAGAUAGAGACAUCGAAAAAAAGAAAAGAUAAUUCAAAGAGUAUAUAUUCUAUUUUAUUACUUGACAUCACAGAGAAUGCAAGUCAAAGAUAUUGCGAUACAUCUUACACUUCUAUAAAUUGACUGCAAGGCACAACCCCUAGCAAAAUAUACAGAAUGAAUUGCUCCUGUGAUCCAAGUAUUGCAUAAAUAGUUGUAUACAGACUAUUCAAUAGUGAGCAUAAACAUGGCAUGUACUAACAAAAUCCCUUUGCAAUGGAGCUUAGUCUGCAUGUCUAUCCGUCUUUUUGUAAAUCAGUUGUGGCCAAGAUGUGCUGACAGCUCACAAGCCUCUCCCCGUUUACCAAUAAAACCAAAGCAGCUCAAAGCAAAAAAAAGAACAUAGAUAUAUGAACCUGAUGCAAUUGCUUGUAACUCCAGAGUGUUGGUAGAGUCGAGAAGAGAACACUCAGCCAAUGUUACAGCAGAUCGAUCUGUAGUCUUUGUUAGGGACGGCACCAUCAUUAGAGGUCCCAAUUGUAAAUCAAUCUGCAAGAGAUGGAGAUGCAACUGGAAGCUUACGGAUUUGAUGCAUUAAAACAGCCAUGGCCCAUGGGCAGAGGAGAAGUGACGGCAGCUGGGGAUCUGACGUGUCACAGACAGCAUGGGUAGAGGAGAGGCGGCGGCAGAUCAAGCCUUGGGCGUGGCAGGCGGAAGCACACUCACCCCUAUUGCACCCUUCCUACUUCCCCGUCCUUCUUCUCCUACCUCUCCUCCUCCCUGGAUCCUCCUAUGUCUCUCUUUUCUACAAGAAAAAUCGAAGCCCCGCCAUGACCUUGAGCUCCCCCUACCAACCAUAGAAAUUAGAUAUUUCCUAAUUGUUUGCAUAAAAAACAUACUGGCUGCAAGAGAAUGAAAGACUAACCUAUUGAUGAGCACAACAGUACAUACCAUCCCAUUAUGAUGUUGCCAUCUCUCACACUUGAUGAUUACAUCUUUUUAUUUCUAACAUGUACACCACCGGGCGAUUGCUUUAUUAGAAAUAUAUUUACACAAUAUGAUCAGAGCAACAUCAAGGAGUCGGAUGCUGGUGCACAGAUUCUCCUCAAAUUCCACAAGCUGAAAUUGAAGAGAAAACUGAAAGAAAGCUAUUAGUAACACCAAUUUAACCAGACACACCACACCACUAAUGACAAAAUAAAAAUUUAGAAGUUCCUAAAGAGGCCUUAUAUAUAAGAAGUGCAAGAUAGUGAUGAAACUACCAAAGCCACCAGAUCUUAGUACAGAUUAGUUAAGUAGACACUACUAUUUAGUAAGGAUGAACUAUAUUAUGGAUUUGAUUGGAAUAAGAAAAUAUCCUAUAAUAGCAUAUUAUACAAAGGCACAUAAAACAAUAAAGAGAAGUAAAAGUGGUAGUGAUGAACUUAUAAUAAUAAUAAUAAAUAGAUAGCACAUGACUCUUUUUAUACGACUUAUCAGCAGAAUCAGUGAGCCACAAUGGAGUUUUCUUGGGCUCAGGCUUUCUGCACACUGCCAUAUAGACCAAGUCAAACAUGGGUGGGCGGCCAAGAAUGUUGGGUUAUAGUUUUACAGAUAAAGAGAGGAGAAAUCACUUUGGCCUAUGAGCACAUCAUAAGAGAAGGCAACAUCACACACACAUAAGUACUUGUAACUGAAUUUAAGGAGGGCACAAUAUGUUGACAUAGGUGUGCCUACCAAAAAGAAAUGUCUAAAUGAAGAAAAAUCAAGUGUUUAGUAAUAUAAUACUACAAUGAUGAUGCAGACUAAAGUCUAAAUCAUCAAUGGUAAAUCCAUGGCACACAAAAAUUCUUCUCCAUAAUUGAUUUGCUCUCUUCAUCCAAAUGCCCAAACUCAUCACAACAUAGCAAAAUAGCCUGAAUGGAAUAAACCAUAUCUGAACCAUCAUAUGCAAUACACGAACCAUGUACUGAACUUAAUUGAUGUAUUACUACUGAACAUAGCAGAUUAGUCUCUAUGUGCAUGUAUUACUAAUUUACAGCUGAGCAGCCACUCUAAUGUAAUGAACUUAAGAACUGUUUGUUCCUCUUAAGCAACCCUGCAGUUUUCAUGAAAACUUUGGUUGUAGUGGUCCUAAAAUCACAGAUACAUGUACCUCUACAUCCACUUGGAGCUUCUUUGCAGCUUCCUCUCUAUGUUGCUAGACCAAUCUGCAGAUAAAAAAGGAUAAGGUAAAUAAUUGUUGUUUUAUUUGCCAAUAAUCAAACAACUAUGAUAUAGUAAGAAAAAAGUUAGUGGAGGUAUGGGAAGGACAAGUAGUUCUACUACACACAGAUGAUUAGGGGUCAGAGGGAAUUCAAGAUAAACCAAGACAAACUUCAAAAUUUAGUCCUAUAGUUGAACAUCAAAUUCAAAGCAAACGGGGAAGAAUCAAUGGGUCAGGGGUAAGGAUGCAACUGUGUGGGGGGGGGACAGCCCACUAAGCCGCUGCGCCGUCCCAUGAAGAAAACCCGCAAAACGGCGCCGGACCAACCACAUCAUGUCAAGCGGUCUCAAAUAGUCCAACCGCUUUGUCCAGCGGACGUCGCACAGUCUCGUGUAUCCUGCGAAAGGGAGAAAACUCUCCUGAGAAUUCCUGUCCUUCUCGACGCGAUAGAGGUGCGCGACUGUAUUGUAUAACAGGCUCAUCCAGUGUCCACAUUUCCCUAUGUGCAGUAGAAGAUAAAACUGAAUCAAAUCGAAGGUUCCCGUGCAUUGCAACUGGAUGACAAAAUAGACACAUGUGUAUACUUUGAUAAAAGAGAGUGUCAGUGUCAAAACCGGCGGAUCUCAGGUAGGGGGUCUCGAACUGUGCGUCUAGGCGGAUGGUAACAGGAGACAAGGGACACGAUGUUUUACCCAGGUUCGGGCCCUCUUGAUGGAGAUAAAACCCUACGUCCUGCUUGAUUAAUAUUGAUGAUAUGGGUAGUACAAGAGUGGAUCUACCACGAGAUCAAGGAGGCUAAACCCUAAAGCUAGCCUAUGGUAUGAUUGUUGUAAUGUAUGUUGUGUCCUACGGACUAAAGCCCUCCGGUUUAUAUAGACACCGGAGGAGGCUAGGGUUACACAGAGUCGGUUACAAUGGUAGGAGAUCUACAUAUCCGUAUCGCCAAGCUUGCCUUCCACGCCAAGGAAAGUCCCAUCCGGACACGGGACGGAGUCUUCAAUCUUGUAUCUUCGUAGUCUUGGAGUCUGGCGGAUGAUGAUAGUCCGGCUGUCCGGACACCCCCUAGUCCAGGACUCCCUCAGUAGCCCCCGAACCAGGCUUCAAUGACGAUAAGUCCAGCGCGUAUAUAGUCUUCGGCGUUGCAAGGCGGGUUCUCCCUUCAAGUUCCAUGUACCUGCCGAACAGUGUCCGGCUUCAUUAUAAAUACCGUGCUUCUUGGCUUCUACGCCCAAUAAUGGCCCUCCUCCAUGCGUCGCACGAAUGCGAAAAGCCAGGGUGUCUUUUUAUGUUUCACCCCCUAGUCGUGCGAGUCAUCCGCCUACAAAAGAGGCAAAAAUCCAGAUCCAAACCACACCAUCUUCCUUCCACGAAUACUCAUCGGAGCGCUUUUGACCUAAAAAUCCAUUCCAUCAUGGACCGUCGACGCGGCUCCUCUUCUCGCACUCCCAGCCCACAACCUGGAGAUUGGAAGAGGUGCUCUGUUACACACGACGAGCUAGUAAAGCUCCAAGCGGGGGGAUAUCUCCCUCCGGCCUUCAUGGUCCCGGUUCGAGCCGGGCUAGCCACCUACCAAGGUGGGAAGCAAGCGGAGGCUACCCCAAGUCCCAACAAAGGGGAGCGGGUAUGCUUCGUCCCCUAUCUGAUAAGUGGACUCGGAUUUCCAAUUCAUCCGUUCCUCCGCGGGCUCCUAGAGUUCUACGGACUCCAGCUCCAUCACCUUACGCCCGCCUCUGUCCUGCAUAUCGCGGGCUACGUAGCUCUUUGCGAGCUAUUCCUGGGCAUUGAGCCCCAUUUUGCACUGUGGAAGAGGCUGUUCUGCCUCGUGCCCCGUUCUCACGAGGGAUCUAUAUAUCAAGUGGGCGGCGCCGAAAUAUGGCGCAUUGCUGGGACCGGAUACCCAUCCGAUACCCCUAAGAAGGCGUCCGAAGACUGGCCUUCGGAGUGGUUUUAUAUAGAAGACGCUCCGCUGCCAGACCCAGUCCGGAUUGGCCUCCCGGAGUUUAGUGCUGCUCCUCUGAAGAAACGCCUCAGCUGGCGACCGCGGAGCCCCCGAUUGGAGGAAGACAAGAGCGUCCAUUACCUGAUGGGCCGAAUAAGAUUACUGGCCCAUUCCGGGUUGACCAUGAUUGGAGUCAUGACAACAUGCAUCAUGCGGGGGGUACAGCCAUUGCAAUACAGAGGCCACCCCAUGUGGGAUUUCAACGGGGAAGACGAUGCCACCCGUCAUGGCCGCGAAGGGCCGGAUUUGACCGAGGAUCUGGUGGAGAUCCUGUCCGGCCUGUACAAGGGGGAGAAGGAGGACUUCCUUCGAACGAACCCCUUGAAUGGGUUUUCCAUGAACAACCCCAGAGGCUGGGUAAGCGAACACUUUUAGGGGUUCAACCCAUGCUUUCGAAGUUUAGGCUUCUUACAUUAUGUCUUCGGCGCAGGAUCUACGCCGGACUGUGGAGGACAUGGUAAGUCCCGCUCCUCAACCCGAGGAUCCAGAAAGAUCCCGAGAUCCGGCCUCCGAAGAGGAUCCGGACAUCAAGGUGGAGCUGAUCGACGGGGUGUUUUACCAGCUUAGCAUGGACAAUGCUUUGGUCGCCAUUACGGCGGACUACCCCGGAUUAUAUCCGGCUUCCCAGGUGAUUGUGACCGAGGUUCGAACACCAUUAUCUCUUCCUUGCCCAUUUCUGACCUUCAUGAACGAUGGUGUUUUACAGGAAGCACCUUCAAGGCGGGAAGCCGAGCCCGCGGCGGCUGACCAACAAAGGUCAGUCCGGACCAGCAGGCGGAAAAGGAGCGCGGUACGGACUGAGACAUCGCCGCAAAGGUAUAGCUCGUAUUUUGAAUAUCCAGAGCAACGUUCCUAGGAAGCGUCUGAGUGCUCAAUAUCCUUUAUAGGAGAAAAAGCGCCCACCGAACUGCGGGCAUAGAGGUUGCCAAUCCAGCCUAUACCAGCCAGGCUCCAGCGCCUGGUCAGGAGGGGGAGGCAAGCGCAAGGCGCGGGCCGGAUACUCCUCCGACGGAGGAUGCCGACCGACUGUCCGCCACCAAGUCUGAGGUGGAGAGCGCCAUGAACCACAGGCGCCGCCGGACAGUAUUUCGUGAAGCGUGCUUCUCCCCUGAGGCAUUGGACGCCUUUAACGCAGGGGACGCGCACCUCCGUGCUGCUCAAGACGGUUUUACCAGAGCCACGGAGCAGUAUGUAAAAGAUAUACGGGUAAGGGAAUUUUAAUGGUUAUAUAUACCAGUAGCCCCCGAGACUUAAAGUAGUUAUGUUAACUGAUUUAAGGAUCAUUUGAAACGCAGGCUCUUACCGAGAAGAAUACCCAGCUGUCUCAGGAGCUGCAAGAAUGCAAGGCCCAACUUGAGGCCGCGCUUGCUGCCGCAGGAGGAAACGCAGAGGCCCCUCCUGGUAACACAUUUUUAUUAAUAAAUAUAAGCGAUGUGCGGCGUGCGCACAAGUCUAAUAAUGACAUUGCAGGUGCCGCCGGACAAGAUCUAGACAGGCAAGUAUUACUGCGCCAGCUAAAGGCCGGCGAGAGUGUGCUGAAUAGGGUGCAGCAAGAAAGGAACAGGCUCCAGGAUGCCAACGCCAAGCUCGGAGAAGAGCUGAAAGGCGCUCGAGCCGAGCUGUCCGGCUCCGUUAAGGAGAAUCAGCGGCUUCGCCGCGGCAUUUAUAGUAAGUGCUUGAGCGGACUCCUUUAAAAAGAAGAGUUCGGCGAAGAAGCAAAUUGACAUAGUAUGACUUGUAGGUAUACUCACAGGUCGCCCUGCGGAGGAGAUGCCCAUAUCAACGGGUGAUCAACUUCCCGAGCUGUUGCAGCUGCUCGAACGAGUUCGGCAGGCAAUGAGCAGCGUCGUCCAGGCUUUAUGGCCUGCUCUCUCCCUACCCGAAGGCCUUAGGGAGCUUGCGGAGAAGCUUCAGGGAGUGCGGCAGCGCUUCCGUUUGUGGAAGAUUUCGGCUUGCCAUUAAGGUGCCAGGGAGGCUUGGGCCAUGGUGAAGACGCGUUACAAGAAGGCGGAUCCCAACCACAUGGCCGAAGUUGGACCUGUGGGGCCCGAUGGGAAGGAGAUCCCUGUGAGUUUAGUAUACAGCCAGGUAGAGUUGGCUGCUAAAUUUUCCCAACGGGACUGUAAAUUAGACAGACUGUUAGAUGGGAUUGAGGAGGAAUACAAUCAGUAAAUUUGACAAUGUAUUUGUUUUAAAAUGACAUGUGAAAUGCCUUCUAGCCGGAUUGUAGAUCGUUUGUCUUUGCCGACCUUUUCGCUUCAACCUCGGGACCCUAGAGUCCGGAGUGUGUCCGAAUACCUUUUUUGGUUAAGAAACAACCGGGGUAUGCAUGGAGACCAGGCGUAGGGGUCAUUAGUGCUUUAUCAGACAAGUGCCCAACUAGUUAUGUUAUAUUACAUGGUUAGUAAGAAACAUCUUCCAGGGAGAAUAGUUCCGUUAAGGGUUCCUUUCCUUGGGAGGCAUGCCCUAAAGUGCAUGUCCGGACUGCGAAAAAAGCAGGAAAACAUCUGGGGGCAGAUAAAUAAAUAGGUAAAAAAAUCAUCUUUCAAGUCACCGACCGAAUAUUCCCUUAAGAACGCUAGCUUUCGGCUUCACCCAGUCUGAGGUACACAUCCGGCUGACCCGGCAGUAACAAUCACAGAGGUGCUCCCUUUACCUCCUAGCCGAACAAUCGGGAACGUAGGGGUAAGCACAGGAGCCAGGCAACCCAGCUUGGCCAAAACUUAAGUCAUAUCGAUGCAUAUAAUGGUGAGUGAAAGGUACAUGUGGAAGCUUGACACAUGUGCUGGGCAUGAAGCCCUUAUAAUUGAGCUUCUGGAAAAUAAGCCCCCAGGUAUAAUGAGUGCGGAUGGCACAUCAAGUGUACGCAAACAAUGCGGAAGUAGGCCCGCAAGGGCUUUUUAGUAAAAAGGUUAGGGGAAGAAAGAGAAACAAAAGACAGCUGGAGUGUAAAAAUUUGAACGGAGGAAGGGGACGAACUCUUAGUCCGGCGCUAGGCAUAGAAUCUUCGGAGGCGGGCUGCGUUCCAUGGGUUCGGCUCGAGUCGGUUGUCCGACGCAUUUCGUAGACGGUACGCUCCGCCAGUCAGGACUUGAUCGAUAAUGAAGGGACCCUCCCAUUUGGGCUUGAGCUUGUCCUUUUUCUUGUCCGGCAGGCGUAGAACUAGUUCGCCAAUGUUGUAAGUCUUGGCCCGUACUUCUCUGCUUUGAUAUCUUCAGGCCUGCUGCUGAUAGAAUGCGGAACGAGCCUUGGCGACGUCGUGUUCCUCCUCCAAUGUAUCCAAGCUGUCCUGCCGAUCCAGCUCGGUCUCUCUUUCUUCGUACAUGCGCACUCGAGGUGAGUCAUGAAUAAUGUCGCAGGGCAGAACUGCCUCUGCGCCGUAUACCAUAAAAAAUGGUGUGAAUCCGGUAGUACGGUUAGGCAUUGUCCGUAGCCCCCAGAGUACGGAGUCGAGCUCCUCAACCCAGUGCGUGUCAGAUUUAGUAAGUGACCGCACUAGUCUGGGUUUAAUGCCGCUCAUUAUUAGACCAUUUGCUCGUUCCACUUGACCGUUGGUUUGAGGGUGAUAGACUGAAGCGUAGUCGAGCUUGAUGCCCAUAUUUUUGCACCAUGACUUAACCUCAUCGGCCGUGAAGUUCGUGCUGUUGUCGGUGAUGAUGCUGUGGGGGACUCCGUAACGGUGUACUACCCCGGAUGUAAAGUCUAUCACUGGUCCGGACUCUGCCGUUUUGACCGGUUUGGCCUUUAUCCAUUUGGUGAAUUUAUCCACCAUGACCAAUAGGUUCCUUUGCUUGUGGGUUCCCCCUUUAAGGGGUCCAACCAUAUCAAGCCCCCAGACCGCGAACGGCCAGGUAAUGGGUAUAGUUUUGAGGGCGGUGGGCGGCAUAUGGCUCUGAUUAGCAAAGAGCUGACAACCUACGCAUCUCUGGACUAAGUCCUGGGCAUCUUCCCGGGCCGUCGGCCAAUAAAAUCCUGUACGGAAUGCCUUUCCUACAAGGGCCCGGGCUGCUGCGUGGUGUCCGCCUAGUCCGGCAUGAAUUUCAGCCAGGAGGUUUCGCCCCUCCUCUUCGGAGAUACACCUUUGAAGGACUCCGGUUGUACUUUUCUUAUAAAGUUCUCCCUCAUGGACCUUGUAGGCCUUCGAUCGCCGGACUAUGCAGCAGGCCUCAUUUUGGUCUUCGGGAAGUUCCUGUCUAAGCAGAUAGGCUAGGAAUGGUUCCAUCCACGGGGCAAUUACUGCCAUUAUGUCGUGGGCUGAAGGUGUUAUGUCAUCGGCUGAAUCGCCGGUUGGCGCGGUUGUUUCCGGUUUGUCAUUUCCGGAUUCCUCUUUGCAUAGUACGGAUGGCUUGAAGAGCCGUUCCAGGAAGAUAUUUGGAGGGUCAUCAUCACGUUUCACACCGAUGCGUGCCAGUACAUCGGCCGCUUGGUUGUUAUCUCGGGCUAUGUGAUGGCAUCGAGUCCUUUAAACCGAGCUGACAUUUUUAGGACAGCGUUGCGAUAUGCUGCCAUUUUCGGAUCCUUGGCGUCAAAUUCUCCAUUUAUUUGGGAUAUUGCAAGGUUUGAAUCCCCUCGCACCUCAAGGCGUUGAAUGCCCAUGGAGACUGCCAUCCGGAGACCAUGUAACAGGGCCUCGUAUUCGGCUGUGUUGUUGGAGUCCGUGUACAUUAUUUGAAGUACAUACUGGACUGUGUCCCCGGUUGGGGACGUCAAUACGACGCCAGCCCCCAGUCCGGCCAACAUUUUAGAGCCGUCGAAAUGCAUAAUCCAACUGGAGUAUGCGCCGUACUCUUUAGGGAGUUCGGCCUCGGUCCAUUCAGCGACGAAGUCAGCCAAAACUUGUGACUUUAUAGCUCGCCGAGGUUUGUAAGUUAUAUCGAAUGGUAAGAGCUCAAUGGCCCAUUUUGCAAUCCUGCCCGUUGCGUCACGGUUAUUUAUGAUGUCAUUGAGUGGUACUUCGGAAGCCACUAUUAUCGAACACUCUUGAAAGUAGUGUUGGAGCUUCCGGGAUGCCAUGAACACCGCAUACGCUAUCUUCUGAUAGUGUGGGUAACAGGAUUUGCAGGGAGUUAACACAGUGGAUACAUAAUACACUGGUUUUUGAAGAGGGAAUUUAUGCCCUUCUGUCUCUCAUUCGACGACGAGUACCGCGCUUACGACUUGAUGCAUUGCUGCGAUGUAUAACAACAUUGGUUCGCCUAGAUUGGGCGCAGCCAGGACCGGAUUUGUUGCCAAUAUGGCCUUUAUUUCUUCGAGUCCGGCAGUGGCAGCAUCCGUCCACUCGAAGUGUUCGGUGCGCCUGAGGAGGUGAUAGAGGGGCAAUGCCUUUUCUCCUAGACGGGAGAUAAAGCGGCUUAAAGCUGCCACGCAUCCUGUUAAUUUUUGUAUCUGUUUGAGGUCUUUUGGAAUAUCCAACUGUGACAGAGCUCGGAUUUUAGUCGGGUUUGCUUCAAUUCCUCUACCGGAUACAAUGAAGCCCAGCAGCUUUCCGGCUGGUACGCCGAAAACGCAUUUUUCCGGAUUCAGCUUGAUGUCAUAUGCUCUGAGGUUGUCGAAUGUGAGCCUCAAAUCGUCUACUAGAGUUUCGACGUGUUUUGUUUUGACAACUACGUCGUCUACGUAUGCCUCGACUGUUUUGCUGAUCUGGGUAGCCAGACAUGUUUGAAUCAUGCGCUGAUAUGUUGCGCCGGCAUUUUUAAGUCCGAAGGGCAUCGUGUUGAAGCAGAAUGGUCCGUAUGGAGUGAUGAAUGCCGUUGCGGCUUGGUCUGCUUCCGCCAUCUUGAUUUGAUGGUAGCCAGAGUAUGCGUCGAGGAAGCACAAUGAAUCGUGCCCUGCGGUAGCAUCGAUAAUUUGGUCGAUGCGGGGGAGGGGGAAGGGAUCCUUUGGGCAAGCCUUGUUGAGGUCUUUAAAAUCGACGCAUAGGCGCCAGGAUUUGUCCUUCUUUGGUACCAUUACCGGAUUUUCUAGCCAAUCCGGAUGUUUGAUAUCUCUAAUGAAUCCGGCUUCCAAUAGUUUGGCUAGCUCUUCUCCCAUUGCCUGUCUUUUGGGUUCGGAAAAUCGUCGAAGAGCCUGUUUGACUGGCUUGAAUCCUUUUAGGAUGUUUAGGCUAUGUUUUGCCAGUCUGCGUGGGAUUCCGGGCAUGUCCGAAGGAUGCCAGGCGAAAAUGUCCCAAUUUUCCCGAAGGAAUUCGUGCAGUGCGGCGUCUACCUCGGGGUUUAAUUGUGCCCCAAUGGAGGCCGUCUUUGUUGGGUCCGUUGGAUGGACCUGGAAUUUCACUAUUUCAUCUGCUGGUUUGAAGGAGGUGGACUUGGAUCUUUUAUCAAGUAUCACAUCGUCCCUGUUUACUGUAGAGCGCAGCGCGGUGAGUUCUUCUGCCGCUAGGGCCUCGGAUAGUGCCUCCAGGGCUAGUGCGGCUGUCUAGUUUUCGGCGCGGAGUGCUAUGUCCGGAUCACUAGGGAGAGUGAUUAUUCCGCCGGGCCCAGGCAUUUUGAGCUUCAUAUACCCGUAAUGGGGUACGGCUUGAAAAACUGUGAAUGCCUCUCGUCCUAAUAUAGCGUGAUAUCCGCUGUUGAACGGGGCCACUUGGAGCGUGACUUCUUCAGAUUUGUAAUUGUCGGCGAGCCGAACACCACAUCGAGUGUGAUUUUUCCGGUGCAGCGUGCUUCCUGGCUAGGGAUUAUUCCUCUGAAGGUUGUGCUGCUUCGCUCAAUACGGCUCCAAUCGAUUUCCAUUUUUUGAAGAGUUUCCUCAUAGAUGAGGUUUAGUCCGCUGCCGCAUCCAUGAGGACCUUUGUAAGUCGAAAGCCGUCCACUAUGGGACUGAGCACCAGUGCGGCUGGUGCUCGGGCUGUUUGGAAUUUAGGUUCAUCGCUGGCGUUGAAGGUGAUAGUUGUGUCGCUCCAUGGAUUUGCUGCUGCUACUUGGUAGACUUCGGCGAGGCCGCGGAUUGUUCGUUUUCGCAUAUUGUUUGAUGCGAAGGUCUCGAAGACUGUUGAUACCGUACCAGUAUUGUGGGAGUGGUUUUCCGGGGCUAGAAGCUCCUCGCCACUUUUGGCCACCUGCCGUAAUAUCCAACAUGCUCGAAGGCUAUGUGUUGGGACGGCUCCCUCUGUGCUGUGAAGCUUACAGGGUCCUUCGAGCCAUCCCUCUAGUACGGUUUCGUGCCCUUUAUGGGGCUUUUGCUUUUUGGUUUUUGCAUCUGGGGCCUGAGUAUGGUGCGCCCUUUUGUUGCGGACUGGGGUUGUAUUCGGGGCCGGAUUAUCCCAAAAUUGGUUUUCGGUUUUCCGGGAACUCUCCAUCGCACAGUACUUUCGUACUAUGGACGCCAGAUCGGUGAAGCGUGUAAUUUUACGACGGCCGAUGGCGUUCAAUAUUCCCUUGUCCGUGCAAUUAUUGCAAAAGAUUUUGAUUGCGUUUUCCUCUCGGCAGUCCUUUAUCCUGUCCAUAACCAGGAGGAAUCUGGCCCAGUAGUGAUGUACUGUUUCAGCGGGCUCUUGCCGUAUUAGAGAUAGAUCGCAUAUGUCUGGGCGGGUGGGUGGACUAAAAUCCGGAUCCCUGCCCAUAUUGGGGCUUAAAGGCCGAGGAGUUUCCGAAUUCGGAAGCUUGGGUUGCUGGACACAAUCCAGCGAGUCCGGAACGAUGCAUGAUUUUAAGUUCAAUGCUCGAUCGAAGUCCGUCCCUCCGCAGAAAUCCGGCAUGGAGGGUUCGGGAAUCCGGACGUGACUAGUUUUCAAUAUAGGCGAAGAGUCGCCGCAUUGUUCCUCUACCACUGCGACGUGGUGGGUGGCCUGGGGAGAGUUAAUCUCUCUCAGAUCGGUUUUAAGCCCAAUCUGAUUGUAGUCUGUAGCAACUCCCAGGGCUGCGAUGCGAUCCAAGAGCUCGUUGAUAGACGAGAGCUCCAUUGGAUCCAGCCGCUCGGCAAAUUCCGAGCUGACGCGUAUAUUGCUUUUGACGACUUGGGAAGUCAUUGUCGAAGCAGUGGCCGGACAGGCGGUCAUAAGAAAACCGCCUAGCCGGAUAGUUUGGCCGGUGGCCAAGGCCUCUUUGGCGAAAAUACCGUCUUUGAAGACGGGUGGAGGCAUCCUUCCUAUCGGCGACGACACAGAGGAACUCUCAAUGAAAGCACCAAUGUCGGUGUCAAAACCGGCGGAUCUCGGGUAGGGGGUCCCGAACUGUGCGUCUAGGCGGAUGGUAACAGGAGACAAGGGACACGAUGUUUUACCCAGGUUCGGGCCCUCUCGAUGGAGGUAAAACCCUACGUCCUGCUUGAUUAAUAUUGAUGAUAUGGGUAGUACAAGAGUGGAUCUACCACGAGAUCAAGGAGGCUAAACCCUAAAGCUAGCCUAUGGUAUGAUUGUUGUAAUGUAUGUUGUGUCCUACGGACUAAAGCCCUCCGGUUUAUAUAGACACCGGAGGAGGCUAGGGUUACACAGAGUCGGUUACAAUGGUAGGAGAUCUACAUAUCCGUAUCGCCAAGCUUGCCUUCCACGCCAAGGAAAGUCCCAUCCGGACACGGGACAGAGUCUUCAAUCUUGUAUGUUCGUAGUCUUGGAGUCCGGCGGACGAUGAUAGUCCGGCUGUCCGGACACCCCCUAGUCCAGGACUCCCUCAGAGAGCAUCAUGCAUAUUCUGCAUACAACUUUAUUUUAAACAAAACAUAGUCGUGGAAAUUGCUAAGCUACUGGCUAUGUCCUGAAUAUACUGAAAUUGACUUCCCUGGAUUAAUGGCCUCAAGGUGGGCGCAAGUUCUGCAUGUUGAUCCAGCACAGAAAAGUCAUUACCCCUAAUAUUUGAUAGAGACAAAGGCACCGACACAGGAUCAUCGCAAAGCAAAAUCCAUUUUUAUCACCAACAAGAAAUGAAGAAACAAAUUAUUGGUGCUUCCUUUCUCUGUAGUUCUGAACCACUACUUGCAUUGUGUGGAUAACAGGUAACUUACAUAUAACAAGAAUGCUUUAUAAUUUGGAAGUAUAUGAUAUAAACGUGGACAAUAGUGUUCUCUCAAAAUCUGUAGCAAUCAAUGGAAAGAAGUAAAAGCUAAUCUCCUAACACAACAAUAUUCUCAGGUAUUUAUAGAGAAUAGGGGUCAUCUUUCUAUGGUAGGUACAAAAUUGACAGAGACAAUGGUACUGCUAGUAGUCAUCCAUUUAAUGCUGCUAUAGAAAGACCACCAAUAGGCACCCCUCAACUAUACUGGAAUUGUCACUCAUAAAUCCAGGGCUAGUAUGCCUAUAGAAGUGUUAGUAAUACAUCAGGUAGUUUUCUUUCCUUUAGAUGGGAUUUGGAAGAAUUAGUGAUACUAAAAACAUGCAGGCGUGAUUAGUUAAACCAUUACCGCUCAUUCUAACCUUACUGACUCAUAACAAUCAAGCCUAAAAACCAUGACCUGACCAUGGACAAAGACAAAGACAAAAUGGCCAAAAAGAAUUGUAACGAUAGUAUUGCGUACCAAUGAAAACUAAAUGGUAGUGUGAUGGUAAUGUGCAUUCAACCCUGGGUUUUUUUAUAGGCCACUUGAAAUUGGACAAGGAUUCAGAUUAGCACCUGAUCGGCACCAAUGCAACCGAUGCGGAGACGAGCUUGGACUCUUCGACGGCGAAGACAAAGUGGCCGAUGGCGCCCUUGGUCAUCUUCUCGUGGAAAAGAAAGUUGCCGCUGCUCGCGGCCCUUGACAAGGUUGAGCUCCGAGUCAUCCAUGUCGGCGCCGUCGUUCUGCUCCCAUAGUUAAAAAACAGAGGUAAUGUACCACACCACCAGGCAAGUAGUCUGAAUCAACUUUCAGAUUUCAUAUGGUUAGAUAUAGUAGACUAAAUUAAUUAGGCAGGGUUUGUGUACACAUCAGUAACAAAAUCAAUAAUCUAUAAGGCAAAGUUAGGCAAAUCCACAUACUGAAAAAACAUUGUUAAUGCAGUGUGAAAUAAGAAAGGGAUGGAACAUAGAAUACCUAUUCAUCAUAUGGUAAGAGAAGAUGUGCAGCAAAACAAGUUGUGCUGUUUGAAGAUGAGUGUAACCAUGGACAAUUAGGUCAACAUGUCCUGAUGCUAACAAAACCAGGGACACCUGAUUUAGUAUUAAAAUUAUGUUAAUGUCAAAUUCUUCAGUUUUGUUCCUAUAAAAAACGCCCACUGUAACUAUGUUUUAGUUCUUCAUCACUCCUGCCACUUUCCUAAAAAAAGGGGGAUAUCUUACUGGAGUAAUAACAAUGAAUAUCUUAUACUUCAAAAAUGUUGAAGUGGUAUCCCAGGCCAAAAUAAUUAAAAUUGCAAUUGAUCUAACACAAAUUCAUGUGUAGCUAAAUCUGUAAUGUUCAUGUGAACGAAUGUGAACAAAUGACAUAGCAGAAAACAACAGUACGAUAUUUAAACCUGGUUAUAAGCAGAACAUGAACAUCGUAACUGAAAUUGAAGAAAAAACCUGAAACCGUUUGAUGCAAUUCAAAAUCUUAUCAAUAGCAUCUUGACACCAGUCUAAGAUCCGUGGCAAUUUGAGCAUUGCAGCUCCUAGAAGUAUGUCAACAGAGAAAGGGGGAAAGAUUGAAUCCACGGACAAUGACAAACCUGAAAACAUAUGAUUUGAUCACUCCCAAGUUCGAACAUUACCUAGUCUAGUUCAUCGGAUAGAAAAACAUUACCUUGUCUAAGACCUGACUUCUGAUAACAUGUAGGUGCAGACCUUUGCUUCAUAUACACUUUCUGAAGCAGGAUUUGGAUCUGGAAGGUUAUAGAACUUCAGUUCAAUUAGAAAAUCUUGAUAAUAUCACAAGGAAUAGGAAGAAACCAUUAAAAAAUAUGUGACUGCAUCCUAACUCGUGCCUCUCCAAAUUAAAUCAUGUCACUCACCUGAAGAACUUCCAGAUUGCGGCCAAUACCACAAUUUACGUCGUCUUCUACUAAAAACUCUGUGCAAGCUCUUGUCCUUCAUGCAUCAGUCCAAUGAGCAGAAGAGCACAAGACAAGAUCAUGCACGUAUCGUAACGGGGAAGAUGUGAAUUACUUAACAACGUAUCUAAACGAAGCAGAUCGAAGACACACGUACGUACGUAUACAAAUCCAAUGAGCAACACCAAAAUCACAUAAGUACGCAUCCAAAUUAACCUUGAUGGGGAAGGAAGGAAAUCGAGAUUGAGAAAGCACCUUACCUUGGCGAUGGCUGGAACGAUCACGACGGCGGCGGCUAGCUAGGUAUUCACGGGCGCUCGCUCUGGAAACGGACGGAGCCCAGGAGGCGCCUCGCCUUGACGCGCGUGGUGGGUUCCUCACAGCGCGGAGGUGGAGGCGACCAGAGCCGACGUCGGCGCGGCGCCGAGGUUGGUGCGACGGCGAGCUCGGGCGGCGAGGCGGCGGGGCAGAAUCUGCAGGAGACGGCGGCGGGGACCUCGAGGCCGAGCUCAGGCCAUGGCUUCCCUGGCUCCAGAGGCCGUGGCGGCGCCGGACGCAGCGGCGGGGCGAGGAGGAGGCCGGUCGUCGGGGAGGCACGAGCUCCUCGUCCCCUUGAUCCAGAUCGGGAUCGAGGAGGGAGCAACAGGGGCGCGAGGGAGCAGGCGACCCACGGGCGGAGGGAGCUAGUGCGUCGUCUGAUUUUUUGUUCGCUGGUUGUCCCUGGUUAAUCUACGAAAUUUGUUUAGGACGAAAAAAAACCAGUGGAGGUGGGACGAAAAUUGACCGGCGGAGACUACCAACUGCUCCAUUAGGAGUAGAGAUCCUUUUUUGUUCCUUGUGGGACUAACCCAUGUAGGUAUUGAAAGUGCAACUCACUCCAAUGGAUUGCUCCAAAUGAUCUACAUCAAUGUUGAGCAUCCACAUCUUCAACAUCUACAUGAAGUCAUCAUCGACAAAACCCAAGGUUAGUUCAUCCCUCUAAAAAGGGGAUAUCACAUCUAGGGGGAGCUUUACUCUAAGAAUUGAGCUAAAGCAACUCCAAUGAUGUGAACACAACAAUGCUUUAUGUAAAAGUGGUAACCCCACUUGAGCUUAAACGAUGAGUAUGACCUAUGAUCAAAUGUUCUCAUUUGACUCCUAAGUCAAUAUACUCAUAUAUAGAUGACCUAGUCAUCGCCAAUUGCUUGAUAGAUGCUAGAGUGUUUGUGCAUGCUUUGCCACAUAUUUCAUUUGCUAUCUUAUUUGUGUGAGCAUGUUGGUUGCAUAAUUUUCUUCAUUCGAGGACAUCCAUUUGUUGUUUUGAUUGUUUGGUCUUUUUCUCUUGCCAAAUGGAUGGACAAGAAUGCCUAAGUACUCCCUCUAGCUAUCUAUGCUUUUCUCGUCUCAAACUCUAUUUAUGCUACAUCCCAAAGUUUGAUCAAGUCAGAUUCGACCCCUCUGGGUGAGGAGCACUCAGAGUCAUCGAUUCGUCAUAGACUUAAACUUCCAAAACCUCUUGAUGCAUCUCGGUCUGACCGAUUCAUACCCUUCGGUCACACUGAGUUCAUUAAGUUGAUCUAGGUUUCAAUCUCGGUGCAACCAAUUUGAACACUUUGGUCUCACCGAGUUGCAGUAACCGCUUGCGAUUCUGCAACUUGGUGCCACCGAGUUGUUCCACUCGGUCACACCGACAGGGUCUGGAUAUAUAUACUCACGGGUUGAAUUUUUGGAAAUUCCUCCAAAACUCUUCGCCCGUGCUGUCUAGCUCUGCUGACUCGUGGUCUCUGGAUCAUUGCCUCCAUCACCAGUGACCCCCUGCCACUGGUCUCCGCCGCCAUCAACGGACUUUCCUCCGUCGUUGCCGCCGUAGCGAACUCACCGCCAAGUUAGGGUAUGAGCUCGAUCCUUUGUGCUUUCUCACUCCGAUUCUUAGCACGAAGACAAUGCCAUGAUUCUUGCCACGAUUGAGAUUAUUAUAUCCAUCAAAAAGUUCCAUUAGAUUAGUUUUUAUUUGAAAAUUUAGGGUUAGGUUUCUGCCAAAUUCAUCACGAAUCGACCGAGUUGUAGGAAUCGGUCUCAUGGAUUUGGCCUAGGCCAUUGCACUGUGAUUUUCGGUCUGACCGAAACUCAUAAAUCGGUAUGACCGAGUUCAGGACUUUGUGAAACCCUAGCCAUAUCAGUUUCACCGAACUGUGCCUCAGUCUGACCGAGUUCACUAGUUUAGACACUGAACAUUGCUUCGGUGUCACCGAGUUCAGCAAAUCGGUAGCUCCAAAAUGACUUCAGUAGAAAACUAAAAGUAAGUUUUUGGCUCAAUUGUUUUGCAAAAUCUCUGCACUUUGUGAUGCUCAUCCACUCUAUCUCAUCUAUAUCUAUUCACAGGGUCAGCCUUCAGCUUGCAACAAUGUCUGACAACAAUGAUAGCUAGAAUAUGUGUGAGGAACAAGUUCAGAUGAGUGAGGGCACUAGUUCCUCUAAGAGCAGCUAUGAUGAUGGGAGCAGAAGCACUCCUAGCAAUCUGCCCAAAGCUGCAACUAGGCAGAGGAACAAGAAGACAUCUAAUUAUGAGGAUGAGGAUUUUGUGAUUGAUGAGGAAGUGAAUUCCAAGAGGAAAGGUGACAAGAAGGAAACUGGCACUUCUGCUAAUCUCAAGCCAGGGUUGAAGACAAAAGCUCCUGCAAGAAGAGUUCCCGUGUCCAAAGCCAGAGCCUCAACCCAAGAAACCAUGGUGUUCGCUUUUGAACCCAAAGAGGCUGGUGGGCAAAAAGAGGAAUAAGAGGGUCAAGAAGACAAUGGCCCGAGUCAUUGGGAUAUCUUCUAUAAUCAGAGACCCAGAAGAAGAAGAAGAGCAAGAUGCACCUCCUGCAAAAUCUCAGAAGCUAAUGGGGGAUGCAAUCAGAUCAGGGAUGCUCCUUCAAAGCCCAAAUUUGCCCCCAAGGCUACUGCUCAAGCCCCCAAGAGAUCCACCAGAAACAUUUCAGCUGCUGAGAAAAAUAAGGCCCUAGUGCCUGAAGUGGAAGAAGAAGGUCAAGUACUUAGAAAGUUGAAUCCCAAGAUUCCUGAUCACGAUGACACACAUCCUGUUGCAGAAAACAUGAAGCUGAGAAAGGAUGCGGGUCUCAGGCUAUGGAGGAAGAAUUACCCAUAUGCCAUUAGAAGGAGAACAACUGUUGACUACAGGUUCCACACAAAGGAACAACAAGACUUCUAUGAGACUGUGCUGCUUGAAAAGACGCCUAUAGUGAGUGACAUGAGAUGGGUCGACUGGGAGUACAUUGACAGCAAUGAAGAUCAUUUCCUAGGAGUCCAUGAGAGCUUCAAGUCAACAGGAGUUGAUGCAUUUGUUAGCCAGAAGUUGACAAAAUGGAAUGAUGAGUUGAUCAUGCAGUUCUACUCCUCAUCACAUUUUUACCCUGAUGGUAAAAUUGUUUGGAUGACAGAGGGUACCAGGUACCAAUCUACUGUGGCUAAGUGGGCAAAGCUGAUAAAUGCCCUAGAAGAGCAUGCGGAUGAUACUGAUGUAUAUGCUAAGCCAAGGAAGGGACAUGACUCAAUGGCUCAUAUGUACAAGGAAAUUCCAGAUGCUGCCUUGGACACCCACAAGUUUGGGUCUGUGUAUUAUCUGCUGUCAGGUCUGCCAACCAUCAACACAAUUCUCAGACACACUCUAUUGCCCAAGUCUGGAGAUGACAGGAUGAUUAGAGGGCACUCAAUAAUUUUGCUGCAUAUGUUUGAUGUGCCUGAAAAGUUCAAAGUGAUGACACUAAUCGUUGAGACAAUCAAGAGGACAGUAGUAGACCAGAAGAGAUCAUGUGGCUAUGCUCCACAAAUUCAGAUGCUCAUCAAGUCCAAGAUGGGCAAGUGCAUAUAUCUCUUGGACAAGGAACAUCUUCCCCUGCUACCAGAGUUUGAGGAUAAUGUGGUUGUCAUGGAUCCAUCACAUCCCACAUCCGUGCAGGCUCAGGAGAAGAAAGAAAAAGCUAGAGCAGAGAAGGCAACCAAGCCACCAAGUGCAUAAGAAGCUUCUCAGAUAUUCUUGAAAUCCAAGAAAGAUCAAUUAGGCUAUCUCAUUCAAGCAAGCUUGAGGAUUGAGAAAGGGUUGGCAACCCUGACUCAGAACCAAGAAAGUCUAGAGAGAAUCAUUGAGACUAAAUUUUAUGAUCUAGACUUGAAGGUCAAAGAGAUCCAAACUGCAGUUGAGCAACUCCAGGAUGAAGCUGAAGAGAGAAGAGGGAGAUCUACUACUGAAGCUUUUCAGAGAGUGCCAAGGGCACAAAGGUCUGCAGCUGUGCCAGCCAUUGACACCAGGGCUACAACAUCAGCACUAGCAGCUACAGCCUCUGUUGCUCCUCCAGUUGCAACUCCACCAGCUCCUCAGACCACUUCGGAUGCAUUCGUCGCGGGACUCCUCUCCACGCCACCUUCGCACUCCGGAGCUCCCGGAGAUCGUGCUUAGAGCCGCAUAACACUAUGCAUUUCAAGCUUUUUAUUAACUUGUUGCCAAAGGGGGAGAAAGUGUAUAGAUCAUAGGCUUCGAGAGAGAGAGAGAGUGUGUUUGCUUCUUUUGCUUUCUUGCUACUUCAUUUGAUUUGCUUGUUUGGUUGAAACAAUGUUUUAUGCUUGUGUGUGAGAUACUUGUAUGGUCAUAUGUUUGAUCAUAUCAUACUUUAAUGCUUGUGCUUAAUGAUGAUAUUCUAUCUCUCAUGUAUGAUCAUUCAUAUCUUAUUUUGGUGAUGAGUGCAUAUUUAAUAUUUUAUCAUUUUGAGCGCUCCACCAAGAUGUUGUGACAUGGAAGAGUGACCCAUGAUCCUAAUUGGUUGUGUAUUUGCAUUCAAAAGCAAAUUUCAAAUAAUGCACAAAUUUAGGGGGAGCUCUUUCUUAUCACAUACUUCUCAAAGCGACAAUGUACUUCAUUUGUACUAUCAUUUGUCGAAGCUUUGAUCUAUAUGUUGUCAUCAACUACCAAAAAGGGGGAGAUCGAAAGUGCAACUAAUCCCCGGGUGGUUUUGGUAAUUCAUAACAACAUAUAGCUCAUUGAACUAAUAUUCUUUCAAGAUCAAUGUUUCAGAAAGUUCCAUGGUUGGUAUGGCAUGGACUAGAGAUGUGGACCCCUCAAAAUGUUAAGGACACAUAUUGGCAAAAGCUCAAGACUCUACAUUUUCAUUUUAGUGAUCCAAGAUCACAUUGAGUCCAUAGGAAAGCCAAUACUAUUAAAAGGGGAUGAGGUGUUGCUUAAUGGCUUGCUUGCUCAAAAUGCUUAGUGAUAUGCUCCAAAAACCCUCAACCACUUUCUCAUUUCCACAUAUGUCCUAAACCUAAAGUCAAACUCAGCCCCACCAAUUUGAUAUAUCUGGCGCCAUCGAGUUCACUUGAUAUAACCAUAUCCACAAACACUAAUCAGUUCGGCCUUACCGAUAGGGAUCUCGGUCUCACCGAGAUGAGAAUGCAAACUCUCUGUUUCCCUUCGUAAUGUUUUGGUCUAACCAAAGUGAGAGAUCGGUCCCACACAGUUGGCAUUGCAAACUCUCUGUUUCCUUUUUGUAAUGUUUCGGUCUAACUGAGAUGAGCGAUCGGCCCCACCGAGUUUGCCUGACCAAGUCUCUGUUUGCUUAUUACUGAAAUUGGUCUCACCAAGUUCAUGUGAUCGGUCUCACCGAGUGAGGUUUUGCCCUAACCCUAGCGCAUCGGCCUCACUGAGUUGAUGUUGUCGGUCCCACUGAAAUGCCUAACAUUCACACUUUGAACCAAGUCGGUCUGAUCGAGUUUAACCAUUCGGUCCCACCGAGUUUGGGAAUUUGUGUGUAAUGGUUAGAUUUUGUGUGGAGGCUAUAUAUACACCUCCACCCCCUUCUCCAUUUAUGAAAGAGCCAUCAGAACGUGUCUACACUUCCACUACUCAUUUUCUGAGAGAGAACCACCUACUCAUAUGUUGAGACCAAGACAUUUCAAUCCAACCACAAGAAUCUUGAUCUCUAGCCUUCCCCAAGUUGCUUUCCACUCAAAUCAUCUUUCCACCAUAGCCAAAUCUGUGAGAGAGAGUUGAGUAUUGGGCGACUAUCAUUUGAAGCACAAGAGCAAGGAGUUCAUCAUCAACACACCAUCUAUUACCUUUUGGAGAGUGGUGUCUCCUAGAUUGGUUAGGUGUCACUUGGGUGUCUCCGUCAAGAUUGUGGAGUUGAACCAAGGAGUUUGUAAGGGCAAGGAGAUCGCCUACUUCGUGAAGAUCUACCCUAGUGAGGCAAGUCCUUCGUGGGCGAUGGCCAUGGUGGGAUAGACAAGGUUGCUUAUUCAUGGACUCUUCGUGGAUGGAGCCCUCUAUGGACUCGCGCAACCAUUACCCUUCAUGUGUUGAAGUCUCCAUCAAUGUGGAUGUACGAUAGCACCACCUAUCGGAACCACGCCAAAAAUCUCCGUGUCUACAUUGCAUUUGCUCCCUCCAAACUCCUCCCCUUUACCUUCAUAUGCAAUGAUUUACAUUUCGCUGCUAUACUUUUAGAAUUGCAUGUGUAGGUUGUUUGCUUGACUAAGUGCUAAGUUGCUAAAAUCUGCCAAGACUUAAAAUUGGGAAAAGGCUAGAUUUUUUAUUUGGUCAAGUAGUCUAAUCACCCCCCUUCUAGACAUACUUUCGAUCCUACAGUUUUGCAUACGGGGAAAUGAGAUGUCCAUGAAUAUCAGUCAAGUCAAGAAACUCAGAAAGAUUGUUAGGAUGAAGAAACUUGCAAUGAAUAACAACAAGAUCUUUGUUUUCACAAUGAAGAAGACAUCAGUCAACUAUAGGAUGGUACUAACUCUUUUACCUUGUUUUUACCCCUUGCGCCAUUUCAAAAUUUAUAACAGCGAUUUAUGCAUAUCUUUGUUUGCAGUACUUUUCAAAGUAGUUCACCGAUGAUUACCUCUCAAACCAGCUGCAUGGUCAAGAGGCGAGGAAGGUAUUCAUUCUACACCCAUGGUACAAUAUUGAAGUCUUCCUGAAGAGGACGAAGGUUGGGCGGGCAAUUAUCCAUAGCCACUGGCCUAAAGUUGCAAGCACAUUCAACAUCACUGUAGGCUCAAUAUUUGCCUUCUGCUUCUGUAGUUUCCCAGAUGAGAUUCAUCUGUCUAUUUACUGGGUAUGAUGCUACUUUCCAAAGGUUUUUGAUGUUGCAUGUGAAACUUGGUGAUGUUGUGUAAUGGCGUAACUGAGUGCCGAAGCUAUCUGAUGUAAUUCGAUUAUGAAAUCCUGGUUGCUGUUAUACGGCUAUGAAAUAUCUGGUGUGUUUUAUAAGAAAUGUCAAUUUGAUUACUACAUGGAUUAUAAAUAAUAGGGUAAUUACCUUGCUUAUUGGGGUUUUCUAUUGCAGACGGUUACUCAGAUAACACCGUGGGUGAUGAACUCAAACAACCCACACGGUUUCUAGAAAGUAGGCGUGUUCGAUCCUAACAAUCACACACGGCUUCUGAUAGAGAACUGUUUGCGUUAGGCCACCUUGCACAAACGUUUCCACACAAAAACCGUGUGUGAUAUACAUACGAACGAAAAUGUUUUUCUGGGAAUCACCGUGUGGGUAAUACAUACGAACGGAAACGAUUGAGUUUCGAUGCCUCGUCCGAUCGCACACGAGCUCAUUUUUCCUAAGCCUGUGUGCCAGGAGGGCCUAUCCUCGGCUGUUUCUGGGUCGUGUGGGAAGGACCCCCCCCUAUCGCAGUCACUCACUUGGCGACGGUUCGAAACGCCGUCGCGGAAAGGGGUUCAAAACCAUUUGUAUAGCACGUCUCUGCACCAGUGUAAGUAUAUUAGUUCUUUAUGACUAACGUGAGUUCAUGAACUAUUACGCACUCCCACCUAUCCACAUAUUGCUAGCCUCUUCGGCACCGUGCAUUGCCCUUUAUCACCUUGAGAGUUGGUGCAAACUUCGUCGAUGCAUCCAAACCCCGUGAUAUGAUAAGCUCUAUCACACGUAAGCUUCCUUAUAUCCUUCCUCAAAACAGCCACCAUACCUUCCUAUUAUGGCAUUUUCAUAGCCAUUCCGACAUAUAUUGCCAUCCAACUUCCACCGUUCUGUCUUAUGACAUGUGUGUUCACCAUCAUAUUGCUUUGCAUGAUCAUAUAGAGCUGGCAUGAUAUUUUUGGCAAAGACACCAUUCAUCAUUGUAAUACAUGUUACACUAGAUCAUUGCACAUCCUGGUACACUGCCAGAGGCAUUCAUAUAGAGUCAUGUUGUUUUAGUUUAUCAAGUUGUAAGUAAAUAAAAGUGUGAUGAUCAUCAUUAUUAGAGCAUUGUCCCAGUGAGGUAAAGAAUGAUGGAGACUGUUGAGUCCUCCAAAAAUGUGGGGAUGAGGUUGUUGAUAUUGUUCUAGAAAAUGAGAAAUGAAAAGAAAUGAGAGAAAAAAAGAGAAGGGCAAUGCUACUAUCCUUUUACCACACUUGUGCUUCAAAGUAGCACCAUGUUCUUCAUAUAAAGAGUCUCCUGAGUUGUCACUUUCAUGUACUAGUGAGAAUUUUUUAUUAUAGAACUUGGCUUGUAUAUUCCGAUGACGGGCUUCUUCAAAUGCCCAAGGUCUUCAUGAGCAAGCAAGUUGGAUGCACAUCCACUUAGUUUUAAUACUGAGCUUUCGUACACUUAUAGCUCCAGUGCAUCCGCUGCAUGAAAAUCCCUACUCCUCACAUUGAUAUGGAUUGAAAGGCCUCGCCAUUGCCUAUUGAUUCGCCGAGUCUCCUAUUGGUUCGAUAACCUUGGUUCUCUACUGAGGGAAAUACUAUCUGCUACUAUAUUGAUUCACCCUUCUUCUUCGGGGAAAAUCCCAACGUAGCUCACAAGUAGCAGUAACACAUAUCAUGCUCCAGCGCAGCACCCUCGCGACCCCGAUGAUGCUCCAUUAAAGCACCCCUGCGCCCCCGCGACGCGCCAUUGAAACACCAGUGGCUCGAUGAUGCUUCAUCGCAACCCUGGCGCCCCCUAGUGAAGCUCUAUUGCAGCAUUGGUAGCCCCCAACGAAGCUCCAUUGCAGCACUGGACGACCUCGAUGGAGCUUGGUCACAACACCGGCGGCCCCGGGGAAUCCCCAUCACAACACUCAUGAUGCUUUGCUACAACGUUGACACCGACGUGGCGGUGCUACAUCGCAGCGCUGGUGUCCCGACGUAGCUCCCAUCGCAACAUCGGUGAUUGCGUCUUUGUGUUGCGUGGCAACACUAGCCGGGAGUAGCGCCCUCCUCCAGCCUCCUUCUUCCUGCUGCGUUGCAACACUGGCGGCGAGUAGGCGACCCCCUUCCAGCAACUACAUAGCAGCAGAGCGCGAGCAGCUCCGCUUUUGGCCUGUUUGUUACAUCGCAACGGUGUGCGACAAACAAAAAAAACAACCAUUGCGGCGGAGAUGAAGCAUACGGUGGUCGCCGUCAUUCUCAUGUUUUACAUCAACGGUGGGUGGGGUUGGGCACGUCGCCAUGGGAGCUCGACGUGGGGAGGGGAAUGAGAUGAAUGAGGGAAACACAUGAAUGGAGAAGAGCUGCAGUGCGAAAAGAUGAGGCUUACCGGAAAGCGGUGGUGGGUCCACAUGGGCACGUGUUCAUCAAGGACGCGGCUUAUAUUUGAUUGUUAUCAUUCAACUUAGAAUAAACAUUUUUCUAUAGCUAGUGACGAAUUAUCAAAGGGCAAAGUGAGUAUAGUGGCAAAAAAUAAAAUAAAAACCCGGAAAUCAAACGGUUUGUGAAUAUUUGGAGUUCAUUUCAAACAUAUCUUGACGGGGCAUCGCUGAAAGAAGAAAACGGAGAGAAAACACCCGAAGGCAGAAGCCCAGUUACAACUAACAAGUGUGGCCAUGUGCGUGCUCCUCCCCAUCUGGGCCAUUCCCCCCGAUCUCCCCACUUCACUAAACCCUACCCACCUCGCCGCCGCGUAAACCCCCACCCAUCCCGCCGCGCGGCCCAUCUCCAGCGCACAACCAACGCCAACGCGAACGCCGCCGCCGCUACCGCCAUGGCGGCCGCCUCGAGAAGUCUUCUCGCACGCCUCCGCCACCUCUCCCUCGCCGGGCCCCGCCUCCCCCCUUGCCGCCUCUUCUCCGCGGAGCCUCUCGUCUCCCAUCCCGACGACGACGAUGCCGGCGCCGGCGGCGAGGGCGGAGGCCGGAUCAUAGAGGCGCGUCCUGCUGUCAUGGGCCCGGAUUCCCGGCGGACCGGCGUGAUCGGCGUGAAGUGCGGCAUGUCGGCGAUGUGGGACAAGUGGGGGGCCAAGGUUCCCAUCACCGUCCUCUGGGUCGACGACAAUGUCGUCUGCCAGGUCAAGACCGCCGAGAAGGAGGGGUUCUACGCGCUGCAGGUGCUGCAAAUUUCUCAUCUUUGUACCAAACUUUGUAUAUGACAGGGAUCACAAACUGCUGCAUUGUUUCACACUUCACUGACAAAAUAAGUACUCCUUGGUGUUCCACUGAGAAAAUAAGUAUUGGAACUUGAUUCUGUGAAAUCUCAAGGAAUUAGACUCAUAAAAGUAGUGCUAGUUUUUACCCAUUUGUUAAGACUCAAAGCAAUUUGAGUGUUUUGUGCCUUUAGGUCUAAAGUUUGGCCUCCCAUGCGAUUAAGGUUCGAUCUAGACGUAAGAUGUCGUAAAAUAUAUUUUUGUUAGAAAUUUAAGUGCUCUUCGAUGACUUAUUGGUAACUCACUACAUGACUAGAUCAUUAGCGUUGAGACUAGCUGCCGAAGGUAGUUAUGUUUAUUUUAUGUUUGUGACCAAACUCAUGUAAUAGCGAUUUUCUUCCCACGUCUCUCCAAUGGGGGCUGGGAAUUAUAAUUUAGAAAAAAACAGAACACCUAGCCUGCUUCACGUUUUCUUACCAUUCUCUACAAACAUGAUAUCGUGUGUAUUAGGUCGGCUGAUCAAAUCAGGUUGUUUUAAUUGUGCUCCCAAUGUUUUGUCAUCUCCUAAAUUUGCAGUAACAACUAGCAAUAUGCUUGAGGAAUAACCAUCGAGUUUUGUUAGCGCUAAGUUCAUGCCAGUUGCUGCAUUGCAGAUGACUACCUGCCCCCAAAAUGGAUAAUUUAGACACAUUAGUGCAAUAUAAACAUUCCAUCUUGGUUCUGUAUUUUGUUGAUCUAAAUGCAAGUAUAUAUGUUUAGUUUGUUUAGUUUGUAGCACUUAUGCUCUUCAGGUUUUGUUGUUACCACUUUUAUAGUGCAAAUUUUCGCUAACUUCUGAAAGUCUCUCCUGGUAUUUUUUUAGCUCGGAGCAGGCCAAAAGAAGGAAAAGCAUCUAACAAAGCCUGAAGUGGGCCACUUUAGAUCACAAGGAGUCCCUCUUAAGAGAAAAUUAAAGGAGUUUCCUGUUACUGAGGAUGCACUUCUUCCUGUUGGAACAACCAUCUCGGUUCGUCAUUUUGUACCUGGGCAAUUUGUGGAUGUCAUUGGAAUCACAAAGGGAAAAGGUUUUGCGGUAUGUAUUUUUGUCUACCACGUAAAAUGGUUUUUGCACUUGCUGACAAAUCACCAUGUUUACCAUUUUAUUUGAACACAGCGUCAUUAAAUAGUCGGUUUCCUUCCGUAACACCUCUUCCUUCAAAAAUAGACAAUUAAAAUUGUGUGCAUCUGCUUCAAAAUGUUGUCUAUACAUCCUAGGGUCCUAGCUAUCCCUUGAUUUUAGGAAGCAGCCUUGUUCCAAAAACCUUAAUGUUUGCUUUCGCUGCUGGCUCUUUGACAAUCAAGUCAUUGCCAAUGAUUUUUAAAAACAUAGAUAAAUACAAAUAUUGAUUGCUGGUAAUUAAAAAUGCAGUUUGGUUAUAUGUGAGAUCAACUUAAUUGAUGAAAAUUGUUUUAAAUUUCUUUUAAAUGUAACACUAGCAACGUUUACGAGUCGACGAGUCGUUCAAAGGUUGAGACUCAUAGACUAAUCAUGACUAGUCUAGACUACUGCUGGACUAGGCUGACAUGGUACUGUAGCACACAACUUGCAGUAAUCAAUUACUAAGACCUAGUAUUAGUAUGUAAUAUUACUUCCGUCCAAAUUACUUGUCUUAGAUUGGUCUAUAUACGGAUAUUUCUAACACUAAAACGUGUCUAGAUACAUCAAAUCUAAGACAAGUAAUUCGGGACGGAGGGAGUAUAUACUCCCUCCGUUCCACAAUGUAGUGCGCCCGCGCUUCCCGACGUCCAAGUUUGACCGUAAAUUUAACCAACGAGACCGACUGCGGUGGGAGCAAAAAUUAUACCAGUGAAUUCAAAUACGAAUUCACUGGUAUAAUUUUUGCUCCCGCCGCAGUCGGUCUCGAUAGUUAAAUUUAUGGUCAAACUUGAAUCUCGGGAAGCGCGGGCGCACUAUAUGAUGGAAUGGAGGGAGUACUAUACAAAGUGCAUUGGAGCGUCAAUUUGUCCUGCAUAUCAGGCCAAUAAGCAUAUUUCCAUUCUGGAUCCUUGCUCCUAGUUGGCUUCUUGCAGGAUCCUUCGAUGGAUCGUAUUGCUCAUCGGCUUGAGCUGCAGCAGCUGCUGAACACACUACUUGAGGUAUCUCCGGCGGCGUAGACAUUGCAGUUCAGACCGAAGGAUCUUGAAACUGAAGCAAGCAGGGGUGGAGGGGCGGUGGUGGGUGCCGGCACCGGUGGGACAUUGGGUGCUGGCGGCGCCUCCUACCAGACUCCCAGGCGAGGCGGCUCGGAGCGGGCUGGAAACUUAGCGGGCGAAAUUUUCCCUCUCAUGGGCUGUGGGCUCUGGGCUGGGCGGCUCGCUCACUUAUCCUCUCCCAACCCUUUUUUUUAGUCGAACGACUCAAGGUGCACGACUAGUCCUUCGACUGCUCGACUCGGCGAACUAGUCUACACGAGAUUUCUAGUUGACACCUAGAAUGCGACUCAUAUAGUAGUCUAGCAACUAGUCACUCUGACUCGUAAUCAAUGAACACUGGUAUAAUGUUAGUUUGGGAUGUUAAUCUAAGUUGUGGAUGAUUUUCAAUGUUUCAACUUAAUUUCACGUCGCCAAUGCAAUCAAGUAUAUAUAUUCUCAUAAUGUUACAACUUAACUUUUGCUGCUACACUUAAGAUACUAGUACUUUCCUCUUUUAGAACAAACCAAUUACUGAAAUAUGUCAAUGUAACACUGUACAUCAAUUAUAUAACAUUAUAUUUUCUACUCCUGUAGGGUGGCAUGAAAAGACAUGGUUUUAGUGGGAUGCCUGCAUCACAUGGUGCUUCUUUAUCACAUCGCAGCAUCGGUUCUACAGGUCAAAGGGAUGCUCCUGGCAGGGUAUGUUAUAAACUCACAAGUCCACGCACUGAACAAUUCGUAUACAUGUCUCCUCUGAAAAGAGACAUGGUAGCCAUUAGAACACGCAGCAUUGGACUUCUGCUGGAAGUUAUGCACCCUCUUGGCAUGACUAUUCUUGGAUGUUGUAUUUAUUUGCCAGUUUAUUUCUAAUAUGUAAAAUGAUUAGGAUAGAUAAGACCUUGCUUCAGUAAUUAGUAGCAGUGCUGUUUUAUUAUACUUCUAAUUAGUGAGUAAUCAUAGGACUGCCUUGUGUGUUGUGCAUAACUGCAUAAUAUUAAGUGGAUUUGCAUCUUCUAUCUUUUUUAGUGUCUACUCAGGGAGUAUCAUAUAAGGUUUAAUCUUAUAUGUAUCAGUGUAUGUGCCCAAAACAAUGAUUGUGUCUCCCUAAGAUUGUAGUGUAUGCUGUUAUUCUGAUCUUAGGCCUUCUUUGGUUUGUAGGAUUUUUGUUGGAAAAAAUUGUUUGGAGUCCUUUGGUUUGGUAGGGAUGAAUUCAUAUUCCUAUGGAGGAUAGGAACCAAUCCUUCACAUUUCAAAGGAAAAAAAACAUGGGCCUAGACCCAAUAGAAAAAUUCCUUUCCUAUGAAUCAAGUGACAUCUCUUUCACUAUAGGAAUUGAGAUGCAUGCCACCUCACUUUCUAUGGUUUUUCUAUUCCUAUGAUAUUCCUAUCCUGAAGGGGAGCCUUGGCGCAGUGGUAAAGCUGCUGCCUUGUGACCAUGAGGUCACGGGUUCAAGUCCUGGAAACAGCCUCUUGCAGAAAUGUAGGGAAAGGCUGCGUACAAUAGACCCAAAGUGGUCGGACCCUUCCCCAGACCUUGCGCAAGCGGGAGCUACAUGCACUGGGGCUGCCCUUUAUGAUAUUCCUAUCCUAUGGACCAAAAGGAGGCCUUAGUGAUGGCUUCACUGGAUGUACAUGUAUAGAUGUAUAAGACCCACAAAAUAAUGCUUCUCACGGAAAAUGAUAUGUGCACUUUGCUUUUUACCCUUGUGGCCUACAGUGACUUGAAAUUCGCUCAAUCAAGUUUUUACAUCCUGAUGGAGUUAAAUCUCAAAGCUUAAAAGUGGUGUUGGUAAUGCGCAUGCAUCAGCAACAAAGGUAGUUAGGGCUUUAGGGUUUGGGUCCUUGGGGUUUUGUUUCUAGGGAACAUAUUAUUUUUCUUCCUAAUUCAAUUGGAAUCUAGAGAGAGACAAUAAGGGUGCUAAUUUUACUUGAUACUUGUCAAACUGGCCUGUGCUCACAUAUGCUACGUUGCACGGAUACUUGGAUACGUAUCGGAUAUGCGAUAUGGGGAUACGCCCGAUACGUCAGUUUUCUAAAAACUAGGAUACGGGGAUACGUUUGUAUACAACAACAACAACAAACAACAACAACAAAGCCUUUAGUCCCAAACAAGUUGGGGUAGGCUAGAGGUGAAACCCGUAAGAUCUCGCAACCAACUCAUGGCUCUGGCACAUGGAUAGCAAGCUUCCACGCACCCCUGUCCAUAGCUCGCUCUUUGUCGAUACUCCAAUCCUUCAGGUCUCUCUUAACGGACUCCUCCCAUGUCAAAUUCGCUCUUUUGUAUAUGCAUAUUAAUUAUUAAAGAUAUAAAAAAAUAACGAGUUUUCAGUAGGAAACACACAGUUUUCUUAAAAAUUUGAAGUCUUCACAAUUGCUUAACAAAUACUGCAUUUCUACGGCUGGACGAUGUCAAUGGUUUGACAUAAUUGCUUAACAAAUAAGGUAAUCACAUUCACAAUUCACACAUCAAAUUCACACGCACAUAGUCACAUAGAUAGAUAAAUAUCAUAAUUUAGGUUCAGGUUCUCACAAAAUAAAACGGGAGUUCACAUCACGACCAGCUCACAAAUCAAUAAGGCUUCUCCUCAUUAUCAUCUUCCGGGAUCACACGAGCAGCAGCCAAUACAUGGACUGCAUCCACGCUACCUCCACUGCCUGCUUCACUUCUAACUGAAGAAGACCUACUAGACAUGGCCGAUCUGCUUGGUAAAAGGAGAUUAGGAAAACAGAUUAGACAAUUUGAUCUUAAAACCUAAACCUAAAACACCUACGUACAGAAUUCAGAGAAGGAGAUGGAGAAGAGAGCUCAGAGAAAGAGAGGGAGAUGAGAACAUACCUCCUGCAGGGGAUACACGGAUGUCUUCUGCCGGUGACGAGCCAGCGACCGAUCAGCGUCGAUUGGAUUGGAGUUCAGAAGGUGAGAAGGAGAGAAGAACAUGCGGGAGAGGAGAGAACUGGAGCUGAGAAUUUACGGAGAGUUGGAGACCUGCGGGCUGGGACUGCUUGCCUGCUCCAAGGAGUCGAGGGGACGAGCUGGGAAUUGUUGACGUGCGGCGGCACCAGGAGGGGAUCGAGGAGUUUUCAGUUUUUCACGUCGAACGAAGGGGUUGCCGUAUCCAAAGCGUAUCCCAAAGGUAUCCCAGACGUAUCAAACACUACUUUCUUUAUUUUAAAUCAAUAAAUCACAGGAUACUUACGGGAUACGUAUCGGGCAGUAUCGAGGCAGUAUCUGAGUAUCGGGGCAGUAUCCGGCUGGAUACGCGCACUUUCUGAAGUAUCUGUGUGACGUAGCACAUAUGCCAUCUGUCGGCCAUCUCAGAAUACGUGCCAAUAGCAACAAUGUAGCUACUUACAUGUAUGCCAAAUGAAUUUGACUCCUGACAGAUGUUAGUGAGUGAAUUUGUAAAUAUAUAGAGCAAAAUAAUAGAAAAUCCAUGCAACUUGAUUGUUUUUAUAGUAAAAUAUAGCAUUCUCAAGGUAGAACCCGUCAAUAGAAGCUAUUUUUUUUAAUCCUUUCCAUGUAUUAUGUGCAACAUUGUGGAACUUUUCGAGUUUCCUCAGGUGGAAGUGACCAGUGAGGCCACUUUAAAUUAUCACCAAGAAAUGAACAUUAUUGAAUGUUUCAAGUUUCUAAGGUGUGAGCUACCAGUGAGGCCGCUUUAAAGAAGCACAAACAGAUGCACUUCUGAAUGUGAAUUGGCAUUUAUAAGUUUAGUUUUUGGGUAGGAAUGCGCUAUUUGAAGCUGUCGGUGUGUCCUAAGCAGCCGGUAGUACUCCAUAUAGGCUAACAGCUGUAACAAUGUUGCAGGUUUUCAAAAACAGGAAAAUGCCUGGGCGCAUGGGUGGUGUUCAACGCACGGUGAAAAAUGUAUGGGUUUACCAAAUUGACCCUGCCAGGAACUUACUGUAUCUGAAAGGCCAGGUAAUUUCAUCUCCACUGUGCAGUACGUCUUUUAGCUAAAAUGUUUAUGUUGUGAUAUGUGUGUUAUGCAUUCUCUUGUGAACUUUGCAGGUUCCUGGUCCUCAAGGCAGCUUUCUUUUCGUCAAGGACUCUAUUUACAAGAAACCCGACAGAGCUUUCCUGCCAUUCCCUACGUACUUCUCACAAGAAGGCGAGUUGGAAGACAUGGAGCCGCUCAUUGCUGAUCUUGGUGACGUCGACCCGUUCAUGGCAGCAGAUUAAGACUAGGACAAAUUUCGAAGAAUCCCUUUUGCUUUCAGUGCAGUGUUGACAAUCCCACGUGAUUGUCUGUUAAAUUUUGCAUUGGAUAUAUGAGUAGCUCCUGGGUUACAAGAGUUACCCCGUUACUGACCUGCCAGAUCAAUGUUGUUCCAUGUACAUUACCUGGCAUAUAUGCCAGGGCCCUGACUCAGUUAGGGUUUUGAGCUGAUUGUUUGGUCGACUGAGUGGAUCUUAUUUUGUUUAAUAAGUUGUGUAAGCUAUGAUUCAGAUAGAUAUAUAAAAUCGAAAAUCUCUAUUCCGAGGUUACUAUUCUAGUUUCCUGAUGAAGUAAUUUCCGCCAUUGCCUGAUUAUACCGCUAGUCCAUUUUUCUUUUUUCGUGCUAGCUUACUAGUACUACUGUGCAUGAAAACAUGAAUGUACACGAGACUUUGCAAACCAGGCACAGCUAACUAAAUCUCGUUUUAAGUCAUGUAUUUAUGUAUGUCUAGCAACACACAUGAGAUAUGUAACAACAGAACGUCCUUUGCAUAUAAGCCUCGUCACCCUCACAAAAAAUAUUCAGCCUAAAGCAUAACCGUUUAGACGCAGCUGCCACCGUCUCCUCUCCAAGGGGAAAAAAAGCUUAGGGUUUCUCUGCCUCUGCCGGUCCGCCUUUUAUCUGGUGGCCUUAUGGUGGCGCGGUGGACCUCUGCCCUUGCCGGCAGGAGGGAUCUUGCUUAUCUUUUUAGGUAUUUUUGUGAAUUUUUUUAGGGUUUGUGUCCUGCUUAGAAAAAUGAGAUGAUAGCUGCUCUUUGAAGUUGGAAUGAUGUUCUCCCUGUCUAGUCCUUGUUUCAAUGAUGCUCUAGUGCCGUCGGAGGGCAUGUGAAAAUGUGUCUACAACGGAUCUUGCGAGAUUCGAUCGGUGUUGGUCUUUUGUAGAUCUCCUUGGAGUCUUUGUUCGUCUUCUCCUUUCAAUCUACACUUCUCUUCAUGGGCGAAGCUGUUGCUCUUGUGUAGGUCCCGCAGGGCCUCAACACGACGGCUUUUCAACUUUUUAUUACAACAAGUUUGGCCAUGCUUCGAUGAGGGAGGGGCGAUGACGUCGACACACAUUCAGCUCACUCCAGUGCUUAUAGUCGUCGCUAGGUUGUUUACGGGCAUGGAUAUAAUUUUAUUAUUUAUGUAUUCUUUGUACUGUCAUGGCAUGAUGAACAAAUCAAAAAAUUUGAUCACAAAAUAAAAUAAACAAUAACAUAGAACCUAAUCAAUUUUCUCUUUUUAAAUACUGGUGAAUAUAUACAUGCAAUGCACGUUGAUAUUAGAAGAAAAAUUGGACAUUGAUAUUAAAUAAGAUAUCAUUAAUUACGUGUAUACUGUAGAUCUUAAUAUUUGGUACGAUAUUAAUUGCACGCUGAAAUUGAAGAAAUAUAGGUCAUUGGAUCGACAUAGUUUAUCGCCGAGAUUUGUUAGAUAUGUCUCUCUAGGUCUUUUUUAUCUCAUUUAAUUUAUAAAAUUUAAUUUAAUAUUCUUAAAUAAAUUCUGUAAAUACAAGGGAAAGAUCCUAAUCAGUUUUGCUAUUUCAAGGGAACAUCCUAAUCGAAACAACACGCACUUGCCCCGCUCCAGCGCCAGCAGUUACCGUACUGUGCAGGGCUCCCCACCAACUCCGACAUUGUGGCGUCGUGCGCUCGACCGGACCCCUCCUUCCCCCCUCACCUCCCCUCCCCUCCGUUGCCCCCGCUUCUCCAACCAGCAGAUUCCUCCNNNNNNNNNNNNNNNNNNNNNNNNNNNNNNNNNNNNNNNNNNNNNNNNNNNNNNNNNNNNNNNNNNNNNNNNNNNNNNNNNNNNNNNNNNNNNNNNNNNNNNNNNNNNNNNNNNNNNNNNNNNNNNNNNNNNNNNNNNNNNNNNNNNNNNNNNNNNNNNNNNNNNNNNCCUCCCCCGCCACCCAGGCCAGCUCCCCCGCCGCCGGCGCCCCCCUCCGCCGUGGAGCUCGACAUGGACGACGCCUGCGCCGUCUGCGCGGAGCCGCUCGAAUGGGUGGCCUACGGCGCCUGCGGCCACCGCGAGGUCUGCUCCGCCUGCGUCACCCGCCUCCGCUUCGUCCUCCGCGACCAGCGCUGCUGCCUCUGCAUGACCCACUGCCCCGCCGUCUUCGCCACCAAGGUCAGCACCACCUACCUAGGGUUUUUUCAUCCGCGCUUUUCCCCUGCCCGCCCCCAACCCUCUCGCCCCACGCGCCGCCCCCGCGCCGCGCGCGUCUCAAAAUUUCGAAUUCCGCCCUCAUGGAUGGCUUCUCGCUGCCCAGGAAAUGGGGGACCGCACCAAGGCGAUCGGCGAUCUCUCGGCGCUGCCGGCCGCGGCCGGCGAGGGCAAGACCGGGGAGUACUGGUACCACGAGGCCACGCAGGUGUGGUUCGACGACGCUGACCAUUACAGGAUGGUAAGGGCGAUGUGCCGGAUCUCCUGCACCGUCUGCGAAAGCAGCGGCAACAAGGGGAAGAAGGGCAGUAAGUCGUCCAAGGCGAAACACAAGAUCAAGUUCGACAGCAUUGAGCAGCUCAAAGCCCAUCUGUCCAACAAGCAUUGCUUGUACAUGUGCGACCUCUGCUUGGAUGGGAGGAAGGUGAUGCAAUUGAUGGCCUGCUUGUCCUUGUUAACUGCUUUAAUCUUCUAGAUACAUCAUACAUCCUUUUUUGUUCAUUUUGGUGACAAGUAUUUUCGGACGGAGGGAGUAUUUUCUAAUGUGAUGAAAUGCUUGCUGGUAAUACCAAUAGCUUCGUGCAACACUAGGCAUAUAACUUGGUGCGGCGUGGUCAAUUCAUCCUUGCAUUUAGUUGUGCAGUGCUCAAUACCAGUUACUAAUGCAUUAAGACUUGAUUUUUUCUUGUGUUGACAUGAUAGUUCUUAGAUCAUGUUGCUGUAUGAUGCUAUUAGUAUCAUUUACAAACUAGUAGUGCUUUGCCAUAUUUUUGUUGCCGUUGUUGUCAUCUACAUGUAGCAAUGGAAGUAUUAUUUCCUGAGUGUUGAUUGUAUUAUUUUUGCUAGCCCGUUGCUCUCCAUACCAACUUAACACAUGUCAUCCCUUGUUUUUAUCCACCAGUGGAUGAUAUAUCAUAUAAUUCUCUCAUUUAGACCAUAGCAAAAAUGUAUGUAUUCUUCCUAAUAGUAGAUAAAAUAUCUAACCUUUUUGGAGUUCCAUCACUUCUUUUCACUCCAACAUUCAAGUUUAUUACAUCAGAUGUGAACAAACAAUGGUUAAAUAGUUCAGAAGAUUUGUUGAUUUGAAGAUUUGUGUCCACAAAUUAGCAUUUCCAUUCUCUUGCAGUUCACAUUUACAUGCUUAAAAUAGUUAGGAGAACACCCAAAUUAACAUAGCUGAACCAUAUUUUUCAACCUGCUGCAUAAUGAUUUAAUGUUUGGCAUAUUGCCAAUUCCCACUGAUUUCUUUUUACCAGCAGGGAAAAUUAGUUAUGAAGGUACAUCCUGCUUAUCAUGAUUGCAUACUUGGCUUGUAGCCCGAGCAAUGAAUAUUUCAUGUAUUCCACAAUAUUUGAUUUUUAUAAGAAAUUCCUGUACUGUUGUUGUCUUGAGCAGGUAUUUAUUUGCGAGCAGAAACUUUAUACAAGGCCUCAAUUAAACCAGCACAUAAAAACCGGUGAUUCAGAGGUGGAUGGCUCGGAAGUUGAGCGCCGGGGUUUUGCAGGGCACCCGAUGUGCAAGUUUUGUAAAAGCCCAUUUUAUGGAGAGACUGAGCUAGAUACACAUAUGACAAGAGAACAUUAUUCUUGUCACAUAUGUCAGAGGUGCUACGCAACCGUUAUUUUAUUUGUUGGGGCAUAAGUACAAAGCUUAGGGUUUCUCUGACUUCAUGGUUGUUUACAGGCAGCACGGUGGGCAGGAUGAUUAUUUCAGGAACUAUGAUGACUUAGAGGUAUGUCAUAUCAAGUUGGCAUAGUUAUACUAAAGUCAGAGUGCUAUCUUAAUUUUAGGCAGUAAAACCAACAUAAAUACAUGUAAACAUUGCAUCUAUGGGCAAAUUUGUACUACAGAGAUAUUGGAGUGGAUACCAAAUAUUGUGUAGAUAAGAUAUAAGGUUCUAUCCUUGCCCAACUAGGUUAUUUGAAUAGAAUUGUAUAUUUUACCCAUUUUUAAUCUCCGAGUCUAUAUUUGUUAAGUAUGCCUUAUGUUUGGACCAUCAAUGUACUCCCUCCGUCCGGAAAUACUUGUCAGAAAAAUGCAUAAAAAUGGAUGUAUCUAGAACUAAAAUACGUCUAGAUGCAUCCAUUCCUACGACAAGUAUUUCCGGACGGAGGGAGUACAUUCACAAGGUGCUAGGCACCAAUCAGGAAGCAGACCAGCGCCUAGUCCUGCUUAGGCGGCUGCCUAGGCGAGAGGGUGUACCCUAGCAUGUAGAUGCCACCUAUGCAGACUAUGGCUAGGCAGCGCCUUUCGGAACACUGUAAUGAGUAUAUUGAUUAAAUUGAUGUCACAUCACUUCCGCAGUUGAAGGUCAUGUCCGUAGCAGUUAAGCGAGACCAUAGCAUAUUGUCUAUCUCUUCCAACUGGAGCUGUGCCUGCUAGAUCUAUUAUCCUUGAUGUGGAUAUAACAUGGUCUCCAUUUUCGGUGCCUAUGCAUGCCAUUCCCACACAAGAUUUUUACUGCAUAUCAAUCCUAUGGUACAGAAUUUAGUGGUAGACUUGUAUUAAAUUGGAAUAACAAGUUGCUACAGAAUUCCAAGUCAAAAUUGUGGUAAAUUUCAUGUUAGAACCUAACAUGGUGCAUGUGCCCCUUUAGAUGCAUUUCCGAAGAGACCAUUUCUUCUGCGAGGACAGAGAGUGCUUGGAGAAGAAGUUCAUUGUCUUCCAAAGUGAAGCAGAGCUUAAGGCAAGUCAAACACAAAUGAUAUAUUGUUAAAUCAUAUUCCCUGGACAUGUCACCAGAUUAGUACAUGAUAACUGGUUAUCCUUUACUGAUAUUACAUCAUUUCUUUUCUUGUUCCCUCCAGAGGCACAAUGCUGUGGAGCAUAGGAAGCGCAUGCCUCAUGCACAGAAGAAUUCUGCUCUCCAGGUGUACAAACGAAUCUGCCUUAUUUCCAUCUCUUGUGUUAAGCCAACUAUUGACAUGCUAGCAUAUACAUAUUGAUAGUAAAAAUGGAGCAUUAAGCUGAUCUAUUUUACUUUGCCCGUCAUUGACAGACACCAACCAGUUCUCGAGACCGGAGUGAGCUAGAGCAGAGUAAUGGCAGAGGUAGAAGGCAUAACGCUUGCCUCUCCAAUGGUUCUGUUGACAAUACCUUGCUGUCUGUUCAGAAUAGCAUUGCAAAUAUGGGUCGUGGCUCGGGAAAUCAAGUUGCUGCAGUUGUGUCUCCCUUGCGAUCUAGUUCUGGGCACUCAUCACAAGCAGGCCAAAGCUCUGGGAUGAAUCGUGUUUGGCAGCAACCACAACCCCUCUCCCGCCAGGAGGUUCCUGAUGCAAGAAUAGGUUCCUGUUUUCAAGAAGCUUCAUCCCCUCCCAUAUCAGGGCAAUCAGGGUAUACACCAGUUGUCAGUCGGAGCUCACGGACUGCUGCACGCGCAAUGGAUUUGGAAUUCCCUCCUUUAUCAGGCAGUAAUAACAGAACUGCCGCUUCAACAGAGCAGGGGGUACGAAAGGUAGCUGAGAACACUCAUGCAUUUGGGCUCCGACAACAAAGCAAUGGAAUUGUGAAUACACACCAUUCUGCUCAGCAUUGGUCCCUUCAAAAUACUGAUUUGAUCCCUUCUGGUUCAAGUCACUCCCCAAGUUGGCCUACACCCAACACAAGUCCUCACGUUAGUGGAUCGCUGAGUCUGACUUCUGCAGGAAAUGGAAGGCAAGAAACACCUGUGAGCCGCCAGGUGUUGUGCUCUGUGGAUGAUGUUCGUGCAGCGAAUAAUUCAUUGGUUGAAAGAAUGCAGGCCGCAUUAGGAAUGGACCGGGACAGGUACUCGAUGUUCAAAGAGAUCUCCGGGGAGUAUCGUCAAGGAGUUAUCAAUGCUUCAAAGUAUCUUUCAUACGUCGAACAAUUUGGUCUGUCGCACCUCGUUCUUGAAAUGUCAAGGUUACUGCCGGAUCCUCAAAAGCAGAAGGAGCUUGCUGAUGCCUACUAUGCGAAUUUGCGCCUUACAAGCCUCCAAGGAAAUGGUGGCGGUGGAGCUGUUUGCUCGAAAGACUGCACCCGGAAAAAUAAGGGGAAGGGGAAACUUCCUGCUGCUGCACAGGAUUCGUUAGAGGGUAAGCUCCUGAGUGCUGCCAGCAAGCUUCAGUCGCAGGUGGGAGGCUCUAGAGCGCUGUUGAGAGAAGGGUGUGGAGCAGCCGAUGGACCUUUGCAGGAGCCGAGGUGGCCUGUGAAGGGUGCUUGGCAAAACCGUGGGGGGCAGAGACUCGUGAGCAAGGCGAAGAAGUAAACUGCGGUUUACAGGAUGAGUUGCCACCUGAGCUGCUGUGAAAACGUCCGUUUUCCCCUGCUUUGUGUCUGGCUUGUUGAGGCGACUGAAAAGGCCGUGGAGUGAUUAUUUGGUUCGCUUCUGUUUCUCUGUGUCUGAACUUUAUGUUGAGUUUGCGUAAUUGUGUCGUGAAUGUUGUGAAGAAGGAAUAGUUAUGAACUAUGUGGAUGGUAACUAUCAAAGCUAUUGUAUUUCGGGAUGUCUCUGUCAGGAUUAGUAUUUCGAAGUUUGUAUGGAAAUACAUAUCAAAUCCAUCUAGAACUAUACUUUUUUACAUAUCCAAAUCCAUCAGUGCGCUAUGUCCAACCUAAUACAAAGUACAGCCUCUGUUCCUAACAGAGGUACUCCCUCAGAUCCAAAUUAAUUGACGGAGCUUUAGUACAGCUUUGUACUAAUGGUGUACCAAAGCUCGUCGAUUAAUUUGAAUUAAAGGGAGUAGUACUUGUCAGUAAUCAACAGUAACGAACAAUUCAAGACGCUUUACUUUGUCUUCUUAAUCCCGAGGGCGCAAAGUGUAGGUAUGAAUUGCCGUGAUAAACACAAUGGCUCUGCACGAGAUGAGAAUAAGUAUAAAUCAUCUAUGACUUGCCUCUACCCCAAGUCUCUUUCUCUUACACUUGUACUCUAUAUAUACCUCAUCUUAGUAUUAGAGGAUCAAUGCAACAUGAAAAAAAAAACACAGAAAUAUUUUAGCCUUAAUAUGUUCCACGUGGUCUUGAAGCGGUGAAAUACAAUGCUGAUUUUUCCACCAUUUAAGCGACGUACCGCCCCCGGAGAGAUUAAUCUCCUCUCAACUUCGAAUUGCAACAUGACCAUGCCUGAAUUACAACUAUGAGUGUUGAUGCCUGAACUAGGAGCUUCAUGUGGGCAGGAGUUUGUGACAUGCAGGGGCCAGGGCACGCCCAUUGUCCUGCUCCAAGAUUCGGGAACUCGUUUGUGUCUAUCAUCUAUUUCCCCUCGUAUAUCCCUCCAGGAAUUUAUGUAAUUGGAUCGUAAAUGGAAAGCAAUAUACCUGCUUCUGUGGACCGGUUUUGAGGGUACAUAUAUUUCGAUAAAGAAUUGGUGCAACAAACUUGUAGUAAAACAAAAAUGUUGUGGAAAAUCCAUUCACUUUGUUCUUCCUGGUUGUAUAUUCUUCAAGUACCUUCUUCUUCUUUUCCUAGAACUCUUGUGUUCUAGCAUCAAUGGUGCAGAGGAGAAGGGACCAAAGCGAUUCUGUUCCCAGUGACAUCAACAUAGUAACAAUAUCAAUAAGGGGAGUCCUAGUUGGACUAGGGCUGUUUGAUGCAAGGAGGAGGGACUCCUCCAAGGGUUGGUCGACCCAAACCUCCCAGCCACCUAUAUAGCGAGGGGUGCACUAGGAGAAAAAAACCAUCCCAUGAUUGUUCCCCUUGCUACUUGCGCCUCUCUCUCUCUCUCUCUCUCUCUCUCUCUCUCUCUNNNNNNNNNNNNNNNNNNNNNNNNNNNNNNNNNNNNNNNNNNNNNNNNNNNNNNNNNNNNNNNNNNNNNNNNNNNNNNNNNNNNNNNNNNNNNNNNNNNNNNNNNNNNNNNNNNNNNNNNNNNNNNNNNNNNNNNNNNNNNNNNNNNNNNNNNNNNNNNNNNNNNNNNNNNNNNNNNNNNNNNNNNNNNNNNNNNNNNNNNNNNNNNNNNNNNNNNNNNNNNNNNNNNNNNNNNNNNNNNNNNNNNNNNNNNNNNNNNNNNNNNNNNNNNNNNNNNNNNNNNNNNNNNNNNNNNNNNNNNNNNNNNNNNNNNNNNNNNNNNNNNNNNNNNNNNNNNNNNNNNNNNNNNNNNNNNNNNNNNNNNNNNNNNNNNNNNNNNNNNNNNNNNNNNNNNNNNNNNNNNNNNNNNNNNNNNNNNNNNNAGAUUGCCGCAUGGCUAAUGCUCCAUCUAGUUCUUCCCUCAAUUCUUCUUGCUGAUUCCAUGGAGUGUUGCGGUACUGCUAGAUCAGUACGCGCGGGUACCUCAGAAGUGUCGUCCUCUUCGACAAUAGAUCAACGGAUCAUCCCGGAGAAAAUUCUCGUGGCUGGGAUAUAAUUAACUUAGACGUGGAAAUCGGCAAGCUUCACCAACUUUUCUUCCUCUUCCACUGUGUUGAUUGCUAGUGAGAUCAUCGUUAUCAGUAACCUCCAGAGUGUCGAAUGUAGCUUCGGUGCCGUGGCUGCACCUACCUUUGGGUGUGUGACAUGUGGGCCAACCAUUUGUUGGGCCCACAUGUCAUGCACACAAAGGCAGGUGCCUUAAGACACUGAAACUCAGUCCCAUAGUGUUCAUAGGCAUGUUUGUACAUGUAUUUUUUUUGUGGCGUAGCACAUUUCCCUUCACCAGCCUCAACACUCUCCAAACUUCCAUCGCUUUCUACACUGAGAAAACAGUUGCUUUGUAUCCUCCGAUCCUUAAGAGCAUGAGGGACAUUGAGGCAACACCUUCAAAUGCCUAUUGGCAAGCAAAACACGGUAGGGAAGGGUGCCAAGCAAAGUACGUGAACUAUUUUUUUACUUGGCCGGGCAAGAUAAAUUCUGAACCUUACACCAAAUUGAGUUAAUGGCAAUGUUCUAUCCCCUUUAUACGUCUGAGCUUCCUCUCAUGUUGGUUAUCUCAUUGGUAUACCUCACAGAAACAUCAGGAGUUAAAUAUAUAUUUUAUUGUCCCAUCAAAGGGCAAAUCUUACCCAAAUGAUAACCGACUGGCUAAUGCUUGAUAUAUCUCCAACGUAUCUAUAAUUUUUGAUUGCUCCAUGCUACUUUACCUACUGUUUUGAGCAAUAUUGGGCUUUAUUAUCCACUUUUAUAUUAUUUUUGGGACUAACCUAUUAACCGGAGGCCCAGCCCAGAUUUGUUGUUUUAUGCCUAUUUCAGUGUUUCGAGGAAAAGGAAUAUCAGACGGAGUCAAAAUGGAACGAAGCAACCCAGAGAACUUGGAGUGCACGUCAUGGGAGAUACAGGUUGCCCACGAGGGUGGGGGGCGCCCCCCCCGGCGCGCCCCCUGCCUCAUGGGGCCCCCGUAGCUCCUCCGACGUACCCCCUGCACCCAUAUAUACUCUUGUACCCUAAAACUUCCAGAACAGAAGAUAGAUCGGGAGUUCCGCCGCCGCAAGCCUCUGUAGCCACCAAAAACCUCUCGGAAGCCCGUUCCGGCACCCUGCCGAAGGGAGGAUCCUUCACCGGUGGACAUCUUCAUCAUCCCGACGCUAUCCAUGACGAGGAGGGAGUAGUUCACCCUCGGGGCUGAGGGUAUGUACCAGUAGCUAUGUGUUUGAUCUCUCUCUCGUGUUCUCUCUCGUGUUCCUCUAUGGCACGGUCUUGAUGUAUCCCGAGCUUUGCUAUUGUAGUUGGAUCUUAUGAUGCUUCUUCCCUUCUACUCUCUUGUGAUGAAUUGAGUUUCCCCUUUAAAGUUAUCUUAUCGGAUUGAGUCUUUUAUGAGAACACUUGAUGUAUGUCUUGCCGUGAUUAUCUGUGGUGACAAUGGGAUAUCAUGUGCCACUUGAUGUAUGUUUUGGUGAUCAACUUGCGGGUUUCGUGACAUUGGGAACCUAUGCAUAGGGGUUGGCACACGUUCUUGACUCUCCGGUAGAAACUUUGGGGCACUCUUUGAAGUACUUUUAUGUUGGUUGGAUGAAUCUGAGAUUGUGUGAUGCAUAUCGUAUAAUCAUGCCCAUUGAUACUUGAGGUGACAAUGGAGUAUCUAGGUGACAUUAGGGUUUUGGUUGAUUUGUGUCUUAAGGUGUUAUUCUAGUACGAACUCUUUUAUAGAUUGAUCCGAAAGAAUAGCUUUGAGGUGGUUUCAUACCCUACCAUAAUCUCUACGUUUGUUCUCCGCUAUUAGUGGCUUUGGAGUGACUCUUUGUUGCAUGUUGAGGGCUUGUUAUAUUAUCUAUCUAUGUUAUUAUUAUUGAGAGAACUUGCACUAGUGAAAGUAUGAACCCUAGGCCUUGUUUCCUAUCAUUGCAAUACCGUUUACGCUCACGUUUAUCACUUGUUACCUUGCUGUUUUUAUUAUUUCAGAUUACAAAUACCUUUAUCUACCAUCCAUAUUGCACUUGUAUCACCAUCUCUUCGCCGAACUAGUGCACCUAUACAAUUUACCAUUGUAUUGGGUGUGUUGGGGACACAAGAGACUCUUUGUUAUUUGGUUGCAGGGUUGUUUGAGAGAGACCAUCUUCAUCCUACGCCUCCUACGGAUUGAUAAACCUUAGGUCAUCCACUUGAGGGAAAUUGGCUACCGUCCUACAAACCUAUGCACUUGCAGGCCCAACAACGUCUACAAGAAGAAGGUUGUGUAGUAGACAUCAAGCUCUUUUCUGGCGUCGUUGCCGGGGAGGCUAGGUAAGUGAAGGUAUAUCUUUAGAUCUUGCAAUUGAAUCUUUUUUUUCUUGUUUUAGCACUAGUUAGUCUAUAAAAGAAAAUUACAAAAAAAAUGGAGUUAAGUUUGUCUCAUACGCUUCACCUUUUUAAUAUCUUUCGUGAGUAUGAUGGAAAGGAUAAUUGUGCUCAAGUGCUAGAAGAAGAAAUCUCUAAAUUGUUUGGCACUAAAUCUUUGAAUGAUGAGCAUGAUUGCAAUGUUGUUAGUAUGAAUUUCUUGAAUAUCCAUGAUUCUAAUGAUAUGCAAAGCCACAAGCUUCGGGAAACUAUGUUUGAUGAAGAUGAUAUUUUUUGUCCCCCAAGCUUUGAUGAGCAAAUUUACUAUGAUGAAAGCAUGCCUCCUAUCUAUGAUGAUUAUUGUGAUGACACGUAUGCUUUAAAGAAUAAUGAUAACCAUGAAACUUGUCAUCUUGAUCUUAAUUUUCAAUCAUAUGAUAGUUAUUUUGUUGAGUUUGCUCCCACUACUAUUCAUGAGAAGAAUUUUGCUUAUGAGGAGAGUAGUAAAUUUUCUAUGCUAGUAGAUCAUGAAAAGAAUGCUUUAGGUGCUGGUUAUACUGUUGAAUUUAUUCAUGAUGCUACUGAAAAUUAUUAUGAGGGAGGAACAUAUGCUUGUAGGAAUUGCAAUAAUAUAAAGUUUCCUCUCUAUGUGCUUAAAUUCUUGAAGCUAUGCUUGUGUUACCUUCCUAUGCUUGUUGAUUAUUGUUCCCAUAAGUUGUUUGCUCACAAAAUCCUUAUGCAUAGGAAGUGGGUUAGACUUAAAAGUGCUAGUCAUGUGCUUCAUGAUGCUCCCGUUAUGUUUCAAUUCUUAUCUUUUAUGUGAGCAUCAUUGUCAUCAUCAUGCCUAGCUAGAAAGGCAUUAAAGAAAAGCGCUUGUUGGGAGACAACUCAAUAUUUACCUUUACUGUUUUUGUGUGCCCACAUGAUUAUGCUACUGUAAUAAUCAUGUUUUAUAGCUUUUGUUUCAAUAAAGUGCCAAGUAAGACCUUUAGGAUGGCUUACGAUGAUAAUUGUGUUGAUCCUGCUGAAAAUCAGAAACUUUUGCACCCAGUAAAUUAGUUUUGUUAAUUCACAGAAACGUGAUUUUGAUCUGAUUAUAUUUUCUCUGGAUUGGUACACGAAUUUCUUAGGACUUGGUAGGAUUUUUGGAGUUCCAGAAGUAUGCGUUUGAUACAGAUUACUACAGACUGUUCUAUUUUUGACAGAUUCUGUUUUCUAUGUGUUGUUUGCUUAUUUUGAUGCAUCUAUGGCUAGUAUUAAGUGGUAUGAACCAUAGAGAAGUUAAAAUUAGUAGAUAUUACACCAAUAUGAAUUAAAAAUGAGUUCAUUACAGUACCUAUGUGGUGGUUUUGUUUUCUUAUACUAACGGAGCUUACGAGUUUUCUGUUGAGUUUUGUGUUGUGAAGUUUUCAAGUUUUGGUAAAGAUUCGAUGGACUAUGGAAUAAGGAGUGGCAAAGAGCCUAAGCUUGGGGAUGCCCAAGGCACCCCAAGAUAUCCAAGAAUAGCCAAAAGCCUAAGCUUGGGGAUGCCCCGGAAGGCAUCCCCUCUUUCGUCUUCGUUCAUCGGUAACUUUACUUGGAGCUAUAUUUUUAUUCACCACAUGAUAUGUGUUUUGCUUGGAGCGUCAUUUUAUUUUGUUAGUAUUUGCUUGCUGUUAGUUAGAAUAAUGUUUUGCAUCUUUAGUUUCAAUAAAGAAGUCAAGGAUAGCCUUUGCCAUGCUUACUUUGCUAGUAUACAUGUUGCUGUUUGAAAACAGAAAGUUUACCACUGUUGCAGAAAUUCCCUAGAAAAGUCAGAGAGUGGUAUAAUGUUGAAUCUUUUUGCAUAUUUAGCUCUGAUAAAUUUAUUACAGUGGGAAUUUUAUUUCAUAAUUUUUGGAGUCAGGGAAGUAAUGAUACUCUUGCAUUCUUUACAGACUGUACUGUUUUGGCAGAUUGCUGUUAUGGUUGCAUUGUUUGCAUAUGUUUGUUUGUUUAAUGAUUCUAUUUGAGGAUAGGAGUAUUAAAUAUGCAUAGGCAUUUAGUAUGCAAUGUUGAAUAAUAAUUUUAGUGAUUUUUUACAGUAGAAAAUGAUAAGGUUUUGCAUUGGUUUAUACUAUCCUAUCUCACGAGUUCUUGUUGAGUUUGUUGUGAAUUAAGCUUUUGAUAAAAAGAGAAACCAUGAUAUGAGAGGAAUUAAGGAGACACAAAAGUUCAAGCUUGGGGAUGCCCAAGGCACCCCAAUAUAAUAUUUCAAGAAGUCUCAAGCAUCUAAGCUUGGGGAUGCCCCGGUAGGCAUCCCACCUUUCUUCUUCAAUAACUAUCGGUUAGUAUUGGUUGAGCCUAAAUUUUUGCUUCUUCACAUGAGUUGUGCUAUCCUUGCAAUGUAGUUUUCUUUAGCUUUGCUUGCUGUUUGAAUAAAGUAUCAAGAUCUGAAAUUAUUAAUUGAGAGAGAGUCUCCGCAUAGUUGCAUAAUUAUUUAGCUACUCAUUGACCUUCACUUAUUUCUUUCGGAGUAGUUUGUCAUUUGCUCUAGUGCAUCACUUAUCCCUUAUAGAGCAUGGUGGUAGUUUUAUUUUGAAGAAAUAGAUGAACUCUCAUACUUCACUUAAAUUAUUUUGAGAGUCAUUAAUAGCAUGGUAAUUUGCUCAAUAUUAAUAUACUUGGUAUUCAAGAUAUGUGAAACUUUCUUAUGAGUGUGUUGAAUACUAAGAAAAGUUUGAUACUUGAUAAUUGUUUUGAGAUAUGGAGGUAGUGAUAUUAAAGUCAUGCUAGUUGGGUGAUUAUGAAUUCAAAGAAUGCUUGUGUUGAAGUUAGCAAGUCCCGUAGCAUGCACGUAUGGUUAAAGUUGUGUAACAAAUUUGAAACAUGAAGUGUACCUGGCUUGUGCAUCCUUAUGAGUGGCGGUCGGGGACGAGCGAUGGUCUUUUCCUACCAAUCUAUCCCCCUAAGAGCAUGCGCGUAGUACUUGAUUUUUGAUGACUUCUAAAUUUUUGCAAUAAGUAUAUGAGUUCUUUUGACUAAUGUUGAGUCCAUGGAUUAUACGCACUCUCACCUUUCCGCCUUUGCUAGCCUCUUCGGUACCGUGCAUUGCCCUUUCUCACUUUGAGAGUUGGUGCAAACUUCACCGGUGCAUCCAAACCCCGUGAUACGAUACGCUCUAUCACACAUAAACCUCCUUAUAUCUUCCUCAAAACAGCCACCAUACCUACCUAUUAUGGCAUUUCCAUAGCCAUUUCGAGAUAUAUUGCCAUGCAACUUUCCACCAUUCCGUUCAUCAUCAUCAUGACAUACAUUACUUUUGUCAUAUUGCCAUUGCAUGAUCAUGUAGUUGACAUCGUAUUUGUGGCAAAGCCACCAUGCAUUAUUUUUCAUACAUGUCACUCUUGAUUCAUUGCGCCAUCCCGGUACACCGCCGGAGGCAUUCAUAUAGAGUCAUAUCUUAUUCUAAGUUUCGAGUUGUAAUGCUUAUGUUGUAAUCAAUAGAAGUGUGAUGAUCAUCAUUAUUAGAGCAUUUCCCAAAAAAAAAGAGAAAGGCAAAAAAAAACAAUAAUAAAAAAAGGGGGCAAUGCUACUAUCUCUUUUUCCACACUUGUGCUUCAAAGUAGCACCUUGUCCUUCAUGUAAUGAGUCUCAUAUAUUGUGCUUCAAAGUAGCACCUUGUUCUUCAUGUAGUGAGUCUCAUAAGUUGUCUUUUUAUACUAGUGGGAAUUUUUCAUUAUAGAACUUGGCUUGUAUAUUCCUACGAUGGGUCUCCUCAAAUGCCCUAGGUCUUCAUGAGCAAGCGAGUUGGAUGCACACCCACUAGUUUUAUUUUGUUGAGCAUUCAUAGCUCUAGUGCAUCCGUUGCAUGGCAAUCCCUACUCCUCAUGUUGACAUCAAUUGAUGGGAAUCUCCAUAGCCCGUUGAUUAUCCUCAUCAAUGUGAGACUUUCUCCUUUUUUGUCUUCUCCACGCAAUCCCCAUCAUCAUAUUCUAUUCCACCCAUAGUGCUAUAGGCAUGGCUCGCGCUCAUGUAUUGCGUGAAGGUUGAAAAAGUUUGAGAUUAUUUAAGUAUGAAACAAUUGCUUGGCUUGUCAUCGGGGGUAUAGAAGUUGGGAACAUCUUUGUGUGACGAAAAUGAAGCAUAGCCUAACUAUAUGAUUUUGUAGGGAUGAACUUUCUUUUGCCAUGUUAUUUUGAGAAGACAUGAUUACUUCGAUUAGUAUGCUUGAAGUAUUAUUAUUUUUAUGUCAAUAUGAACUUUUGUCUUGAAUCUUUCGGAUAUGAAUAUUCAUAUCACAAUUAAAAAGAUUUACAUUGAAAUUAUGCCAAAGUAUCACUCCACAUCAAAAAUUCUUUUUUAUCAUUUACCUACUCGAGGACAAGCAGGAAUUAAGCUUGGGGAUGCUUGAUACGUCUCCAACGUAUCUAUAAUUUUUGAUUGCUCCAUGCUACUUUAUCUACCGUUUUGGGCAAUAUUGGGCUUUAUUAUCCACUUUUAUAUUAUUUUUGGGACUAACCUAUUAACCGGAGGUCCAGCCCAGAUUUGCUGUUUUAUGCCUAUUUCAGUGUUUCGCGGAAAAGGAAUAUCAGACAGAGUCAAAAUGGAACGAAAUCAACUGGAGAAGUUAUUUUUGGAAGAAAAGCAACCCAGGGAACUUGGAGUGCACGUCAGGAGAGAUACGGGCUGCCCACGAGGGUGGGGGCGCCCCCCUCCCCCCCGGGCGCGCCCCCUACCUCGUGGGCCCCCCGUAGCUCCUCCGACGUACCCCCCGCACCCAUAUAUGCUCUUGUACCCUAAAACUUCCAGAACAGAAGAUAGAUCGGGAGUUCCACUGUCGCAAGCCUCUGUAGCCACCAAAAACCUCCCGGGAGCCCGUUCCGACACCCUGCCGGAGGGAGGAUCCUUCACCGGUGGCCAUCUUCAUCAUCCCGGCGCUAUCCAUGACGAGGAGGGAGUAGUUCACCCUCGGGGCUGAGGGCAUGUACUAGUAGCUAUGUGUUUGAUCUCUCUCUCUCGUGUUCCUCUAUGGCACGAUCUUGAUGUAUCCCGAGCUUUGCUAUUGUAGCUGGAUCUUAUGAUGUUUCUCCCCCUCUACUCUCUUGUGAUGAACUGAGUUUCCCCUUUGAAGUUAUCUUAUCGGAUUGAGUCUUUUAUGAGAACACUUGAUGUAUGUCUUGCCGUGAUUAUCUGUGGUGACAAUGGGAUAUCAUGUGCCACUUGAUGUAUGUUUUGGUGAUCAACUUGCGGGUUUCGUGACAUUGGGAACCUAUGCAUAGGGGGUGGCACACGUUCUUCACUCUCUGGUAGAAACUUUGGGGCACUCUUUGAAGUACUUUUAUGUUAGUUGGAUGAAUCUGAGAUUGUGUGAUGCAUAUCAUAUAAUCAUGCCCAUGGAUACUUGAGGUGACAAUGGAGUAUCUAGGUGACAUUAGGGUUUUGGUUGAUUUGUGUCUUAAGGUGUUAUUCUAGUACGAACUCUUUUAUAGAUUGAUCCGAAAGAAUAGCUUUGAGGUGGUUUCGUACCCUACCAUAAUCUCUACGUUUGUUCUCCGCUAUUAGUGGCUUUGGAGUGACUCUUUGUUGCAUGUUGAGGGCUUGUUAUAUUAUCUAUCUAUGUUAUUAUUGUUGAGAGAACUUGCACUAGUGAAAGUGUGAACCCUAGGCCUUGUUUCCUAUCAUUGCAAUACCAUUUACGCUCACGUUUAUCACUUGUUACCUUGCUGUUUUUAUUAUUUCAGAUUACAAAUACCUUUAUCUACCAUCCAUAUUGCACUUGUAUCACCAUCUCUUCGCCGAACUAGUGCACCUAUACAAUUUACCAUUGUAUUGGGUGUGUUGGGGACACAAGAGACUCUUUGUUAUUUGGUUGCAGGGUUGUUUGAGAGAGACCAUCUUCAUCCUACGCCUCCUACGGAUUGAUAAACCUUAGGUCAUCCACUUGAGGGAAAUUUGCUACUGUCCUACAAACUUGUGCACUUGCAGGCCCAACAACGUCUACAAGAAGAAGGUUGUGUAGUAGACAUCAAUGCUCCAUCUAGUUCUUCCCUCAAUUCUUCUUGCUGAUUCCAUGGAGUGAUGCGGUACUGCUAGAUCAGUACGCGCGGGUACCUCGAAAGUGUCGUCCUCUUCGACAAUAGAUCAACGGAUCAUCCCGGAGAAAAUUCUCGUGGCUGGGAUAUAAAUAACUUAGACGUGGAAAUCGGCAAGCUUCACCAACUCUUCUUCCUCUUCCACCGUGUUGAUUGUUGGUGAGAUCAUCGUUAUCAGUAACCUCCAGAGUGUCGAAUGCAGCUUCGGUGCCGUGACUGCACCUACCUUUGGGUGUGUAACAUGUGGGCCAACCAUCUGUUGGGCCCACAUGUCAUGCACACAAAGGCAGGUGCCUUAAGACACUGAAACUCAGUCCCAUAGUGUUCAUAGGCAUGUUCGUACAUGUAUUCUUUUUUGUGGCGUAGCACGUUUCCCUUCACCAGCCUCAACACUCUCCAAACUUCCAUCGUUUUCUACACCGAGAAAACAGUUGCUUUGUAUCCUUCGAUCCCUAAGAGCAUGAGGGACAUUGAGGCAGCACCUUCAAAUGCCUAUUGGCAAGCAAAACACGGUAGGGAAGGGUGCCAAGCAAAGUAGCGAACUGUUUUUUACUUGGCCGGGCAAGAUAAAUUAUGAACCUUACACCAAAUUGAGUUAAUGGCAAUGUUCUAUCCCCUUGGUACGUCCGAGCUUCCUCUCAUGUUGGUUAUCCCAUUGGUAUACCUCAUAGAAGCAUCUGAAGUUAAAUAUAUAUUUUAUUGUCCCAUCAAAGGGCAAAUAUUACCCAAAUGAUAACCGCCUGGCUAAUGCUCCAUCUAGUUCUCCCUCAAUUCUUCUUGCUGAUUCCAUGAAGUGUUGCGGUACUGCUAGAUCAGUACGUGCGGGUACCUCAGAAGUGUCGUCCUCUUCGACAAUAGAUCAACAGAUCAUCCCGAAGAAAAUUCUCUUUGCUGGGAUAUAAUUAACUUAGACGUGGAAAUCGGCAAGCUUCAUCAACUCUUCUUCCUCUUCCACUGUGUUGAUUGCUGGUGAGAUCAUCGUUACCAAUAACCUCCAUAGUGUUGGAUGCAGCUUCGGUGCCGUGACUGCACCUACCUUUGGGUGUGUGACAUGUGGGUCAGCUAUCUGUUGGGCCCACAUGUCAUGCACACAAAGGCAGGUGCCUUAAGGCACUGAAACUCAAUCUCAUAGUGUUCAUAGGCAUGUUCAUACAUGUAUUCUUUUUGUGGCGUAGCAUGUUUCCUUUCACCAGCCUCAACACUCUCCAAACUUCCAUCACUUUCUACACCGAGAAAACAGUUGCUUUGUAUCAUCCGAUCCUUAAGAGCAUGAGGGACAUUGAGGCAGCACCUUCAAAUGCCUAUUGGCAAGCAAAACACGGUAUGGAAGGGUGCCAAGCAAAGUACGCGAACUGUUUUUUUACUUGGCCGAGCAAGAUAAAUUCUGAACCUUACACCAAAUUGAGUUAAUGGCAAUGUUCUAUCCCCUUUGUACGUCUGAGCGUCCUCUCAUGUUGGUUAUCCCAUUGGUAUACCUCAUAGAAGCAUCUGGAGUUAAAUAUAUUUUUAUUGUCCCAUCAAAGGACAAAUCUUACCCAAAUGAUAACCGCCUGGCUAAUGCUCCAUCUAGUUCUUCCCUCAAUAUGACUUGAAGCUCUUUUCUAGUGAUAUCCACGAAUUCCAGGUCAAGCUUUCUUAGGCUUGGGAAACCAUUGAAUUCGAAUGGUGGUCUGAAGGAUGCAAAGCUAAGUUGAAUAUAUUUUAGACGUGAUAUGCUUUCAAUAUCCAAAAGGUGAAAUGGAAAUAUGUAACGAAAGAUAUCUCAAACUGCCUUGUUAACAGGGUUUAAGUAGACAACAAUGCUCUUUGUCUGUGAUGACACAACAAAAUCAACCCAGUUAUUGAGAUGAGUAGCCAGCAUGAUGUCAAAUUCGAAUUUGACAUGGAAUUCUUUGACCACCGUGCCGUGGAAAUUUCUCAAGACUGCAUUGACAUCAUUGAUAAAUUUCUGCAUGUAUUCACAAUAUUCUUUUCUUAAAAAACUAUCGCGGCAACACCCAGCAGCACCAGUGAAACAUAAUUUGUGGCAAGAAACAUCGCGGAUAGAUCUCCAGUGACUUGAUAAAACACUGGCCCUUGAAAUCUCUUUAGGAGGCAACUUUGACAAAAUUGUGCACAUCACAUCCUACGUCAACGGAAUAUAGAUGCUUGAGAUUACAAGUUAUAGCUGUACUCGACUGUAUAUCAAAAAAAGGGAAAUUUGACAUACAUUUGGAAGGUCUCCCAAUUUAACGUCUGAGCUCGCCUUCUUCUAGAUUGAAUUCCCAUGGGUAUGGUCUGAUGAUGUGCUUUGCGCAUUUGAUGGCUCCUCAUCUGUAAAACUGAAUAUGAGAAGUCAGAGUUCCUCCAAGAUUAUAUGAUACUCCCUCUGUAAAUUAAAAUAAAAGCGUUUAGAUCACUAGAUAUUCACAAGUGUAUUAACUGCUAGUAGUAGGCAUUACUGUAGAUAAUCCGAGGAACUACUCCCUCCGUUUCAUAAUAUAAGAAUGUUUUUGGCACUCAGAGGGAGUAGUUGUUUGUCGUCGGUGCCAGCGCUUCGGUGCUUGGGAGGUCCGAUUGAUGUCGGCUUUUAACGGGACGUGAGACGAUUUGAUUCGGCCAGGGCUGGACUCGGAUUCCUGGGCCCGAUUUUAGAGAGGAUAGCGAAGCGCGUUCCGCUUCCCGGCCCAACCCUCUUUCCUUCCGCUUCUCGGCCCACCCUCCAUACAAAUGGAAAACCCUAAUAAGAAACCCUAAGAAACCCUUCUCCCCCGCCACCGGCCACCACCCCGACCACGAGCAAGACAACCGGACAACGGAAGCGGCGAUGGGAUGCACGGCGUCCACGCGACGUGCGGGGCGGGGCUCGCUCGUGUUCGAGGUCUCAGGGUACGGCGGAGUUAGCCUCGACGUACAAUCAUCGGAAGUAUUCACCGUCGGCGCUUACGACUGGCAGAUUCGUUUCUAUGAGGAAGGAGUGUUUGGGCAUUCCGGAGGCUAUGUGGCGGUCUAUCUCUUUUUAGUCAGCAAGAAGGCCAAGGUGAGGGCAACCUUCGAGCUCAGUUUGGUGGACAUCACUGGAUCAACGCCGCCUCGUACGAUGAGGACGGUCGCCGCAGAAUUCGACUCUGGCGACCGGACGUGCUUCGGCCAUCCCGAGUUCAUGAGGAAGAGCGACCUCGAGGCGUCGCCUUACCUUCGCGGCGGCGAUCGCCUCACAAUUGAGUGUACCAUCACUAUCUGCACGGAAGCGCCCAAAUCAUUUGUUGAGGUGCCGUUGCCGCCAUCCGACAUCACGGAUCACCUCAGGAAGCUGUGGCAAGGGAAAGAGGGCACCGAUGUCACCUUCGAGGUUCAAGGGGAGGCUUUUCCUGCCCACAAGACAGUGCUCGCGAUGCGGUCACCGGUGUUUAAGGCAGAGUUGUACGGUGCCUUGAGGGAAAAUGAUAUGGGUCGCGUUAUCAUCGGCGACAUGCAACCUGCAGUCUUCGAGGCCCUGCUCCAUUUUAUAUACACCGAUUCGUUGCCCACCAUGCAUGAUCUUUACCAAGAUCAAGAUGAGUACAAAGAGAUUAUUGGACAUUUGCUUGUAGCCGCGGAUCGCUAUGCCAUGGAAAGACUGAAGAUCAUAUGUGAAAGCAUCCUUUGCAAGAACAUAGAUUCGAAGACCGUGGUGACUACACUGCCUUUGGCUGAUCAGCAUCACUGCAACAAGUUGACUGAUGCUUGCAUUGAAUUUAUUGCCUCUUUGGGUAAAGUGGAUGAUAUAAUAGCAAGCCAGGGAUAUGAUGAGCUCAAAAGAACCUGUCCUUUGGCUUUACUGGAACUGUGGGAGAAGGCAACUAGGCUGUACAUGAUAUAGUCUUCAUUUCACAUUGGCAUGUGUGUUAAGUCACAUACAUAUCUUGCUACUUGUUUGAUGAAGGAUUAGUUUAUUUUAAUAUAUCUGAAGCUUUGGUGGAAAACAGUAUUACUCUGCUAAUGUUUUUCGUUUGUCAAGAUGUUGCAUACUUAUCCUUUUAGCGCAAAUGGUAUUGUUGCUAAACAAUAUAUAUGAGUGUUUAAUUGUCUGUUCGAAAAUUUUGUCAUAGGUUUUAAUUACCACACUACAUGUGCAGGCUAGUGUAUGCUACUCACUUCAAUGAUGAUAUCUGCCGUAACGAAUAAGCAGCAAAAUGCGACAAGAGUGGGACAGGAGUGUGUUAAUGUGAUUAUAUGGGAACAUUUCGUCAUAAUAUGAAAUUCGAAACGGGAGAAUGAAUGCCACAUUUUCGAACUCGUGUUGUAAAAUAAUAGGGGUGCAUUUGAAACAAUAAUUCUUGCACUGGAAGGUGUUCAAUUUCCUUUGCCAGGUACUUUUCUGUUCUUGCAUCCUCCAAUUGGUUUCAGUUUUUAUUUUACUUAUUACCUGAAAAGUUGAGACUGAAUCCAUAAAAAGUUGACCCAUCGGUAAGCUUUUAAUUCUUUUACAAAUAUAAAAUGAAAUAAGUAAUCAAUCUAACCUAUAAAAUGAUUGAGUACCACCACAUCAUCCAUCUAUACUGUUAUAUAAACAUCAUCGGUACAUCACAGUAUUGGGCAACUGGCCUAUAUCAUGCUAUUACUUUGAAUGAAACACAUUUGUACUAUAUGACAGUAACUAAUUGGAAGAGUGCAGUAUGUUAAUGCACCUGCAUAUCCUUGAGGAAUAAAAUAUCGAAUAAAAGUUGACAUUUGAAAGUACCCCUUGUGUUGUAAAUUAAUCAUUUUGAUACAGAAGGAACGCAAUAAUGAAGAAGCAUGUAAAAAACUGGGGAAAGUAUUGUUCGUAACAGGUUAUAUGCAGCCCUACCGUCUACAGGAACGCAUCAAAGCAAACUUUGGAACUUGGUGCAUGUCAGGCAAGUCGGGAUUUAGUUGUUAUUUACAGAGGUGAUUUCUGUUCCCUUUAAUUUGUAGGAAUUUGGGGCAGGGAAGCAACUGAAUAUCUUUUUCAAAAGUAUUCUCAAUCUGAUUUGUAUGUGACGAGAUUAUUAAUCAGUUUGAUUGAUUGAGAUAUUUUUUGUAUUUGCCGCAGCAUGUAUGUACCAAGCAGGAUUGCAAGUCAUUCUCACCUUAGGAUAGUAUUCAUACCUAUUAGCAAGUCUACAUGGAUCAUUUAAUGUUGCAAUUGUGUGCUGACCCAAAACCCUAGAAAUAGUUCAACCAUUUUCCUCAAAGGCGUAUUAUUACAUCUAAGGCAAAAUCAAUUGAUUAGUUUUACUAUUUCUAACGUUUCUAAGUAGUGUUGAACCAUCUCCACAGGAGCUUGACAAUUUAGUGCUACCAGCCAUGUUUCACAGUACUAACACAAAGGUCAAUGCAGAAGUCUUUUAUAUAAUUAUUCACCUUGAGGAACACAUAGAAUUUGUUGCGAGAUGGAACAAUAAGUGUAGCUUAUAGUGACAUCAAAGAUUGCAGCUGUAUUUCACAAUAUUUUGAUGCCCAGAAAAUCUACUUGCUUUUGAUAGUACUGUAAGACCGCAUGAUACAGUGGUUCUCUUAGGUGUAUAUGAAAUUAGUUCAGUUAAAAUUAGAGGUCUAUGAUUCACCACGUUUUCCAGCGAUUAGAUAUAAAUGUUUUAUUGAAGUCUAUUGAAAGUUACUAAUGACAUCUGGAAGUCUGCACCUCCCUCUUUUUUCAGACCUAAGUUGUUUUCUCUGAAAGUCCAGCAUAAUACUCUGAAAAGAAGGUCAGGUUUUCUCCCUUUAGUCAAGUUACUCUGACUUGGUUUAAUUUUAAAAUAGUAGAUAUAUUCCUUCCUAAUUUUGUCAAGUUACCCUCCUAAUCUACCAUGCAGUUCCAUGUUUCAACUUGUUGCGUAAAUAUUUUUCUCUUUGUUUGACCAGAUGUUCACUGAAUAAUAGUCGGUCAUUGGUUAUUUGUUUGUUUGUGUGCAGUUUGCUUUUUUAAACCCAACAUUUAAACAUGAAACUGAAAUAUUAAGUUUAUCUGAAUAACAUUUGGUCACUGAACUAUUCCUCGUUCACUAUAAUUUUGUCAAAGUUUUAUGUAAUAGGUUUAAAAAAUAUGUUCAAAAAAUUAGCAUACAACUUGAGAGAAACCUAUCUUUUAGUUUUGGUUAUUACAAGGAGACAGAAAAGAGAUGACAUAGGCAUAUAGCUGGGAGGAGAGAGAAAUUAUGUGAUUUGGCACAGCAGACUAGCACAGAACCGAGAGAAGGGGGUUGUCAAGUGAACGGUUCUCAGAGUUCACAUGGUUAAAUGAACCAAAUCAAAGUCCAAGAUUGUUAUCUGAACCCUAAAACGAUUUCAAGGGGUGAUAUGGACUUCUCGACUACUAGAGAAUGUGCCUUCAACUUGCAGGGUCAAUGGACAUGCACCUUUGAUUUAACAUUUGAGAUUUUAAAUGCUCUCUGAAUUAGGGCAAGCAAACAAGCAUUUUCUUAAAAUUGUUGUUUAUAUGCUUGUUCUAUUAAUUUUCUUUUAGUGAUUCACAUUUGAGACUUUUUUUUCUUAAAUUGAAGAAUUUAAGCUCCAAUAUAAAGUAAUAUGUAUAAAUCACAGGGAAAUGAAUUGAAAAUGUAGAACUACGUACUCCCUCCGUAAAUAAAUAUAAGAUCAUUUAGAUCACUUCGUAAAAGGUACUCUCCCUGUAAAGAAAUAUAAGACCGUUUAGAUCAGUGUAGGAUAUGACACUUGAAAUGGAUAUGGAUGACGCAUCAAAGCACCAUGGGUUUCUAGCAACAACCACAAAGACCACACACGAUGUAUAACAUCCCAAUUUUAUUAGGACGUUUAUAAAAGCAUUAAUUUGCAUCUUAUUAUUCAAAUGCGUAUUUGAAUAUUCAAGAACAUUUAAAUUUAAACUAUUUUCAACUCAAAGAAAUAAAAGAGAACAUAAUAUUACUUAUAUUCCUUAUGAAAGGAGUGAGAAAAUGUUAAGAUGUCAUUUGGAGUGGAUAAAUACAAUCUUGGUAAUUAAGUAAACUCUACAAAUAUUUAAGGGAAUUAUUAUUAGGUCCAAACUAGCUGUAUAAAUAAAAUGAAUUUACAACAUUGCACUUCGAGUUGAGAAUAAUUUUUCUAGGCUCUAUAUGAGUAUUAUUUUUUGCAAUUUUCUGGUAUUUUCUGAAAAACAUAUAUUUUACACUAUUAUUUGAGCCAUAAUUUCUAGACUAAUUUUGUUACGAAAUUCUAUACUAACUAGACUAGAACAGUGUUUCAGCCUAGUAACACACCAAACAGACCGCGACCAUUUUAGGCCCCCAACCUAGUUCCUUUCUCAAAACGGUAUGGGCAUCGAGGGCCGUUAGUUUUAUGAUCAUCUCUUUCUCUCUUUUCUUGCCUCGCUCCUCUGCAUCUCUUGGCAUACUGUCUUUGCCCAUGGAGCACCACAUCGUCUGAACAGUGCACACUUGACCACACCAGAGCACCGCCGAGCACUCCACACCCGUCCAGAUCACCGACCACACUGCCGUGAUGACUGCGACAAGUUUAACCCUGACGUGUACUUCCUCGACGCUGACGACCAUCGGAGACCAUGCCACAUUUGACCCGAGUCGUCAUGCCACUGUCUUUUGUUCGUCUGUUUAGAAAUAGAUUCUGUAGAUUAGAAUUUAUUUCUUCCGAAUUGUUGUUUGAACUUAGCCCUAGAUCUGCACUAAAAUCCAACGGUUGUUAUUUUGUUUGUGCCUUAAUCGGUAUCUUUUGAUCUAGUCUGUCCAUUUUCAUUUAAAUAGGACGAAUAUAUUUUAUUUAGCCACGAAUCAACAUUAACUAGUCUGAUGCUGCCACGUGUCACAUUAUUUUGCAGAAAAUCCCACGAAACUUCUAACAUUCUGUAAAUUGUUAGUCUUGGAGUGCUUAUGACCUAUUAGUUUAACAUUUUUAAUUAUUCAAAUGUGAUAAAUUCAAAUUCAAAUUCAAAUUCAAAUAUUAUUUUAGCCAUAUCUUGCAAUCUGGAGAUCCAGUUUAGUUGUUUCUUUUUGCAUGAUGGAAGCCUGAUCAAAUCCUAUCUACUACUACCUCCGUCUCGGUGUAUAAGUCAUUCGCGUAGUUCUAGGUCAUCGAUUUGAGGAAUUAAAUAUGUGCUAUAUGUCAUGAAAAGUAUAUCACUAGAUUUCUACACGGAUGUAGUUUCUAAAUAUAUAUUUUUUGUCACAUAUAAUACAUAUUUAGAUAGUUAAAUUGUCGACCUAGAACUACGCGAAUGACUUAUACACCGGGACGGAGGGAGUAAGCCGUUAAUAGUACAUAUCAAAAUCAUUCCUAUGUCAUGUAUAUGAUGUAUCUUUUAUGCCUUUCGCUCUUAUAGUUGCACUUUUGCACUUAAGACCCUAUAUUAGCUAAGGCUAUAUAUACUAGUGCCUCCGAUCCAAAUUAAUUGGCGCAACCUCUUCUAUACAUGUAUAGAAGGGGAUAAUAUGUUUUGUUGAGUUCUGUUUGCUAUCUUUGCAAGUAAUUUUAUUUGCAUGCUUAAUUAUAAUAGUUUUCAAAUUUAUUUCAUUCUACGAUAGAUUGUUUGGACUGCCAAGCCGCUUACUUACAUGAAUUAGAGUAUCAUCACCAGCACCAAGGCAAGUUGCAUUCUUUUGUGCAUGUCCAUUUACCAAUAUCUUUACUAAGCAUUUAGUAUAUUUUGAGUAGUAUGCAUGAGCAUGUUUAUAUAUUCUAAAUAUGCAAGUAUGAGCCCACUGUAGUUCAAUAAGUACGUCUGAGUUCUAAUUACCUGUCUGUCGUCGUUGUAGUUUGCUUAAUUUGCUAAAGUAGGAGGAUACUUUGGUGAAGUGUAAUUCAUGGGAAGUUAUGAAUGAUAAUGUAGUAAGGAAGACCAACUAAAUUCGUGGUACGUGGGUGGAAUAGUAAUUAUAAAGUGGUGAGGUACAAUGUUAGCAUCAUGGAGAAUGUGAUCUCUUAAAAGAUACACCUGUGGCAUUGCACACUAGUGGACCGCCGCUAAGGCUUAAAAAGACCAACCAGUUUUCAUGAAUAGUUGCUUCCAUGUGCAACCACAAGCAAUUUCAGGCUUUGUGUUAGUUAAGUAGGUUGUGCUGAACCUUGUCUUGUAGGCUACCCUCUGAAAGUCUUCGUCUUGAUCUUCUACCAGUUCUCCCAUGUUGAACACGAACCUCACUGGAUCUAAAGGUCGAAGCCCCUCCGACCUUCCAGCGCCUGCCGUCGAGUCGAUGACACGGUCACGAAGAUAGCGCCAACCAACCAAGCACGGUGCACGCAGGCAAGAUCACUUGCGACGGUGGCAACAUCUGUUGAAUGGUCACCACACAUCCCAGCCGGCGGCACGGGUGACGACUUCCUCUAGAGCACACCGGCUCUCCAGGUCGAAGGACAUGUCGGUGUUGCUCCCUUUCCUUUCCACUGCCACAUGGGCGCUUGCUGCAACCCGACGGUGUGAAGGAUUAGGAAGGCGCGCAGCCGCCCGUGCCCUAGAACGGACUGUUGCUGCUGCAUCGUAAGAGCAUAUCGAACAGGCACGCUAAAUUAGCCGUGCGUUGGAAAAAACGAUUAUUUAGCGCGCGCGCGACCGAAACCGGCGCUCCAGUAGACGCGCUAAAAUCCCGCACGCGGCAAAGUUGGUUCAGUGCGCUGGGGAAAACGGCAUCGCGCGCUGCUUAGUUGCGCUCGCUCCUGCGCGUUGGACAUGGCAAUCGGGCGCGCGAAUCUAACCAACCGCCAGAUCUGAAACCUCCAGGCGCUGGGCCUCCGCCCGCACCUUCCCCAUUCGCUUCGGCGACCCGCCAGCGCUUCCCCCGCCUAUCCCUGCGCGCCACCGCUGCUUCCUCUGCCUUCUCUCCUCGCCGCCGCCCCUCGAGCGCACCUUUCCUCCGAUGAACAGUGCCCGGUGGGCGUUUCCAGCUCGGCGCCCACAAGGUGUUUGAUAAAACGCUUGCAAGGUAUUUAUUGCUUCAACUUUAUAUUCGUAGAUGAAUUUGAUGCAUGUUGUUUGUAGUUUUAAAUUAGUUUAAAUUCAAUUUUGUAGAUGAGUUCGUCCUACGAUUCUUCCGACAAGAAUUUGAUCUUCAAGAGGAGGACAUCGCAAUGAUCCUAGCUAUGCACGUCAAUAAAAAGCCGAAGCAUGGUGGUUCGAUUAUCGAUCGUCAGAAAUCGUGGAGGGAUAGGAUCGAUGCACACAACAGAUUGAUGAGAAACUAUUUUGUGGAGAAUCCCACAUACCUCGAGUCCUACUUUUGGCGUAGUUUUAGGAUGAGCAUCGAGUUGUUCAAACACAUUGCGGAGAAACUAGCGAGCCAUGAUCUAUUUUUUCAGCAAAGGAGGAAUGUCGCCGGAGAAAUCGGGCCUAGCACCUUUCAAAAGGUGACCGCCGCUUUGCAUAUGUUGGCAUAAGGUAUUCCGGCAGAUCUAGUUGAUGUCCACUUGGCCAUGGUGAGAGUCAAGUCAUCAUGUGUGUCAAGCGCUUCGCAGUCGGAAUUGUGCAAGUGUUUGGUCUGAAAUAUUUGAGAGCUCCCAAUGCUGAAGACACCGCAAGGCUUUUGGAGAUGAACAAAGCUCGCGGGUUCCAGGUAUGCUUGGCUCAAUAGAUUGCAUGCAUUGAAGUUGGAAGGACUGUCCUAAGGCAUGUUAUGGACAAUUCCACGCCUAGAAAAAGGGUUUCACUAUAAUCCUUGAACGGUGGCCGAUCAGGAGACUUGGAUUGGCAUGUUUUUUUUUUUGAAAUGCCUGGAUCUUGCAAUGACGUCAAUGUUCUUAAUUUGUCACCACCCAUGAAUAUGAUUGCAAAUGGUGAAACUCCACCGGUGGAGUUUGUACCAAAUGAUCAUACACACAACUGUGGCUACUAUUUUCGGAUGGCAUCUAUCCAAGGUGGCAACAUUUGUGAAGCCGUUUGACGGCACUGCAAGGUAAGAAAAGUCUUGAUUUUUACAAUGCUCAGACAACGGCUAGGAAAGAUGUGGGGAGAGCUUUUGGGAUUUUGCAAGCCCAAUUUGCUAUUAUGAGAGAACCUGCUAGAUAUUGGGAUCAAAAGAUUCUUUGGUACUUCAUGAACGCGUAUGUGUUCAUGCAUAACAUGAUCAUUGAAAAUGAGCGUGGGCAAGAUUUAGACUAUUCUCAGUAUGAGUUGUUGGGACGUCCUGUGCGAGCGCGGAGGAGAAUUGUGAUGGUGGCCCGCUUUAUUGCCUCCUAUCAUGCCAUUCGACGUGCCGAACACAUGAUGAUCUUCAAAAGAAUCCAAUCGAGGAGUGGUGGGCAUGGAAUGGGCGACAAAAUUAGUUUGAUGUUGUAUGUUUAUUGUAUUAGAAAAUAAAUUAUUUGUUUGAGUUGUAAUAAUAAUUAAAAUAUUUAUUGUUAAUUUAUUUUAUGUGUGUUUGAUCUUCUUGGUUCUAUAUUCAAUGGGAAAUGUUGUUAGUGCUAGGCGCGCAUUGUAAUUUAGCGCCCCUGUUGGAGUGCCAUAUGCGGCCCAUAAUAUAUAGCGCUUCUGCUGAAGCAAACAUCCUCCUGCGCACGCUAAAACGCUAUUUCAGCGUUGCAAAAAAAUUUAACGCGUAACGCAACCGCGCGUGCGUUGGAGAUGGUCUAACCACAUGUACUGUAUCAAAGCUAUUGCCUAUACAUCGCUUCACCUCGUCGAAUAGCAAGCCCCGCCGCCGCCAUCGGCCACACAGGCAAACCCGACGGCGAUGGCAACAACGAUGGGAGGACACUUGGGCAGAGGCUCGGCGAAAAAUUGAUAUGCAGGCCGCCCAUAUCGCCCACGUGGACGACGCGGGGCAACUCAGUUGGUAUAUGUCGUCCUUUUACAUACUCUGUUCUUGGCUUCUUUCUCGUUUAUUUUUUUAAAGGAACAUGCUUGUUCAUUACUCCCUCCAUUCCACAAUGUAGUGCUUCCUCUAUCUACGUGCUUCAACUUUGACCGUAAAUUUAACUAUCAAGACCGAUUGCGGCGGGAGCAAAAAUUAUAUCAGUGAAUUCGUAUUCGAAAGAAGUUUUCAAUUAUAUAAUUUUUUUCUUCCGCCGCAGUUGGUCUUGUUGGUUAAAUUUACGGUCAAAGUUGGACCUCGAGAAGCGCGGACGCACUAUAUUUUAGAAUGGAGGGAGUAUACUAUAUACCAGUGCUGAACAGAUAUCCAGCUACGCGGUCAUUUACAAAAUCUGGAAACUGGCCAAGCCAAGUCUCACAUGUGCCAGCUUCCAAUUUAGCACCAUGUGCUGCUAAACAGUGCGGUAUAGUAUUACUCCCUCUGUUCCUAAAUAAUUGUCUUUCUAGAGAUUUCAAUAAGUGACUACAUACGAAGCAAAAUGAAUGAAUCUACACUCUAAAACAUGUCUACAUACAUCCGUAUGUUGUAGUCUAUUUGAGAUGGCUAGAAAGACAAUUAUUUGAACGGAGGGAGUACAAACUCUGGGACAUGAUACAACAGAUACUUCACUAAAUCCCACACGCAAUUGAAACGUGAUGUCUUUGAAAACAGCUCCCAGAGUCGACAUAUCAUAUUCUUCAGUGCAAAUUGUGUUCUUGAGCUGUACAGAGUCCAUCUCCAUAAUUACUCGAUUACUCCCUCCGUUCCUAAAUAUUUGUCUUUUUAGAGAUUUCAAAUGGACUACCACAUACGGAUGUAUAUAAACAUAUUUUAGAGUGUAGAUUCACUCAUUUUGCUCCGUAUGUAGUCACUUGUUGAAAUCUUUAGAAAGAUAAAUAUUUAGGAACAGAAGGAGUACAUCCCAUUUGAAUGGCUGUGUUUAUGGCAUAAAGCAUCGCCAAAGCCUCCGAAUGAAGCACAUCUGAGACUCGCUCCAGACUACCUGCUCCAGCAGCCAUCAACAUACCACAAUCAUCCCUGAUUACUAAGCCCCAUCCUCCAUUUUUUGUUUCUUUCAGAAAUUCACCAUCCAUAUUGAUUUUCAAGAUUUCUGGUGGAGGCAUGGACCAUCUUUCCUUUUGUUGUUGCUUUGGCAUUCCUCCUACUUUUCCAACCUUAAGAAUCUGCAUAAAAAGAUAAUUAAUGGAGUGACAGAUUUCAUCAAGAUAAUUAAUGGAGUGACAGAUUUCAUCAGAGGAUCUAAUAUUUUCUCCUGCAUUUACUUUAUUCCUUUCAAGCCACCAACACCAAAGGAGUAGGCAAGAUUUUUAAGUUUUUCUUCUUCGUUAAGGUUCAUAAUUAUUUCCAUACAUCCCAAAGCAUCUGCACAAGACAAAAUCUGCACUCUAACAUGCUCCAGCUAAGCUUUCCUCCACACAUCCUUAACCUUCUUGCACUUAAUGAAACAAUGUCGCCAUCCUCAUCUAACCGAAAACAAACAGGGCAACGGGUAUCUACUUGCAUACCUCUGUCCUGAAGCUUCAUGCGCAAAGGUAGGCUAUCUGUAGACAUGCGCCACAGGAAGUGAAGAAUCUUAUUUGGAAGAGGAGGCGACCACAACUUUGACCAAUUAAAAUCACCUGUUUCUUCAUCUGCACUGGAGGAGGAAGUUAAUCCUGAAAUGGAUUCUCGAGCCGCACUAUCUACAACAACUCUAUAUGCAGAUUUAACUGAAAAUAUACCUUUUUUUAUCAUAAUGUCAUGCUAUGAAAUCAUCGUUAUGUUCAUGAAUUGGGAUUUGUAAAAUGAUUUCCGCAUCUUCUGGAAGAAAGGUUUGUCUAACUAACUCUCCAUCCCAAUUGUUUGUGCUAGGAUCAAGCAGAUCUUUUACUUUGGUUAUAAUGCUUUUACCCCUAUGAGUGACGACUCUUCUGGUGGUACCUCUCAGAAUCCAAGGGUCAGACCAAAUGUCAAUGUUAUUGCCACUACCAACUCUCCAUAUGAUCCCCUUCUUGAGCAGAUUUACCCCUUUUAGUAUACUACGCCAUGUGUAGGAGAUGCAAACUUUGGGCCUAGCCUGAAGAAUUGAGCCAUUUGGGUAAUACCGUGCGCACAAAUAUGUUGGGUUAUGGAUAAGCCUCCAUGCCUGCCCUGCAAGUAUCGCUAGGUUGAAAGCGUGAAGGUCCCUAAAGCCCAUUCCUCCAGUUUUUUGUCUUCGUCAAUUUCUCCCAACUGACCCAGUGAAUUUUAUUCUCCUUAUCCAUUUGGCUCCACCAAUAUCUAUUGAUCAUUGAGCUCAGUUUAUCACAGAGUGACUUGAUUAAGUCAAAGCAAGCCAUUGAGUACACUGGGAUUGCUUGUGCUAUGAUACGUCUCCGUCGUAUCUAUAAUUUUUGAUUGUUUCAUGCCAAUAUUAUUCAACUUUCAUAUACUUUUGGCAACUUUUUAUACUAUUUUUUUAGGACUAACAUAUUGAUCCAGUGCUCAGUGCCAGUUCCUGCUUGUUGCAUGUUUUAUGUUUCGCACAAAACCCAUAUCAAACGGAGUCCAAACGGGAUAAAAACGGACGGAGAAUUAUUUUGGAAUAUUUGUGAUUUUUGGGAAGUAAAAUCAACGUGAUGUUGGAAAUAUGCCCUAGAGGCAAUAAUAAAUUAGUUAUUAUUAUAUUUCCUUGUUCAUGAUAAUCUUUUAUUAUCCAUGCUAUAAUUGUAUUGAUAGGAAACUCAGAUACAUGUGUGGAUACAUAGACAACACCAUGUCCCUAGUAAGCCUCUAGUUGACUAGCUCGUUAAUCAAUAGAUGGUUACGGUUUCCUGACCAUGGACAUUGGAUGUCGUUGAUAACGGGAUCACAUCAUUAGGAGAAUGAUGUGAUGGACAAGACCCAAUCCUAAGCCUAGCACAAGAUCAUGUAGUUCGUAUGCUAAAGCUUUUCUAAAUGUCAAGUAUCAUUUCCUUAGACCAUGAGAUUGUGCAACUCCCGGAUACCGUAGGAGUGCUUUGGGUGUGCCAAACGUCACAACGUAACUGGGUGGCUAUAAAGGUACACUACGGGUAUCCCUGAAAGUGUCUGUUGGGUUGGCACGAAUCGAGAUUGGGAUUUGUCACUCCGUGUAAACGGAGAGGUAUCUCUGGGCCCACUCGGUAGGACAUCAUCAUAAUGUGCACAAUGUGACCAAGGGGUUGAUCACGGGAUGAUGUGUUACGGAACGAGUAAAAGAGACUUGCCGGUAACGAGAUUGAACAAGGUAUCGGUAUACCGACGAUCGAAUCUCGGGCAAGUACCAUACCGCUAGACAAAGGGAAUUGUAUACGGGAUUGAUUGAGUCCUUGACAUCGUGGUUCAUCCGAUGAGAUCAUCGUGGAACAUGUGGGAGCCAACAUGGGUAUCCAGAUCCCGCUGUUGGUUAUUGACCGGAGAACAUCUCGGUCAUGACUACAUGUCUCCCGAACCCGUAGGGUCUACACACUUAAGGUUCGAUGAUGCUAGGGUUAUAAAGGAAGUUUGUAUGUGAUUACCGAAUAUUGUUCGGAGUUCCGGAUGAGAUCCCGGACGUCACGAGGAGUUCUGGAAUGGCCCGGAGGUAAAGAUUUAUAUAUAGGAAGUCCUGUUUCGGCCAUUGGGACAAGUUUCGGGGUCGUCGGUAUUGUACCGGGACCACCGGAAGGGUCCCAAGGGCCCACCGGGUGGGGCCACAUGGGCUGUAGGGGGUGCGCCUUGGCCUACAUGGGCCAAGGGCACCAGCCCCUAGAGGCCCAUGCGCCAAGAGUGGAGGAAAAGGGGAGAGUCCUAAAGGGGGAAGGCACCUCCGAGGUGCCUUGGGGAGGAUGGACUCCUCCCCCCCUCUUGGCCGCACCCCUUCCUUGGAGGAAGGGGCAAGGCUGCGCCUCCCCCCUCUCCCUUGCCCCUAUAUAUAGUGGAGGGGAGGGAGGGCAUCCAUACCUGAGCCCCUGGCGCCUCCCUCCCUCCCGUGACACCUCCUCCUCUCCCGUAGGUGCUUGGCGAAGCCCUGCAAGAUUGCCACGCUCCUCCAUCACCACCACGCCGUUGUGCUGCUGCUGGAUGGAGUCUUCCUCAACCUCUCCCUCUCUCCUUGCUGGAUCAAGGCGUGGGAGACAUCGUCGAGCUGUACGUGUGUUGAACGCGGAGGUGCCGUCCGUUCGGCACUAAGAUCAUCGGUGAUUUGAAUCACGACGAGUACGACUCCAUCAACCCUGUUCACUUGAACGCUUCCGCUUAGCGAUCUACAAGGGUAUGUAGAUGCAUUCUCCUUCCCCUCGUUGCUGGUCUCUCCAUAGAUAGAUCUUGGUGACACGUAGGAAAAUUUUGAAUUUCUGCUACGUUCCCCAACAGUGGCAUCAUGAGCUAGGUCUAUUGCGUAGAUUCUAUGCACGAGUAGAACACAAAGUAGUUGUGGGCGUUGAUUUUGUUCAAUAUGCUUGCCGUUACUAGUCUUAUCUUGAUUCGGCGGCAUCGUGGGAUGAAGCGGCCCGGACCAACCUUACACGUACUCUUAUGUGAGACCGGUUCCACCGACAAACAUGCACUAGUUGCAUAAGGUGGCUGGCGGGUGUCUGUCUCUCCCACUUUAGUCGGAUCGGAUUCGAUGAAAAGGGUCCUCAUGAAGGGUAAAUAGCAAUUGGCAUAUCACGUUGUGGUUCAUGCGUAGGUAAGAAACGUUCUUGCUAGAAACCCAUAGCAGCCACGUAAAACAUGCAAACAACAAUUAGAGGACGUCUAACUUGUUUUUGCAGGGUAUGCUAUGUGAUGUGAUAUGGCCAAAGGAUGUGAUGAAUGAUAUAUGUGAUGUAUGAGAUUGAUCAUGUUCUUGUAAUAGGAAUCACGACUUGCAUGUCGAUGAGUAUGACAACCGGCAGGAGCCAUAGGAGUUGUCUUAAUUUAUUUGUGACCUGCGUGUCAACUUAAACGUCAUGUAAUUACUUUACUUUAUUGCUAACCGUUAGCCAUAGUAGUAGAAGUAAUAGUUGGCGAGGCAACUUCAUGAAGACACGAUGAUGGAGAUCAUGAUGAUGGAGAUCAUGGUGUCAUGCCGGUGACGAUGAUGAUCAUGGAGCCCCGAAGAUGGAGAUCAAAAGGAGCAAAGUGAUGAUGGCCAUAUCAUGUCACUAUUUGAUUGCAUGUGAUGUUUAUCAUGUUUAUACAUCUUAUUUGCUUAGAAUGACGGUAGUAAAUAAGAUGAUCCCUUACAACAAUUUCAAGAAGUGUUCUCCCCUAACUGUGCACCGUUGCGACAGUUCGUGUUUCGAAGCACCACGUGAUGAUCGGGUGUUAGAUUAUAACGUUCACAUACAACGGGUGUAAGACAGAUUUACACACGCGAAAUACUUAGGGUUAACUUGACGAGCCUAGCAUGUACAGACAUGGCCUCGGAACACGGAGACCGAAAGGUCGAGCAUGAGUCGUAUAGAAGAUACGAUCAACAUGAAGAUGUUCACCGAUGAUGACUAGUCCGUCUCACGUGAUGAUCGGACACGGCCUAGUUUGACUCGGAUCAUGUAAUCACUUAGAUGACUAGAGGGAUGUCUAUCUGAGUGGGAGUUCAUAAGAUGAACUUAAUUAUCCUGAACAUAGUCAAAAGGAUUUUGCAAAUUAUGUCGUAGCUCACGCUAUAGUUCUACUGUUUAGAUAUGUUCCUAGAGAAAAAUUAGUUGAAAGUUGAUAGUAGCAAUUAUGCGGACUAGGUCCGUAAACUGAGGAUUGUCCUCAUUGCUUCAUAGAAGGCUUAUGUCCUUAAUGCACCGCUCAGUGUGCUGAACCUCGAACGUUGUCUGUGGUUGUUGCGAACAUCUGACAUACACGUUUUGAUAACUACGUGAUAGUUCAGUUAAACGGUUUAGAGUUGAGGCACCAAAGACGUUUUUGAAACGUCGCGAAACAUAUGAGAUGUUUUGAGGGCUGAAAUUGGGAUUUCAGGCUCGUGCCCAUGUCAAGAGGUAUAAGACCUCCAAUGACUUUCUUAACCUGCAAACUAAGGAGAAAAGCUCAAUUGUUGUGCUUGUGCUCAGAUUGUCUGAGUACAACAAUCGCUUGAAUCGAGUGGGAGUUGAUCUUCCAGAUAAGACAGUGAUGGUUCUCCGAAGUCAUUACCACCAAGCUGCUAGAGCUUCGUGAUGAACUAUAAUAUAUCAGGGACAUAUAUGAUGAUCCUUGAGAUACUCGCGAUGUUUGACACCGCGAAAGUAGAAAUCAAGAAGGAGCAUCAAUUGUUGAUGGUUGGUGAAACCACUAGUUUCAAGAAGGGCAAGGGAACAAAGGGAUACUUCAUGAAACGGCAAUUCAGCUGCUGCUCUGGUGAAGAAACCCAAGGUUGAACCCAAACCCGAGACUAAGUGCUUCUGUAAUAAGGGGAACAACCACUGGAGCAGAAUUACCCUAGAUACUUGGUAGAUGAGAAGGCUGGCAAGGUCGAUAGAAGUAUAUUGGAUAUACAUUAUGUUGAUGUGUACUUUACUAGUACUCCUAGUAGCACCAGGGUAUUAAGAUACCGGUUCGGUUGCUAAGUGUUAGUAACUCGAAACAAAAGGCUACGGAAUAAACGGAGACUAGCUAAAGGUGAGCUGACGAUAUGUGUUGGAAGUUUUUCCAAGCUUGAUAUGAUCAAGCAUCGCACGCUCCCUCUACCAAAGAGAUUGGUGUUAAACCUAAAUAAUUGUUAUUUGGUGUUUGCGUUGAGCAUAGACAUGAUUGGAUUACGUCUAUCGCAAUACGGUUAUUCAUUUAAGGAGAAUAAUGGUUACUCUGUUUAUUUGAAUAAUACCUUCAAUGGUCUUACACCUAAAAUGAAUGGUUUAUUAAAUCUCGAUCGUAGUGAUACACAUGUUCAUGCCAAAAGAUAGUAAUGAUAGUACCACCUACUUGUGGCACUGCCACGUAAGUCAUAUCGGUAUAAAACGCAUGAAGAAGCUCCAUGUUGAUGGAUCUUUGGACUCACUCGUUUUUGAAAAGUUUGAGACAUGCGAACCAUGUCUAUUGGUGUAUAUGCAUGAAGAAACUCCAUGCAAAUGGACCGUUUGGACUCACUUGAUUUUGAAUCACUUGAGAUAUGCAAAUCAUACCACAUGGGCAAGAUGACUGGAAAAGCCUCGUUUUCAGUAAGAUGGAACAAGAUAGCAACUUGUUGGAAGUAACACAUUUUGAUGUGUGCAGUCCAAUGAGUGCUGAGGCAUGCAGUGAAUAUCGUUAUGUUCUUACUUCACAGAUGAUUCGAGUAGAUGUUGAGUAUAUUUACUUGAUGAAUCACGAGUCUGAAUUAUUGAAAGGUUCAAGUAAUUUCAGUGUGAAGUUGAAAGAUCGUCGUGACAAGAGGAUAAAAGAUCUAUGAUAUGAUCAUAGAGAUGAAUAUCUGAAUCACGAGUUUGGCACAGAAUUAAGACAUUGUGGAAAUUGUUUCACAACUGAUACAGCCUGGAACACCAUAGUGUGAUGGUGUGUCCGAACGUCAUAGUUGCACCCUAUUGGAUAUGGUGCAUACCAUGAUGUCUCUUAUCGAGUUAUCACUAUCGUUCAUGGGUUAGGCAUUAGAGACAACCACAUUCACUUUAAAUAGGGCACCACAUAAUUUCGUUGAGACGACACCGUAUGAAUUAUGGUUUAGAGAAACCUAAGCUGUCAUUUCUUAGAAGUUUGGGGCUGCGAUGCUUAUGUGGAAAAGUUUCAGGCUGAUAAGCUCGAACCCAAAGCGGAUAAAAUGCAUCUUCAUAGGACACCCAAAAACAGUUGGGUAUACCUCCUAAUUCAGAUCCGGAAGCAAUAGGGAUUGUUUCUUGAAUCGGGUCCUUUCUCGAGGAAAAGUUUCUCUCAAAAGAAUUGAGUGGGAGGAUGGUGGAGACUUGAUGAGGUUAUUGAACCGUCACUUCAACAAGUGUGUAGCAGGGCACAGGAAGUUGUUCCUGUGGCACGUACACCAACUGAAGUGGAAGCUUAUGAUAAUGAUCAUGAAACUUCGGAUCAAGUCACUACCAAACCUCGUGGGAUGACAAGGAUGCGUACUACUUCAGAGUGGUACGUAAUCCUGUCUUGGAAGUCAUGUUGCUAGACAACAAUGAACCUACGAGCUAUGGAGAAGCGAUGGUGGGCCCAAAUUCCGACAAAUGGUUAGAAGCCAUAAAAUUUGAGAUAGGAUCCAUGUAUGAAAACAAAGUGUAGACUUUGGAAGAACUACUUGAUGGUCGUAAGGCUAUUAGGUACAUAUGGAUUUUGAAAGGAAGACAGACAAUGAUGGUAAGUGUCACCAUUGAGAAAGCUCGACUUGUCAUUAAGAUGUUUUUCGACAAGUUCAAGGAGUUGACUACGAUGAGACUUUCUCACUCGUAGCGAUGCUAAGAGUCUGUUGGAAUUAUAUUAGCAAUUACUGCAUUAUUUAUGAAAUCUUGCAGAUAGGAUGUCAAAACAUUGUUUCCUCGACGAUUUUUGAGGAAAGGUUGUAUGUGAUACAACCGGAAGGUUUUGUCUAUCCUGAAAUAUGCUAAUAAGUAUGCAAAGCUGCAGCAAUCCUUCUGAGGACUGGAGUGAGCAUCUCGGAGUUGGAAUGUAUGCUUUGAUGAUGAUCAAAGAUUUUGGGUGUAUACAAAGUUUAUGAGAAACUUGUAUUUCCAAAGAAGUAAGUGGGAGCACUAUAGAAUUUCUGAUAAGUAUAUGUUGUUGACAUAUUGUUGAUCAGAAAUGAUGUAGAAUUUCUGGAAAGCAUAUAGGGUUAUUUGAAAGGUGUUUUUCAAUGGAAAGCCUGGAUUAAGCUACUUGAACAUUGAGCAUCAAGAUCUAUAAGGAUAGAUCAAAACGCUUAAUGGUACUUUCAAAUGAGCACAUACCUUGACAUGAUCUUGAAGGUGUUCAAGAUGGAUCAGUCAAAGAAGGAGUUCUUGCCUGAGUUGUAAGGUAUGAAGUUAAGACUUAAAGCUCGACCACGGCAGAAUAGAGAGAAAGGACAAAGGUCGUCCCCUAUGCUUAAGACGUAGGCUCUACAAUAUGCUAUGCUGUGUACUGCACCUGAAGUGUGCCUUGCCAUGAGUCAGUCAAGGGGUACAAGAGUGAUCCAAGAAUGGAUCACGGGACAGCGGUCAAAGUUAUCCUUAGUAACUAGUGGACUAAGGAAUUUUCUCGAUUAUGGAGGUGGUAAAGGGGUUCGUCGUAAAGGGUUACGUCGAUGCAAGCUUAACACCUAUCCGGAUAGCUCUGAGUAGAGAUACCGGAUACGUAUAAUGGAGCAACAAUUUAGAAUAGCUCCAAGUAGAACAGUUAUUUGGAAUAGCUCCAAAUAGAGCGUGGUAGCUGCAUCUAGGAGAUGACAUAGAGAUUUGUAAAGCACACACGGAUCUGAAAGGUUCAGACCCGUUGACUAUAACCUCUCUCACAAGCAUAACAUGAUCAAACCAAGAACUCAUUGAGUGUUAAUCACAUAGUGAUGUGAGCUAGACUACUGACUCUAGUAAACUCUUGGGUGUUAGUCACAUGGCGAUGUGACCUGUGAGUGUUAAUCACAUGGGGAUGUGAACUAGAUUAUUGACUCUAGUGCAAGUGGGAGACUGUUGGAAAUAUGCCCUAGAGGCAAUAAUAAAUUAGUUAUUAUUAUAUUUCCUUGUUCAUGAUAAUCUUUUAUUAUCCAUGCUAUAAUUGUAUUGAUAGGAAAGUCAGAUACAUGUGUGGAUACAUAGACAACACCAUGUCCCUAGUAAGCCUCUAGUUGACUAGCUCGUUAAUCAAUAGAUGGUUACGGUUUCCUGACCAUGGACAUUGGAUGUCGUUGAUAACGGGAUCACAUCAUUAGGAGAAUGAUGUGAUGGACAAGACCCAAUCCUAAGCCUAGCACAAGAUCAUGUAGUUCGUAUGCUAAAGCUUUUCUAAAUGUCAAGUAUCAUUUCCUUAGACCAUGAGAUUGUGCAACUCCCGGAUACCGUAGGAGUGCUUUGGGUGUGCCAAACGUCACAACGUAACUGGGUGGCUAUAAAGGUACACUACGGGUAUCUCUGAAAGUGUCUGUUGGGUUGGCACGAAUCGAGAUUGGGAUUUGUCACUCCGUGUAAACGGAGAGGUAUCUCUGGGCCCACUCGGUAGGACAUCAUCAUAAUGUGCACAAUGUGACCAAGGGGUUGAUCACGGGAUGAUGUGUUACAGAACGAGUAAAAGAGACUUGCCGGUAACGAGAUUGAACAAGGUAUCGGUAUACCGACGAUCAAAUCUCGGGCAAGUACCAUACCGCUAGACAAAGGGAAUUGUAUACGGGAUUGAUUGAGUCCUUGACAUCGUGGUUCAUCCGAUGAGAUCAUCGUGGAACAUGUGGGAGCCAACAUGGGUAUCCAGAUCCCGCUGUUGGUUAUUGACCGGAGAACAUCUCGGUCAUGACUACAUGUCUCCCAAACCCGUAGGGUCUACACACUUAAGGUUCGAUGACGCUAGGGUUAUAAAGGAAGUUUGUAUGUGGUUACCGAAUGUUGUUCGGAGUCCCGGAUGAGAUCCCGGACGUCACGAGGAGUUCCGGAAUGGUCCGGAGGUAAAGAUUUAUAUAUAGGAAGUCCUGUUUCGGCCAUUGGGACAAGUUUUGGGGUCAUCGGUAUUGUACCGGGACCACCGGAAGGGUCCCGGGGGCCCACCGGGUGGGGCCACCUGCCCCGGGGGGCCACAUGGGCUGUAGGGGGUGCGCCUUGGCCUACAUGGGCCAGGGGCACCAGCCCCUAGAGGCCCAUGCGCCAAGAGUGGAGGAAAAGGGGAGAGUCCUAAAGGGAGAAGGCACCUCCGAGGUGCCUUGGGGAGGAUGGACUCCUCCCCCCUCUUGGCCGCACCCCUUCCUUGGAGGAAGGGGCAAGGCUGCGCCUCCCCCCUCUCCCUUGCCCCUAUAUAUAGUGGAGGGGAGGGAGGGCAUCCAUACUCAAGCCCCUGGCGCCUCCCUCCCUCCCUUGACACCUCCUCCUCUCCCGUAGGUGCUUGGCGAAGCCCUGCAAGAUUGCCACGCUCCUCCAUCACCACCACGCCGUUGUGCUGCUGCUGGAUGGAGUCUUACUCAACCUCUCCCUCUCUCCUUGCUGGAUCAAGGCGUGGGAGACAUCGUCGAGCUGUACGUGUGUUGAACGCGGAGGUGCCGUCCGUUCGGCACUAAGAUCAUCGGUGAUUUGAAUCACGACGAGUACGACUCCAUCAACCCCGUUCACUUGAACGCUUCCGCUUAGCGAUCUACAAGGGUAUGUAGAUGCACUCUCCUUCCCCUCGUUGCUGGUCUCUCCAUAGAUAGAUCUUGGUGACACGUAGGAAAAUUUUGAAUUUCUGCUACGUUCCCCAACACGUGAGAUGAUGCCCGAGGGGGCCACGAGACAGGGGGCGCGCCCUGGACUCUCCUGGGCACCCCGUAAGGCGGUUGACGCUCUUCUUUUGCCUCAAGAAAGCUAAUUUUAUGAGAAAAAUCUGGGUGAAAGAUUCACCCCAAUCGGAGUUACGGAUCUCCGGAUAUUAAAGAAACGGUGAGAGUGCAGAAUCAGGGAACGCAGAAACAGAGAGAGACAGAGAGAUAGAUCCAAUCUCGGAGGGGCUCUCGCCCCUCCCACGCCAUGGGAGCCAAGGACCAGAGGGGAAAUCCUUCUCCCAUCUAGGGAGGAGGUCAAGGAAUAAGAACAAGAAGGGGGGCCCUCUCCCCCUUGCUUCCGGUGGCGCCGGAGCGCUGCCGGGGGCCAUCAUCAUCACCGCAAUCUUCACCAACACCUCCGCCAUAUUCACCAACAUCUCCAUCAUCUUCCCCCAUCUAUAUUCAGCGGUCCACUCUCCCGCAACCUAUUGUACCCUCUACUUGAACAUGGUGCUUUAUGCUUCAUAUUAUUAUCCAAUGAUGUGUUACCAUCCUAUGAUGUCUGAGUAGAUUUUCGUUGUCCUAUCUGUGAUUGAUGAAUUGCUAUGAUUGGUUUGAAUUGCAUGCUUUAUUAUUGGUGCUGUCCUAUUGUGCCCUCUGUGUCGCGCAAGCGUGAGGGAUUCCCGCUGUAGGGUUUGCAAUAUGUUCAUGAUUUGCUUAUGGUGGGUGGCAUGAGUGACAGAAGCACAGACCCGAGUAAGUAGGUUGUUUGCGUAUGGGAUAAAGGGGACUUGAUACAUUAAUGCUAUGGUUGGGUUUUACCUUAAUGAUCUUUAGUAGUUGCGGAUGCUUGCUAGAGUUCCAAUCAUAAGUGCAUAUGAUCCAAGAAGAGAAAGUAUGUUAGCUUAUGCCUCUCCCUCAAAUAGAAUUGCAAUAGUGAUUAUCGGUCUAGUAAAGUAGUCAAUUGCUUAGGGACAAUUUCACAACUCCUACCACCACUUUUCCACACUCGCUAUAUUUACUUUAUUGCAUCUUUAUCUAAACAACCCCUACUUUUCAUUUACGUGUUCUUUAUUAUCUUGCAAACCUACCCAACAACACCUACAAAGUACUUCUAGUUUCGUACUUGUUUUACGUAAAGUGAACACAAAGAGUGUGUAGAGUUGUAUCAGUGGCAGAUAGGGCUUGAGGAAUAUUUGUUCUACCUUUAGCUCCCCGUUGGGUUCGACACUCUUACUUAUCGAAAGAGGCUACAAUUAUCCCGUAUACUUGCGGGUUAUCAUGCUACAACUUUUAUGAGAAUUUCUUUCCCUCCUUUCGAAAGGAGUCUUUCCUUCCAACCUUGAAUCUUCUUCCAAACUCUCUCCUUUAUAUAUUCAAAGGUUCUUUUUUUGGCUUUACCCACAUAGUACGGAACACCUAAAUAUUUAGAGGGUAGACCUUUCCGGGUGAUCUGCAAGAUGCUUCUCAUCUCCUCCUUCAACUCCUGCCUGGUGUUUGCACUGAACAUUGUUGAUGAUUUUUCCUUGUUAAUCAUUUGACCUGAAAAUGGUUCAUAAUUAUUCAGAAUUCUAUUGAUUUCCUGUGCACUUUCAGCUUUGGCCUCCAUGAUCAGCAAUGAAUCACCUGCAAAAAGCAGAUGACUAACACUGGGAGCUUUCCUACAAAUCUUAAUUCCGGUCAAUAACCCUCUCAUCUCAGCUUCAUGUAACAUGGAGGCGAACCCCUCUGCACAAAUGAGAAAUAAAUAUGGAGAGAGUGGGUCUCCUUGCCUCAAGGCUCUUUGGGGUAUGACCAUACCUGCUGUAUCUUGGUUCACCUUAAUCUGAUACUUGAUAGUAGAGAUGCAUUGCAUUAUCAAUUUAACCCAACUCAUGUCAAAGCCCAUUCUACACAUCACAUCCCUUAAGAACGUCCAUUCCACACGGUUAUAGGAUUUGCUCAUGUCGAGUUUUAUAGCUGCAUAGCAUGUUGAGCCUCUUUUUCUUCUUUGCAAGAAAUGUGUUAAUUCAUACGCGAAAAGAAUAUUAUCAGAUAUUAAUCUCUUGGGCACAAAGGCACUCUAAUUAGGGGAGAUGAUAUCUGGGAGAAUUACUUUGAGCCUGUUGGUAACUACCUUGGAGACUAUCUUAUACACCACAUUACAUAGGCUAAUUGGUCUCAGGUCCUUCAUGCUUGUCGGGUUGGUAUUCUUUGGGAUUAGCACUAUUAGUGUAUCGUUCCACCUUUCAGGCAUCCCCCUCUCAAUAUCUGAAGAACCUCUUUAGUUAUCUGAUUCUCAGCAAUUUUCCAGAAUCUUUUGAAAAAUAUGGCCGGCAUACCAUCGGGUCCUGGGGCUUUCAAAUCGUCGAUGCUAUCCAAGGCUCUUUUUACCUCCUCUUUUGCAUAGUCAUCCCUUAAUACUUCAUUCAUCUCCUUCGUUACCCUUGGCUGAAUCGUACUCAAUAUUUCCUCAUUAUUGUUUCCUGAAGUGGAGGUGAAGAUAUUAAAGAAAUAGUUUGUAAUGUGUUCUUUUAACGGUUCUUCCCCCUCCACCCAGCUACUGUCCUCCCUUUUCAGUCUCUUGGUGGUAUUCCUUCUCUUUCUCUCAGAGGCGAAAGCAUGAAGCAAAUGAUGUGUUCUUAUCCCCAUCCUUUAGCCAUUUAACACAUGCUUGUUGUUUCCAGUGCAGUUCUUUUUGUUGUUCCAAAUGAUCUAACUUCUCCCUUAACACAUGCUCUCUUCUAACCCUUUAUUGGUUGAUUUCCCCUCUGUGUAUUCCAUCUAGUUCGUUCUUCAAAAUUUUGAUCCUUUUCCCAAGUUCACCUAAUACAUUAUUAUCCCAGUCCUUCAACUCCCCUGCUAUUUUGUGCAACAGUUCUUUGAUAUUCUGGUCACCUUGCAAUCCAGCAUUGGCCCAAGCAUUAUUAACCACCAACUCAUAGUCCUCUUCCUACAACCAUCUGGCUUCAAACCUGAAAUUGUGAGCCUUUCCCCUGAACAAACUAGCCCUCUCAGAUUCUUCCAUGUGGAUAAUAAUAGGCCUAUGGUCUGAACGGUAUGGGUCUCCAUUCAGAACUUUGUAGUGAGGAAAUCUUGCACACCAACUCCUCGAACCCACUACUCUAUCAAGUCUUUCUUUAACAAAUCGGUCUGCAUCCCAGCUAUGAUUCCGCCACGUGUAUUUAUCCCCCACAUAGCCCAAAUCUUUUAAUCUGCAUUCUGUGAGGGCCUCUCUAAAACUUUCCAUUUGACUAUGCGCUCUACCUGCCACCCUUCUUUUCAUGACUAUACAUGAUCUCGUUAAAAUCGUCGGUGCAUAACCAUGGAAAUUUAAGCUGCUGAUUGAGGAUGCACAAUAACUUCCAAGUUAUUUUCUUUUUAUCACUUGCGGUCUCUCCACAAAUGCCCGUGAAACGCCACCUAAAACCAUCUUUCUCCACUACGUUUACAUCAAUAUGAUACUUGGAGUAGUUGUGCAGCUCCAAGUUUACUUCUUUCUUCCAAAGUAAUGCCAACCCUCCGCUCUUUCUUUCACAGUCCCUUGCCAUCAUGUUCCCCAUUCCUAACUUCCACUUAAGCUUCUCCAUCCUCCCUUUAUCCAGUUUAGUUUCAGAUAAGAAGAUGAUGCCAGGAUCCACCUGCUUCCGGAGGUCCAGAAGCCCUCUCACUGUCGGGCCAUUCCCCAAUCCCCGGGAGUUCCAUGCUAAAAUCUUCAUUUUGGCUCGCCAGGAUCUCCCUGCAGCCCAGCGUUUAUAGUUCCUAAGAUAUUGUUCCCUUUGUUUACUUCGGCUUCGUCAACCUCCAUCUUCGCUUUCUUCGCUAAUUCUGUCGCCUCAUCUACAUCCAUUAUAUCAACCUUUCUCUUAUUCGAAUCUGCCCUAUUUAAUUGUUUUUGUUGGAUCCCUUCCUUCUUCAUUCGCCUGAAAGUACCUUGCUUUGUACUUUUCCUAGCCUUAUAAACAUUAUUUUAUGUUUUGUUAAGGAGCACUUCCUUCUCAUAAACCAAGGUAUCCUUCAAUGACCCUUCUGCGUCAUGCCUCAUUAUUGUAUUAUUGAUGUUCCUUCCUUCAAAUUCACUCAGAUCGUCCUCUAUUUUUUGUCCCUCUCUAAAAGGGCUUUCACCGAUUAUCCACUCAAAAAUAAUCCUUUCCCCUCCAUUGUUCCUUUGUAUUCAUUCUGUUUUUUCUUGUGGGGACUUAUCACUUCUUUACCAUCACCCUUUUCUGGCCCUUCAUCAUAGUCUAUGCUUUGUACAUCCCUUCGUCAAGAUGGCACAUCGCUACCUUGUUUAUUGUCCUUGCUACCUGCACCAUUACUUGGCUAGAAUUUUUCUUUAUCACUUGAGCUUCUGCUCCUUUCUUCAUUAGAGCCUCCCUUGUACAUAAUUUCCCGUAGCCAUGACCCAAACUGCUUGGAUCUAGUUCUUCUAGAUCUGGUUGGACAUGACUUCUCUAUAUGUCCAAUUAUGCCACAACUAUAGCAGAAAUCGGGGAGGUACUCAUAUGUUAUAGAGAUAAUCUUUCUCUCCUUUUCUUCCUUUCCGGCCCCUUCUCCUCGUCUCCGUCAACACCCCAGGUGCCAUUUCAUUAGCAUGUUCCUCUUCCUCUUCGUCCUCAAUAAAGGAUGUUAUAAAUCUCAUUAUUGGAACUGUUAUCUAUUUUCACUUUAAUUCUCAUGAAUACUCCCAUUGAGUCCCCAUUGACAUUUGAAUUGUGACGCCCGGAUAAUCAAGCUACAGUAACCUUUGCUAAUGAUGCCACAUCACCUCGAUUACUGUUGCUAAUCUCGCGUUAGUUCGAAAUCGAUUCAAAUUCAAAUUCAAAAUCAAGCAAACAAUAAAGCUUUUCAAAUAUUAAAACUAAAAUGUUCGGAGUGAACCAAAUAUUGCUUAGGAAAUAAUGGUGGAUAAACCACACCUUUAUAAAAUGUUUAAAUACUAUAAGCUGAAUAAAACAGUAGCAAAAACUAUUAUUUAAAUACUUUUAAAUAUUAAAUAAUUACGAAACUAUUUUAGCUUGGGUAGCAAAUUAAUGUGGUAGUGGUAUAUUUGACAUACUAAAUUUAGGUGCUGUUUUGACAUUUUAUAAAUUGAACUAAAUUAAAGUUUGAAAGAAACAGUGAAAGAAAAUAAAAAAGGAAAGUAUAAAAAAGACAUAAACAAAACUGAAAUAAAAACAGAACUCCCCUGGCCAACUGGGCCAUGACCCAGCCGGUCGGCCCACCGGCCCAACCGCGCCCCUGGCCUAUAUGGUCUGCCGACUCCCGAACCCUAGCCUCUCCCCUCCCCGAUCCCGUCUCACUCCCCCUCACCCCUGGAUCUGCACGAUGCCCAUCCCCGUCGCCCCGCACGACCCCCCCACUCCUCCCGCACGAUCCCCCACCCUUCCCGCACGACCCCCACUCCUUCCGACUGAGACCCCCACUUCCUCUCNNNNNNNNNNNNNNNNNNNNNNNNNNNNNNNNNNNNNNNNNNNNNNNNNNNNNNNNNNNNNNNNNNNNNNNNNNNNNNNNNNNNNNNNNNNNNNNNNNNNNNNNNNNNNNNNNNNNNNNNNNNNNNNNNNNNNNNNNNNNNNNNNNNNNNNNNNNNNNNNNNNNNNNNNNNNNNNNNNNNNNNNNNNNNNNNNNNNNNNNNNNNNNNNNNNNNNNNNNNNNNNNNNNNNNNNNNNNNNNNNNNNNNNNNNNNNNNNNNNNNNNNNNNNNNNNNNNNNNNNNNNNNNNNCCCUUGCCGUGCUAGAGCAUCACCUCGCCGGCGCGCCCGCGCCCGAGGAACCGCCGCCUCCCCGCUGGACAGGCCGUCCUCGACCUCCUCCUCGCCGACCCCCCUCUCCCUCGCCCCCUCUGCCCGAUCUAGAUCGGGAGGGGGCCGCCCCGACUUCGCUGGCACCCUCGACAACGCCGCCGCUCGCCGUCCCUGGAGGCACCUCGACGCCGCGCCUCGUCGCCUGAUGCCGCCCGAAGCUACUCCACCUCGCCAACAUCGGCGGACCACCGUCGUCCUCGUCCUCCUCCUCGAGCUCGCUGCCACUCCCCUACACCGUCCGUGCGCACUUCCCUCUCUUCCCGUCCCCGUUGCCCAUUUCGGCCGCCGACGCUGCCGCACAUGUGUUGGUCGGCCCCUGCCCGUUGCCCGCUUCCAGCCGCUGUCGCCCACGGCACCCCCCUGUGCACCCUCCCGGCGCCUCGGCCUCCUGCCGCUGGCCAUCCCGCAGCCACCAUGCGGCGCGCCUCCUCGUGACGCACCUAUAGCUCCAGCCGCAUCGCAAACCGUCAUCGGAACCAAUUGCGCGGUCGUCGCCAGCAAGCUCGGCCUCAUCGCCAUUAACAUGCUGACGUGGCGCGUGACUAACCCCUAUUUCAGCACUAACCCGAACACCUAAACAGGCACUGACAUGUGAACCCUCCCUAAUUAACCUAAACAUAAAUAAUCUAUUUAACUAAUCUAACAACCCAGUGUCAAUGACACGCGGGCCCCCACCACUAAAUGAAAUGACUAGAUUAAACUGUUAAGUUAAUAGCCAGUUACACGUAAGGCCCACUAGCUAAUUAGUUUAAGUUAAAUAAAACCUGUUGUUAAACUCUCUCACUGACCAGUGGGGCCGUUGUUCUGCUGACUCAACCCGGCCCACCAGUCAGCCUCUGCUGACUGGGCAGUUGACCAAGUCAACUAGGCCCCAUGCCAAGCUUUGUUGCAUAUUGCUGGGUACACUUCUUGUGUACCCAUAGCAUUUAAAUAUUAAUUUAAUUUCGCAUUAAAUUAAAUCCAGAAAUUAGAAAAUCAUUUAGAACUUUGAAAAUUAAUAUAAAAUAAUCCAUAACUUGGAUGAAAAUACUUUGUACAUGAAAGUUGCUCAGAACGACGAGAGGAAUCCGAAUACGCAGCUCGUUCGUCAGCCACAUGUCCCUAGCAUAGCAAACGUGCAACAUUUCACCUCCGGUUCAUUUGUCCGAAAAUGCGAAACGCCGGUGAUACUUUCCCGGAUGUUUCCCCCCUUCGUCGGUAUCACCUACUACGGCGUUAGGGCACACCUAGCACCGCGUAUUGCCAUGUUACGCUUUGUGAUGCUUUGAUUGCUCUGUUAUUUAUUGUGUUCCCCCUCCGUUACUUCUUUUCGGUAGACCCCGAGACUGCCGGCGACCCCCAGUUCGACUACGGAGUUGACGACCCCUCCUUCUUGCCAGAGCAACCAGGCAAGCCCCCCCCCUUGAUCACCAGAUAUCGCCUAUUUUUCUCUAUACUACUUGCAUUAGAGUAGUGUAGCAUGUUACUGUUCGGUUACUCCUGUUCUGUUGCAUAGCCUGUCAUUGCUGCUACAGUUGUUGAUACCUUACCCGCAAUCCUAAAUGCUUAGUAUAGGAUGCUAGUUUAUCAUCAGUGGCCCUACAUUCUUGUUAGUCUGCCUUGCUAUACUAUCGGGCCGUGAUCACUCGGGAGGUGAUCACGGGUAUAUACUAUACAUAUAUACAUACUAUAUAGAUGGUGACUAAAGUCGGGCCGGCUCGUUGAGCACUCGCAAGUCAUUCGGAUAUGAGGGCUGGAAGGACAGGUGGCUCCAUCCCGGUAGAGGUGGGCCUGGGUUCUCGACGGCCCCCGACUGUUACUUUGUGGUGGAGCGACAGGGCAGGUUGAGACCACCUAGGAGAGAGGUGGGCCUGGCCCUGGUCGGCGUUCGCGGUUACAUCAAUUAACACGCUUAACAAGAUCUUGGUAUUUGAUCUGAGUCUGGCCACUUUCCUAUACGCACUAACCAACUACGUGGGAACAGUUAUGGGCACUCGACAUCGUGGUAUCAACCAAAGCCUUCUUGACGUCAGGGACUGAGCGGCGCGCGCCGGAUUGGACUGGAACGCGUGCUCUUGUAUUAGGGAGGCUAGGUCUGCUUCCGGCCGCCCUCGCAAUGUGCAGGUGUACAAUGGGUGAUGGGCCCAGACCCCUGCGCGCAUAGGAUUUAGACCGGCAUGCUGACCUCUCUGUUGUGCCUAGGUGGGGCUGCGACGUGUUGAUCUUCCGAGGCCAAGCAUUGUUGGGGAACGUAGUAAUUUCAAAAAAUUUCCUACGCACACGCAAGAUCAUGGUGAUGGUAUAGCAACGAGAGGGGAGAGUGUUGUCCACGUACCCUCGUAGACCAUAAGCGGAAGCGUUAGCACAACGCGGUUGAUGUAGUCGUACGUCUUCACGAUCCGACCGAUCCAAGCACCGAACGUACGGGGCCUCCGAGUUCAGCACACGUUCAGCUCGAUGACGAUCUCCAUGCUCCGGUCCAGCAAAGCUCCAGAGAUGAGUUCCGUCAGCAUGACGGCGUGGUGACGAUGAUGAUGCUCUACCGGCGCAGGGCUUCGCCUAAACUCCGCGAUGAUAUGACCGAGGUGGAAUAUGGUGGAGGGGGGCACCACACACAGCUAAGGAACGAUCCAUAGAUCAACUUCUGUGUCUAUGGGGUGCCCCCCCGCCCCCGUAUAUAAAGGAGCCAGGGGGGAGGAGGCGGCCGACCAAGGAGGGCGCGCCAAGGGGGGAGUCCUACUCCCACCGGGAGUAGGACUCCCUUCUUUCCAAGUAGGAGUAGGAGAAGGGGGGAAAGAGGAGGAAGAGGGGAAGGAAAGGGGGGGCGCCGCCCCCCUUCCCUUGUCCUAUUCGGACUAGGAUGGGGAGGGGCGCGCGGCCCCCUCCUGGCUCCUUCCCUCUUCUCCCUCGUGCCCAUGUAGGCCCAAUAACCCUCGGGGGGUUCCGGUAACCUCCCGAUACUCCGGUAAAAUGCUGAUUUCACCCGGAACGAUUCCGGUGUCCAAAUAUAGGCUUCCAAUAUAUCGAUCUUUAUGUCUCGACCAUUUCGAGACUCCUCGUCAUAUCCAUGAUCACAUCCGGGACUCCGAACAAACUUCAGUACAUCAAAACUUAUAAACUCAUAAUAAAACUGUCAUUGUAACGUUAAGCGUGCGGACCCUACGGGUUCGAGAACUAUGUAGACAUGAACUAGAACUAUUCUCGGUCAAUAACCAAUAGUGGGACCUGGAUGCCCAUAUUGGUUCCUACAUAUUCUAUGAAGAUCUUUAUCAGUCAAACCGCAUAACAACAUACGUUGUUCCCUUUGUCAUCGGUAUGUUACUUGCCCGAGAUUUGAUCAUCGGUAUCCAAUACCUAGUUCAAUCUCGUUACCGGCAAGUCUCUUUACUCAUUCUGUAAUGCAUUAUCUCGUAACCAACUCAUUGGUCACAUUGCUUGCAAGGCUUAUAAUGAUGUGCAUUACCGAGAGGGCCCAGAGAUACCUCUUCGACUAUCGGAGUGACAAAACCUAAUCUCGAAAUACGCCAACUCAACAUGUACCUUUGGAGACACCUGUAGUACUCCUUUAUAAUCACCCAGUUACGUUGUGACAUUUGGUAGUACCCAAAGUGUUCCUCCGGUAAAUGGGAGUUGCAUAAUUCUCAUAGUUAUAGGAACAUGUAUAAGUCAUGAAGAAAGCAAUAGCAGUAUACUAAACGAUCAAGUGCUAGGCUAACGGAAUGGGUCAUGUCAAUCACAUCAUUAUUCUAAUGAUGUGAUCCCACUAAUCAAAUGACAACACAUGUCUAUGGUUAGGAAACAUAACCAUCUUUGAUUAAUGAGCUAGUCAAGUAGAGGCAUACUAGUGACUAUAGGUUUGUCUAUGUAUUCACACAUGUAUCAUGUUUCCGGUUAAUACAAUUCUAGCAUGAAUAAUAAACAUUUAUCAUGAUAUGAGGAAAUAAAUAAUAACUUUAUUAUUGCGUCUAGGGCAUAUUUCCUUCAGUCUCCCACUUGCACUCGAGUCAAUAAUCUAGAUUACAUAGUAAUGAUUCUAACACCCAUGGAGUCUUGGUGCUGAUCAUGUUUUGCUCGUGAGAGAGGCUUAGUCAACGGGUCUGCAACAUUCAGAUCCGUAUGUAUCUUGCAAAUCUCUAUGUCUCCCACGUGGACUUGGUCCCGAAUGGAAUUGAAGCGUCUCUUGAUGUGCUUGGUCCUCUUGUGAAAUCUAGAUUCCUUUGCCAAGGCAAUUGCACCAGUAUUGUCACAGAAGAUCUUCAUUGGUCCCGAUGCACUAGGUAUGACACCUAGAUCGGAAAUGAACUCCUUCAUCCAGACUCCUUCAUUUGCUGCUUCAGAAGCAGCUAUGUACUCCGCUUCACAUGUAGAUCCCGCCACGACGCUUUGUUUAGCACUGCACCAACUUACAGCUCCACCGUUUAAUAAAAACACGUAUCCGGUUUGCGAUUUAGAAUCGUCCAGAUCAGUGUCAAAGCUUGCAUCGACAUAACCAUUUACGACUAGCUCUUUGUCACCUCCAUAUACGAGAAACAUAUCCUUAGUCCUUUUCAGAUAUUUCAGGAUGUUCUUGACCGCUGUCAAGUGAUCCACUCCUGGAUUACUUUGGUACCUUCCUGCCAAACUUAUUGCUAAGCAUACGUCAGGUCUGGUACACAUCAUUGCAUACAUGAUAGAGCCUAUGGCUGAAGCAUAGGGAACAUCUUUCAUUUUCUCUCUAUCUUCUGCUUUGGUCGGGCAUUGAGUUUGACUCAACUUCACACCUUGUAGCACAGGCAAGAAACCUUUCUUUGCCUGAUCCAUUUUGAACUUUUUCGAAAUUUUGUCAAGGUAUGUGCUUUGUGAAAGUCCUAUUAAGCGUCUUGAUCUAUCUCUAUAGAUCUUGAUGCCCAAUAUGUAAGCAGCUUCACCGAGGUCUUUCAUUUAAAAACUUUUAUUCAAGUAUCCCUUUAUGCUAUCCAGAAAUUCUAUAUCAUUUUCAAUUAAUAAUAUGUCAUCUACAUAUAAUAUCAGAAAUGCUACAGAGCUCCCACUCACUUUCUUGUAAACACAGGCUUCUCCAAAAGUCUGUAUAAAACCAUAUGCUUUGAUCACACUAUCAAAGCGUUUAUUCCAACUCCGAGAUGCUUGCACCAAUCCAUAAAUGGAACGUUGGAGCUUGCACACUUUGUUAGCACCUUUUGGAUCAACAAAACCUUCUGGCUGCAUCAUAUACAACUCUUCUUCCAGAAAUCCAUUCAAGAAUGCAGUUUUGACAUCCAUUUGCCAAAUUUCAUAAUCAUGAAAUGCAGCAAUAGCUAACAUGAUUCGGAUAGACUUAAGCAUCGCUACGGGUGAGAAAGUCUCAUCGUAGUCAACUCCUUGAACUUGUCGAAAACCUUUCGGAACAAGUCGAGCUUUAUAGACAGUUACAUUACCAUCAGCGUCAGUCUUCUUCUUAAAGAUCCAUUUAUUUUCAAUGGCUUGCCGAUCAUCGGGCAAGUCAACCAAAGUCCAUACUUUGUUUCAUACAUGGAUCCCAUCUCAGAUUUCAUGGCCUCUAGCUAUUUUGGGAAUCUGGGCUCAUCAUCGCUUCCUCAUAGUUUGUAGGUUCAUCAUGGUCAAGUAACAUGGCUUCCAGAAUAGGAUUACCGUACCAUUCUGGUGCAGAUCUUACUCUGGUAGACCUACGAGGUUCAGUAGAAACUUGAUCUGAAGUUUCAUGAUCCAUAUCAUUAGCUUCCUCACUAAUUGGUUUAGUUGUCACAGGAACCGGUUCUUGUGAUGAACUACUUUCCAAUAAGGGAGUAGAUACAGUUAUCUCAUCAAGUUCUACUUUCCUCCCACUCACUUCUUUCGAGAGAAACUCCUUCUCUAGAAAGGAUCCGAUUUUAGCAACGAAAAUCUUGCCCUCAGAUCUGUGAUAGAAGGUGUACACAAUAGUCUCUUUUGGGUAUCCUAUGAAGACACAUUUCUCCGAUUUGGGUUCGAGCUUAUCUGGUUGAAGUUUCUUCACAUAAGCAUCGCAGCCCCAAACUUUAAGAAACGACAACUUUGGUUUCUUGCCAAACCACAGUUCAUAAGGCGUUGUCUUAACGGAUUUUGAUGGUGCCCUAUUUAACGUGAAUGCGUCCGUUUCUAUAGCAUAACCCCAAAACGAUAGCGGUAAAUCAGUAAGAGACAUCAUAGAUCACACAAUAUCUAGUAAAGUACGAUUACGACGUUCAGACACACCAUUUCGUUGUGGUGUUCCGGGUGGCGUGAGUUGCGAAACUAUUCCACAUUGUUUCAAGUGCAGACCAAACUCGUAACUCAAAUAUUCUCCUCCACGAUCAGAUCGUAGAAACUUUAUUUUCUUGUUACGAUGAUUUUCCACUUCACUCUGAAAUUCUUUGAACUUUUCAAAUGUUUCAGACUUGUGUUUCAUUGAGUAGAUAUACCCAUAUCUGCUCAAAUCAUCUGUGAAGGUGAGAAAAUAACGAUACCCGCCGCGAGCCUCAACAUUCAUUGGACCACAAACAUCAGUAUGUAUGAUUUCCAACAAAUCAGUUGCCCGCUCCAUAGUUCCGGACAACGGCGUUUUAGUCAUCUUGCCCAUGAGGCACGGUUCGCAAGUACCAAGUGAUUCAUAAUCAAGUGAUUCCAAAAGCCCAUCAGUAUGGAGUUUCUUCAUGCGCUUUGCACCGAUAUGACCCAAACGACAAUGCCACAAAUAAGUUGCACUAUCAUUAUCAACUCUGCAUCUUUUGGUUUCCACACUAUGAACAUGUGUAUCACUACUAUCGAGAUUCAAUAAGAAUAGACCACUCUUCAAGGGUGCAUGACCAUAAAAUAUAUUACUCAUAUAAAUAGAACAACCAUUAUUCUCUGAUUUAAAUGAAUAACCGUCUCGCAUCAAACAAGAUCCAGAUACAAUGUUCAUGCUCAACGCUGGCACCAAAUAACAAUUAUUUAGGUCUAAAACUAAUCCCGAUGGUAGAUGUAGAGGUAGCGUGCCGACCGCGAUCACAUCGACUUUGGAACCAUUUCCCACGCGCAUCGUCACCUCUUCCUUAGCCAAUCUUCGCUUAAUCCGUAGUCCAUGUUUCGAGUUGCAAAUAUUAGCAACAGAACCAGUAUCAAAUACCCAGGUGCUACUGCGAGCAUUAGUAAGGUACACAUCAAUAACAUGUAUAUCACAUAUACCUUUGUUCACUUUGCCAUCCUUCUUAUCCGCCAAAUACUUGGGGCAGUUCCGCUUCCAGUGUCCAGUCUGCUUGCAGUAGAAGCACUCAGUUUCAGGCUUAGGUCCAGACUUGGGUUUCUUCUCUUGAGCAGCAACUUGCUUGCCGUUCUUUUUGAAGUUCCCCUUCUUCUUCCCUUUGCCCUUUUUCUUGAAACUGGUGGUCUUGUUAACCAUCAACACUUGAUGCUCCUCCUUGAUUUCUACCUCCGCAGCUUUUAGCAUUGCGAAGAGCUCGGGACUAGUCUUGUUCAUCCCUUGCAUAUUAUAGUUCAUCACGAAGCUCUUGUAGCUUGGUGGCAGUGAUUGGAGAAUUCUGUCAAUGACACUAUCAUCAGGAAGAUUAACUCCCAGUUGAAUCAAGUGAUUAUUAUACCCAGACAUUUUGAGUAUGUGUUCACUGACAGAACUAUUCUCCUCCAUCUUGCAGCCAUAGAACUUAUUGGAGACUUCAUAUCUCUCAAUCCGGGCAUUUGCUUGAAAUAUUAACUUCAACUCCUGGAACAUCUCAUAUGCUCCAUGACGUUCAAAACGUCGUUGAAGACCCGGUUCUAAGCCGUAAAGCAUGGCACACUGAACUAUCGAGUAGUCAUCAGCUUUGCUCUGCCAGACGUUCUUAACAUCGUCAGUUGCAUCAGCAGUAGGCCUGGCACCCAGCGGUGCUUCCAGGACAUAACUUUUCUGUGCAGCAAUGAGGAUAAUCCUCAGGUUACGGACCCAGUCCAUGUAAUUGCUACCAUCAUCUUUCAACUUUGCUUUCUCAAGGAACGCAUUCAAAUUCAAUGGAACAACAGCACGAGCCAUCUAUCUACAAACAAACAUAGACAAGCAAAAUACUAUCAGGUACUAAGUUCAUGAUAAAUUUAAGUUCAAUUAAUCAUAUUACUUAAGAACUCCCACUUAGACAGACAUAUCUCUAGUCAUCUAAGUGAUCACGUGAUCCAAAUCAACUAAACCAUGUCCGAUCAUCACGUGAGAUGGAGUAGUUUCAAUGGUGAACAUCACUAUGUUGAUCAUAUCUACUAUAUGAUUCACGCUCGACCUUUCGGUCUCCGUGUUCCGAGGCCAUAUCUAUAUAUGCUAGGCUCGUCAAGUAUGACCUGAGUAUUCCGCGUGUGCAACUGUUUUGCAUCCGUUGUAUUUGAACGUAGAGCCUAUCACACCCGAUCAUCACGUGGUGUCUCAGCACGAAGAACUUUCGCAACGGUGCAUACUCAGGGAGAACACUUCUUGAUUAUUAAGUGAGAGAUCAUCUUAAAAUGCUAUCGUCAAUCAAAGCAAGAUAAGAUGCAUAAAGGAUAAACAUCACAUGCAAUCAAUAUAAGUGAUAUGAUAUGGCCAUCAUCAUCUUGUGCUUGUGAUCUCCAUCUUCGAAGCACCAUCGUGAUCACCAUCGUCAUCGGCGCGACACCUUGAUCUCCAUCGUAGCAUUAUUGUCGUUACGAUGUCUAUUGCUUCUACGACUAUCGCUACCGCUUAGUGAUAAAGUAAAGCAAUUACAGGGCGUUUGCGUUUCAUACAAUAAAGCGACAACCAUAUGGCUCCUGCCAGUUGCCGAUAACUUCGGUUACAAAACAUGAUCAUCUCAUACAAUAACAUAUAGCAUCACGUCUUGACCAUAUCACAUCACAACAUGCCCUGCAAAAACAAGUUAGACGUCCUCUACUUUGUUGUUGCAAAUUUUACGUGGCUGCUACGGGCUUUAGCAAGAACCGUUCUUACCUACGCAUCAAAAACCACAACGAUAGUUCGUCAAGUUGGUGUUGUUUUAACCUUCGCAAGGACCGGGCAUAGCCACACUCGAUUCAGCUAAAGUGAGAGAGACAAACACCCGCCAGCCACCUUUAAGCACGAGUGCUUGUAACGGUGAAACCAGUCUCGCGUAAGCGUACGCGUAAUGUCGGUCCGGGCCGCUUUAUCUCACAAUACCGCGGAACCAAAGUAUGACAUGCUGGUAAGCAGUAUGAGUUGUAUCGCCCACAACUCACUUGUGUUCUACUCGUGCAUAUAACAUGAACGCAUAAAACCUAGGCUCUGAUACCACUGUUGGGGAACGUAGUAAUUUCAAAAAAAUUCCUACGCACACGCAAGAUCAUGGUGAUGGUAUAGCAACAAGAGGGGAGAGUGUUGUCCACGUACCCUCAUAGACCGUAAGCGGAAGCGUUAGCACAAUGCGGUUGAUGUAGUCGUACGUCUUCACGAUCUGACCGAUCCAAGCACCGAACGUACGGGGCCUCCGAGUUCAGCACACGUUCAGCUCGAUGACGAUCUCCGACCCUCCAAUCCAGCAAAGGCUCCAGAGAUGAGUUCCGUCAGCACGACGGCGUGGUGACGAUGAUGAUGUUCUACCGGCGCAGGGCUUCGCCUAAACUCCGCGACGAUAUGACCGAGGUGGAAUAUGGUGGAAGGGGGCACCGCACACGGCUAAGGAACGAUCCGUAGAUCAACUUGUGUGUCAUUGGGGUGCCCCCCGCCCCCGUAUAUAAAAGAGCCAGGGGGGAGGAGGCGGCCGGCCUAGAGGGCGCGCCAAGGGGGGAGUCCUACUCCCACCGGGAGUAGGACUCCCUCUUUCCUAGUAGGAUUAGGAGAAGGGGGGAAAGAGGAGGAAGAGGGGAAGGAAAGGGGGGGCGCCGCCCCCCUUCCCUUGUCCUAUUCGGACUAGGAUGGGGAGGGGCGGGCGGCCCCCUCCUGGCUCCUUCCCUCUUCUCCCUCGUGGCCCAUGUAGGCCCAAUAACCCCCCGGGGGGUUCCGGUAACCUCCCGGUACUCCGGUAAAAUGCCGAUUUCACCCGGAAUGAUUCCGAUGUCCAAAUAUAGGCUUCCAAUAUAUCGAUCUUUAUGUCUCGACCAUUUUGAGACUCCUCGUCAUGUCCGUGAUCACAUCCGGGACUCCGAACAAACUUCGGUACAUCAAAACUUAUAAACUCAUAAUAAAACUGUCAUUGUAACGUUAAGCGUGCGGACCCUACGGGUUCGAGAACUAUGUAGACAUGACCUAGAACUAUUCUUGGUCAAUAACCAAUAGCGGGACCUGGAUGCCCAUAUUGGUUCCUACAUAUUCUACGAAGAUCUUUAUCGGUCAAACCGCAUAACAACAUACGUUGUUCCCUUUGUCAUCGGUAUGUUACUUGCCCGAGAUUUGGUCGUCGGUAUCCAAUACCUAGUUCAAUCUCGUUACUGGCAAGUCUCUUUACUCGUUCUGUAAUGCAUUAUCUCGUAACCAACUCAUUGGUCACAUUGCUUGCAAGGCUUAUAAUGAUGUGCAUUACCGAGAGGGCCCAGAGAUACCUCUCCGACUAUCGGAGUGACAAAACCUAAUCUCGAAAUACGCCAACUCAACAUGUACCUUUGGAGACACCUGUAGUACUCCUUUAUAAUCACCCAGUUACGUUGUGACGUUUGGUAGUACCCAAAGUGUUCCUCCGGUAAACGGGAGUUGCAUAAUUCUCAUAGUUAUAGGAACAUGUAUAAGUCAUGAAGAAAGCAAUAGCAGUAUACUAAACGAUCAAGUGCUAGGCUAACGAAAUGGGUCAUGUCAAUCACAUCAUUCUUCUAAUGAUGUGAUCCCACUAAUCAAAUGACAACACAUGUAUAUGGUUAGGAAACAUAACCAUCUUUGAUUAAUGAGCUAGUCAAGUAGAGGCAUAGUAGUGACUAUAGGUUUGUCUAUGUAUUCACACAUGUAUCAUGUUUCCGGUUAAUACAAUUCUAGCAUGAAUAAUAAACAUUUAUCAUGAUAUGAGGAAAUAAAUAAUGACUUUACUAUUGCCUCUAGGGCAUAUUUCCUUCAAGCAUGACCUAGGAAAGUGUGCCCGGCCAAAUGGGAUCGAGCGUGUUGGGUUAUGUGGUGCACCCCUGCAGGGAAGUUUAUCUAUUCGAAUAGCCGUGUCCCUCGGUAAAAGGACGACCUGGAGUUAUACCUUGACCUUAUGACAACUAGAACCGGAUACUUAAUAAAACACACCCAGACAAGUUCCACAGACAACCCGGUGAUCGCUUUUCCACAGGGCGACGAGGGGAGGAUCGCCGGGUAGGAUUAUGCUAUGCGAUGCUACUUGGAGGACUUCAAUCUACUCUCUUCUAAAUGCUGCAAGACGGAGGCUACCAGAAGCGUAGUCUUCGAUAGGACUAGCUAUCCUCCUCUUAUUCUGGCAUUCAGCAGUUCAGUCCACCGAUAUUGCCUCUUUACACAUAUACCCAUGCAUAUGUAGUGUAGAUCCUUGCUUGCGAGUACUUUGGAUGAGUACUCACGGUUGCUUUGCUCCCUCUUUUCCCCUGUUUUCCUCUUCUUCUCGGAUGCUGAAACCAGACGUUGGAGCCCAGGAUCUAGAUGCCAUCGUCGAUGACGAGUAAUACACUGGAGGAGCCUACUACUACGUGCAGUCCGCUGACGACGACCAGGAGUAGUUUAGGAGGAUCCCAGGCAGGAGGCCUGCGCCUCUUUCGAUCUGUAUCCCAGUUUAUGCUAGCCAUCUUAUGGCAACUUGUUUAACUUAUGUCUGUACUCAGAUAUUGUUGCUUCCGCUGACUCGUCUAUGAUCGAGCACUUGUAUUCGAGCCCCUCGAGGCCCCUGGCUUGUAUUAUGAUGCUUGUAUGACUUAUUUUACUUUUAGAGUUGUGUUGUGAUAUCUUUCCGUGAGUCCCUGAUCUUGAUCAUACACAUUUGCGUGCAUGAUUAGUGUACGGUUGAAUCGGGGGCGUCACAUGAAUCCACCUCAAUAACCUUCCCUAUUUGUUCUCCUAUUUUCGCCUCAUAGUAGGUGUUCCGUCCACGACUAUUCCGAUUCUGAGGAAACCCGACUUCAAGUUAAAGUUCCAGGCUCGCACCCCCGCGUCGCCUCCUCUGAGGCGACUCGGGGGCCAACCCUAGCACCGCUGCCGCGUUUUCCCCCUCUCCUCCCCUCUCUGCUGCCGCCUGAGGGCCUCCGAGGCGCGGGUGCUCGGCCUCAAUGAUGGCGGCGGCGGGAUCUGGCGCCUCCUCUCCUUUGGAGGGCCUUGGUUCCGCGGGGCGGCGGCCCCGGCCGGUUGGCGCGGUGCAGCCGGCGGGCUGCGCCGGCGGGCUCUGCUGGGCAGCCUCCCACAGCCGCGCGGACGGUGUGGGGGCUGUGGACGCCGGCGCAGUAGUGGCUCCUCGCAAUCCGUCAUGGCUCCAUGUAGAAGAUCCGCCCCUGCUCCGAUCUGUCCCGAUCCGUGCUGGCACCGAUCCUUGGCGGCUACUUUCGGCGUCCCUAUUGCCGGCCUGGCGGAUCUGGCGUGCGGGUGAGGGUCCGGGGGAAACCCCUGGCUGGCGCGGCGGCCUCCCCAAAGUCGACGCCUUUGGUGUCGAUCCCCUUCCUGGAGGUUUUGGGGUGGAUCCUCUCCCUUCCGCCUCCUCCUCGAGCUAUGGCGAAAGCUUUUGUUCCCAUGUUCUGGGCGUCGACGACACCCUGGUGUCGUGUUCCUUCUUGAAGGCGGCGGCCGGGAACAACUCUUGGUGGCGAGGCUGCUGGUGGCAUGGUGGCGGUGCGACUUCGGCCUUCUACUUGGUGUUGCGCCUUGCUUCGCGGCACCAGCGGACGGUUUCUUUGGUGGAGCGGUGCUUCAUCCAUCCAUUGAUGGCGACGGAUCUUUACGGCAUUGCGCAGUGCAGAUUCGACGUUCGAUGUGGGAGGAUGGACUCGCGCAGGAGGACGACGCUGUCUGGCGCCGUGGUGGCGCCGAUGACAGAGAGACCUGGCAAGGUAGAUGCAACAGUACAACUCUGAAGAUGGACUCGUGGUAGGUGGCUGCGGCGGCCUCGUACCUAGCAGGCGUCCUGGUUGAGGAGUGCGCCAGACUCGUAGGUGCCUCAUACCAGGCAGGCGUCCUGGUUGGGACCUCAGGUCUUAGAUGUUUAGGUUUGGUUGCGAUGUCUGUUUGGUAUUAGGCCCAGGCUAUCAGCGCCCCUUCAUCAAUUGGAUAGAUGUAGCGACAGUUGUUGCUUAGACGGUGGCUUUAGUCUUGCUGUUGUAUGACUUUGUAAAGUCUUGUGAGAAUAAUUAAUAAAAUGACCGUAUGCAUCGCCCAAAUGCAAAGGCCGGGGGUCAUCCUCCUUUAAAAAAAAAAAUGUUCCGUCCACGAGCACCUUGCAGGCUUCUUGAUAAUGCCCCGGCGGGCUUCUCCCCUUUUCCGUUCCCUUUUUGCUUUCGCUAUCAAUUAGUGGAAAAGGGUGUGAGCCCGGUUGAAAAAGAAAAUCCACACCUAGAAGCAAAACGCAGCAAGCCGUUGGAUUUCUCGUCGUACGAAGGUAGAACAAUAAGUAUCGUGUGUAUAGCGGUUUGGAUACACAGGCGUGACUACUCCUCCGUAUACGUAGAGUGAGGUAAUGUACAUAAAUGCGACAACAGUUACUCCCACCCCCACCCCCCAUCCCUACAGCCUGCAGCUGAAUUUACAGCGACAACAGUACUUGCCUGUACGUGCUGCAACCUGCAAUGCCAUGUGGUAACUUCAAAGCUAGCUAACGCUCUUUCUUUUCAGUUUUGAUAAUAAUUUCUUUUUUCUUUUUACUAUUGCCGAGCUGUGGUGUUUUUCAUCCUCUGUCUUGGUCUUAAUUUAUAAGAGUACAGUACUACUUCCACCGUCUCAUAAUUUAAGAUCAUUUUGCAAGACGGAAGGACUAGUUUUUUUUUUAAAAUGAAAACGGAGGGAGUAGCUAAUUAACCAGGCCGUGUUAAUUGGGCUUCCAACUCGUGUCGUCUGAAGACAUCUCUUUCUUCUUCCCUUCAUUUUUUUUUUACUCCAGUACCGUUCAAGAUAUCUGUUGAUGCACUUCAGUUAGGAAAUCUCCAAUGGUGAUGGGGACUUAAGAAAAACUUGUCUAGAUCGUCAAGUUUCAUUCAGCCAAUCGACACUACUGAGCUCAGCAAUAUACUCCGACCAAAACACAAUAUGAGUUUGCUGUUCCAACCAAAUGGUAAUCGAGCUCGUAAUUAACAAGUGAACCAACAAAAGAUUACUACAAUAAUACUUCAUUCAUUUCAUCAUUGCAUACCACGGCACAAGCUGACACGUACAUCUAGCAUUAUUCAUAUGCCUCAAGAACAUGCACCACUACUACAGAUAACCAAGAACUUAACACGACCGACCGACAGAGAUGGACCUAACGACGUAAUUAAGCGACAAACACAACAAACAAAUCGAGUUCUCCAAACGUACGUACGCGCGGCGUAUAGCGCCCACAGAACCAGCAUGCAUGCACGCUACGAGUAGCACUACCGAACCAUCAACCAUGCGCCCCGUCAGUGCUUGCCACACACCAGCGGAUCUAGCUAUCAACGGCCGCCCUCAGCUUUUCACGGCUUCUUGGCGUGCUCGUCGACGGCAGCUGCAGCGGGGGACCCCGGCAUGCCGCCGAAGCCGCCGAGACCGGGGGAGCCGCCGAGGCCGGGGGAGCUGCCGCCGAGGAAGGGCAUGCUGCCGAUGCCGCCGAAGCCCGAGGUGGCGCCGCUGCUGCCGGGGAGGCUGAAUCCCGGCAUGCUGCUGCCGCCGCUGAAUGCCGGUGACCCGCUGCCGAGGCGGUCGAAGGGCGGGAAGGUCGUCGGCUGCAGGACCGCGUCCUUGCUGGCGGCUGCCGCCUCCGUCGUCUUGAUGUUCCUCGCCUCGGCGCUGGUCGCCGCGGCCAGCACGGCGAGGACGAGCAUCGCCGCCAUCUUGGUCGACUUCUCCAUCGCUAGCCUGCUCCUGAACUGGUGCUCUUGCUCCUGGCUAAUGUGUGAGUGGCUGCUUGCUUUGUUUGCUUGCUGCUUCUAGCUCUGUGGGAUGUGGAGGAGGAAGAAAGGUGGCGGGAGGUUUUAUAGCCGGGGAGGGCGUCAUUCAAGUGGUGGCAGCUCAUCGAUCGGCCUGAGCGACGGUAGGUGGGGGGCGUUAAGGAGACGAUUAAAGGAGCGGGUACCUGCUGCGGUUUACUGCCAUCCUGUGAUCUCCAUAAAUACUUUUGCUCUUACAGACCAGUGGUGCAUCAAUGGGGGGAGAAGAGGGGGAAAUUGUAGAUCUGGUCGUGGUUGGGAGCUAUAGCUGGAUGUACUCCCUCCGUUCCAAAUUACUCGUCGCUGAAAUGGAUGUAUCUAGAACUAAAAUACAUCUAGAUACAUUCAUACGUGCGACAAGUAAUUCGGAACGGAGGGAGUAACAUGCAUGAAGAGCGUUCAAAAUCCGGUGAAUUUGAUCUAGCUUUUCUUUUGGGUAGUAGCACUACUUACUAUGACUAGGGACGCGGAAAUCCCUUUUGGAGCUCGGGCUCCAGUGAGCCCUCUAAAUUCAAAUUUGAAAUUUCAUUGAAAUUUAUAUUUUUUACAUUUCAAAAAAUUCUGAAAAAAAUUACAGAUAUACAUGAAGGCAUAAUACACAUGUGUGUAAAUUUUCAGUUUAAAAUACAUUGAAAUGAGGGCUGCGGAAAAAAGAUAAAUCUGGGGUUGUUUAACACAUGAUACUAUUCAUCCUCCCAGACCAUGAAUUUGUCUUUUUUGUACAGGUCGCAACUCAAAAAUAUUUCAUCAUGUACUUUUACACGUAACAUACAGGCAUAUUUUUUUCUCAGAUUUUUUUGAUCCAUAAAAGUUUAAAUUUAAAUUUUUAAAAAAUAAAGGCCUCCAUAAAGCUCGGCCUCCAAAACGCCUUUCUCCUAGAGACGCUAGAAUAAAAUGGAAAAUAUACUGGUACUAGCAAUUUAGCAUUCCUGCGUUUUUCCCUUAGCUAAACAACUACACGCUCUGUUCACUAAACAAGAUUAACAUUUGGAGUACUAUUGUUUUCUUCGUCUCGGUCUGAUAAACGGCCUUGCUGGCCAACAACGAACGGCGCUAUAUAAUUAUUUCGAGUUGUUUCACAAGCAAAGGUUGGAAUUAAUAGAUCGAUGUGGAUCUUUAUGUUUGCAUGCAUGUCUUGUUGAAAAAUAAUAUUUUGCGGUCAGUGCAUCAAUGGGAGAGGGAAUGAAGAAUAAUGGAUACUUUAGUAUCUUCUUGUGCUUGGGACUUGGGCUCAAUUCUUUUGCCAGAAAAAUCCGACCCCUACUCAGCUUUUCCCAGAAUCUUUGAAGCCAAUAGCUUGCUUGCAUCAGCAUGGGGUGCGCGUACUUGCAAAAUUGGGAAAAUUGACGGGUAACUACUUGACAUUUGCACGAAAAAAAAAGAUUCAGUCAAUUUUGUAGCCCGGGGAUCAAAAUCCAGUGGUUCUCCUUUGUCUUCUUCUUCCAGCCCUAAUCCCCGCCCCCAUAGAAGCUUCUUCCUUCCUCCAGCCGCUCAAGUCUGGCUCACAUCCCUUCCUCUCUUCCGGCCGCGACACCACGCCUUGCUACUAAUGUCAUCGAAGUAUAUUGCUUUACAAGGUCAAACACAACUAAUGCAUACCACUACCUCUUGCAGAUAAUUCGUCUAACAUCAAAAGUGAAUAAACUAAUAGAUCAAAGAACAUGUACAUAUUUGAGCUUAAUCACAUAUAAACGCUUAGGGAUAAGAAAACAAAAAUCAAUUGCAUGACAUCCAAGUUUCACUUAAGAACUUUCCUGGGCAACAUGUUGUAAUGCGCAACGGCAGGGGAAAAGAGCUCAUAUUUGCAAUCCUAGUAUGACUAGGAUUCAGUCAUAUAUUUUAAUUCUUCUACAUAUUUGUCCAAUAUCUAUUGCUUAUGACGCUCUUUCAACUUCAUUUUGUAGAUUUGCAUCGCGGACGCCGUCGAUGGUUGAUGUCGACGAUGUGACCUGUCUUCUCACCAUCUUGUUUGGGGUCUUCGUUCAUGGGUUGGUUUACUUGUGGACUUGUCAUGGUGUUUGUCGACACUUUUGUGAUAUAAGUGAUCUCAUAUGCAACACUUUGUGAUAUUGUAUGGAUGAUCUUUGUGAUCUCGCAUGUGGAUAAUCUAGUGAUCUUUCUGAUGUAUGCUAUGAUUUUGUGGUCUGUGUGUAUAUAUAUUUGUAUUUUUGAAAUGCAUGAAAUACUGCAAAAUUGGAAAAAAGAUUGGCACCUCUUUGCCGACGGUUAUACUCGGCAAAGCAAUGUUUUCCGUUGGCAAAGAAGACAAAUGGCUCGGAGCUGUAAUGCCUAGCAAUUUGGUGUUGGGGCUUUGCCGAUAGUUGCGGCCAAGAGACACGGAAAAGCUUUGACGCAUCGGGCCCGCAUGUCAGGCGUUUACCGAUGGCUGAAAAGUAGUACACAAUAAUAAACUUAUGUUGGGACCCACCUAUCAGGGCUUUGCCCGACUGUUUAGUCUUGGUGCACAACAAAUGGCGUCGUUCGGGACCCACAUCCGAGGUCUAUGUUGAUGGUUGACUGUCGGAAAGAUGUAGCUGCGCCGUUUACAAACGUCCGCCCGUCAGUCUUUACUUUGUGUGAGCAAAUGUUGACUGUCGGUAAAGCCUUUGUCUCCAGCCUGAUAAAAGCAUCGACAAAGUGUCAUUUCCUAGUCUAAUCAUCGGCCACAGAGUUCGCCGCUAGUUUUCCCUCGACAAAGGUGUUACCGAUAGCUUUACGCCAUUCGCCGAUUGUUUGGCAUCGUCGGCAAAUGACCAGUUUGUUGUAGUGAAUGUGUCUUAGUUGAAAAAGUAUAUUUUGUAGUUAGUGCAUCAAUGGGAGAGGGAAUGAAUAAUUACCUGUAGUAUAUCCUUGUGCUUGGGACUUUGGAGCCAGUAGCUUUCUUGCAUCAACAUGGGGUGCAUACCUGCNNNNNNNNNNNNNNNNNNNNNNNNNNNNNNNNNNNNNNNNNNNNNNNNNNNNNNNNNNNNNNNNNNNNNNNNNNNNNNNNNNNNNNNNNNNNNNNNNNNNNNNNNNNNNNNNNNNNNNNNNNNNNNNNNNNNNNNNNNNNNNNNNNNNNNNNNNNNNNNNNNNNNNNNNNNNNNNNNNNNNNNNNNNNNNNNNNNNNNNNNNNNNNNNNNNNNNNNNNNNNNNNNNNNNNNNNNNNNNNNNNNNNNNNNNNNNNNNNNNNNNNNNNNNNNNNNNNNNNNNNNNNNNNNNNNNNNNNNNNNNNNNNNNNNNNNNNNNNNNNNNNNNNNNNNNNNNNNNNNNNNNNNNNNNNNNNNNNNNNNNNNNNNNNNNNNNNNNNNNNNNNNNNNNNNNNNNNNNNNNNNNNNNNNNNNNNNNNNNNAUUCAGUUGAUUUUCUUAGCCCAGGGAUCGAGAUCCAAUAGUUUUCCCCUUCAUCUUCUUCCUCCAACCCUAAUCCCCGCCCGAACUAGUAAAACUUCUUCCUUCCUCUAGCCACUCAACUAUGGCAUGCAUCCCUUCCUCUCCUCUGGUUGCGACACCGCACCUUGCUACUAAUGUCACCGAAGUAUAUUACUUUACAAGAUUAAACACAUUUAGUGCAUACCACUACCUCUUGAAGAUCAUUCACCAAAACAUGGAAAGUGAGUAAACUAAUAGAUCAAAGAGCAUGUACAAGUAUAAAUCAUGCGACAAAAAAAUAAUACAAAUUAAAUUAAUAUAUAAUCUGAUCAUAUAUAAUCUAAUCAUAAAGUGACAAUUCAUCACACCGUAACAGACACAUAAAAAAUUACAUCAGACUGGUCAUAGUAAUGUUAGGCAGCUCAUGUGGUCUUUGUAUUGAACAGGGUAGAGUAGAUGUCACAUACUACUAUUAUGGACUCAUACUCCAGGGAGAACCACUCACACAUGGUCAUAGUAGCAGCAAGUUUGAUGAAGAAGACAUCGAUGAUGAUCUCCUCCUUCGGCGGAGUACCAAAAAUGGAGUCCUGAUUGGAUCACCUCACAUAGUGACAAAGUGGUAGCGGAAACAAUUGUGCAAUAUUAUUUCUGAAUGUUUCAGGGGUAUAUAAAGUCAUUGAGACGAAGAUAUGACAGAGGGAACUCUUGUGGGCCCCAUGGCCCUGUUAGCGCACCAUAGGUUUGGGGCAUGUGGGCCCUAGGGGCUCCCUCUCCGGGAGUUCUUCUGGCCCAUGGUUGUUCAUGUUCCGAAACUGAACAUCGUACUUUUAUUUUAUUUUGUGCUCCCCGAAAAAUAAUGUUCUUGUAACACCAAAAAAGAACAUCUCACACUUGGCACUGAAUUAAUAUCUUAGUCAAAAAAUGAUUAAAAAAAUCAUGCAAAAACUAUGGUUAAAUGAUACGAAUAUAUAUAGCACGAACAUAAGAAAAAACAUAUAUGUUGGAGAUUUAUCAGGGCCCCACCACGAAAGUGAGGUUAAUGGCUCUCGACCUGUGUGGUGAGGUCAUGUGGCAGUGUCCCGGUGAGAAGUGUAUCUCGGCCACACAACGUCCCUUGGGUGACAUGUCAACAUUUUUGAGGGGUCGUGUUCUAAUUGCGUGUUUGCUUGUAUCUGCGUUGGUAUGUCUCCAAAGAGGAAAGAAUGAUGCAGGGUAAUUAUUUUCCUCAGUUAUGAAACCAAGGUUAUCAAUCUAGUAGGAGAACCAAGCAACACUAUGUAAACAACAUGUGCACAUAAACAACAAAUACUUGCAAACCAACGCGUAAAGGGGUUGUGAAUCCCUCAACGGUAUCGAGAUAGAUUAAAUUGUAUGAGAUUUGGUAAAUAGAUCUAACUAAAACACAAAAUAAAAUAAAGAAAGAAAAAAUGCAGCAAGGUAUUUUUGGUUUUAAUAUGAUAGGAAAUAGACCCAGGGGACGUACUUUUCACUAGAGGCUUCUCUCAAGAAAAUAGCAUACAGUGGGUAAACAAAUUACUGUUGGACAAUUGCUAGAAACGCGAAUAAUCAUAACGAUAUCCAAGGUAAUGAUCAUGUAUAUAGGCAUCACGUCCAAGAUUAGUAGACCAAACCGGUCAUGCAUCUACUACUAUUACUCCACACAUCGACCGCUAUCAAGCAUGCAUCCAGUGUAUUAAGUUCAUGGAAAAACAGAGUAAUGCAUUAAGAAUGAUGACAUGAUGUAGACAAGAUAAACUCACAUAUGAAUAAACCCCAUCUUGUUACCCUUAAUAGCAACAAUACAUGCGUGUGAUGUCUCUUUUUAUCACUGAGAUUGAGUACUGCAAGAUCGAAUCCAUCACAAAGCACCUCUUCCCAUGGCAAGAUAAAUCAAUCUAGUUGGCCAAACCAAACCAAUAAAUUGGAGAAUAAAUGCGAAGCUAUAACAAUCAUGCAUAAAAGAGUUCAAAGAAGAUCCAAUAAUAUUCAUGGAUAGAACUGAUCAUAAACUCACAAUUCAUUGCAUCCCAACAAACACACCACAAAAGACUUACAUCAAAUAGAUCUCCAAGAACAUCGAGAAGAACAUCAUACUGAAGAUCAAAAGGAGAGAAGAAGUCAUCUAGCUACUAACUACGGACCCGUAGGUCUGUGGUAAACUACUCACGCAUCAUCGUAGGGGCAGUAAGGAUGAUGAAGAACCCCUCCGUGGUCGUUGCCCCCUUUGGAAGAAUGCAAGAAAAGGCCUCGAUAUUGGAUCUCGUGGUUCUGGAACUUGCGGCGGCGGAAAAAGUGUUUUGUCGACUCCCCUAUGGUUUUGGGGAUUUUAGAGUAUUUAUAGAGGCGGAAGUAGGUCAAGGGGGGUGCCCGAGGGCUGCACUACCCACUAGGGUGCGCUUGGGCCCCCUGGCAUGCCAUGGUGCCUAGUGGCCCCCUCGAGCCUCCUCUCGUAUGCUCCAGAAGCUUUCAGGGUCCAUUAUCACUAGAAAAAAAACUCCAAAAAGUUUCGUGGCAAUUGGACUUCGUUUGAUAUUGAUAUUCUGCGAAGUAAAAAACAUGUAAAAAACAGCAACUGGCACUGGGCACUAGGUUAAUAGGUUAUUCCCAAAGAAUGAUAUAAAGUUGCUACUAAAUGUAUGUAAAAUAUCCAAGAUUGAUAAUUUAAUAGCAUGAAACAAUAAAAAAUUAUAGAUACAUUGGAGACGUAUCAUUACGCAUGCUUCUCAUGAUGUUGCUUGUUGCUGCUAGCUCCUCCAAUGCUAUGGGGCGGUAGGGUCACGAAGGUUUUGGUGUGGCUGUGCUGAGGCUUGGCCCUGUGAAGGAGGGGCUCCUUGGGCUCGUAACGACGAUGUAGAUGUUGGGCGACAGUCCCGGGAGGCUCUGUUCUGGGAUGGGCAUCGUGAUCGCGUGGACGGUGUGGCGGUCGUGGGUUCUUACUCUCGAGUGCUAGCGCGAGUGUUGUGGAUGAGGUGUGUGGGCCAUCCAGCACGUGUGCCGACGAUGUUGUGUGGGUCUUUUUUUUUGUAGUCAUCGGACCAUGGUUGUGGGUUGCGGCUUCUGCCUUUGGCCGACUGUAUUAGUGUGUUUUAGUCGAGGUGAUCCAGGUGAAAGCCUUGCUCUGCACUUGCCGGUGUUGGUGAGGGCGACGUAUGUAGAUAUCCUUUCGUCUAUGGAGGCAUCAUCAUCAAGCUUCAGACCACUUCUACCCUAGUGUUCCUGGUAUUCUGCUGAAAUCAUAAGAUCUUGGCUUUUUAGGUCGGGUGACUGUGUUGUUUUUCAACGUUGCUACCGUGUAAGGGCAUUGCCUUGAAGAUCUUUUACCCUCUUUGUGCAUUUGCAGGACGGGAAGCUUGCCGCAUUGUGGUCGAUAGGAGGCUGGCCGACGAUGAGGGUGCUCCCCGUGGUGAUUUGUGGGUCAAUGGCAAAGAUGAUGAUCGUUGGUUUGCUCGUUGCAAGGCUUUGGUAGUCGGCUUUCAACAUUUUGCGGGUCUUCAUGUUAGGAUCUUGUUGUUGUUAAGUCGGAGUUAUCAUGGAGUCAUCUGGGCGGUGAUGAUGACUUGUGUAGGUUUCGAUUGUAAAGGUCUUACUCAACAUGAAUCUUAGUUGAUUCCUUCUCCAAGCUCGUCAUGGAUAGAAGCUGCUACUCCUCGAUGCAUGUGACCGACUGUUUGGUUUGAGUCGACGAGGCCUUCGCGAGGCCGCCACAAAGAGAGAUUUGUUGGUGGUUCGUUCUACGAUGAAUCAUAGUCAGCUCUCUCAAAUAGGAGUGAUGACGACGACACAUGUGAAUAACCUGGCGAUGGUCUUAUUUUUGGCGGUGUGCAUGCCAUGUGCACAUUUUGCCUUGGUAGUUAGGUUGGCGAGUGAUACCCCUAUGUGAUAGUAUCAUUUUAGAUAGUAGUGGGCAUGUUGUAACGAUUUUGGCUAGAUUUUUGUUAAUUAACUAGACAACUUUCUUCUUCAUUGAUAGAUUGGAGAAAAAAAUUCCUUCGUCUCAAAAAGAAAAAAAUAAAUCUCCACGUAGAAUCUAGGAGUAAUUUUAUUAGUACUACCAUAACUUGGGUAGUGCUUGGAGGCAGUGAAAUGCUAGGUGAUUACGGUUAUUUGAUUUUGUUCUUCUUAUAUUAUUAUAAUAAGAAAGAAAUAAUUACACUUACUGUGUUUGUUGUAUGAUUCGAGUACGACGGGUGAUCCAAUGGUGCCCUGUAAUUUGCACCAAUGCAUGAAUGGUUUGAUGAACGUGGGACGAAAAUCAUACGGAAAAUAUCGUAGUUAUAGUAUUUUUUUUGAGAGUACGCCAAAAGCGUACCAUCUUUUUAUAGAAGGUAGAAAGCAUAAUUACAAGAAGUGUGACCCAAAUGCGCACAAACGGACACACAGAACACCCCACCAACACCUACUAAACACGCGUAAGCUAACUCCUCACAAAAUGUUGUAGACCACCAACACCUCCACCCGCUUGGCUCCACUCGGCUACCUCUCCAAGAAUCAUAGUGGCAAGCUCCCUAGCAUUCUUUUGUUGGUCGACUCUGUUGAAGACCCUAGCAUUGCGUUGCUUCCAAAGAGCCCACAUGCCCGCAAUGAACAAAGUAUCAAAACCUCGCUUGUCAGCCUUGUGGAAUUGUCUUCUCUCUCUCAACCACCAUUCGAGAGUUGUAUCUGCUGGAAGACGGUCAUGCACGUUGAUGCGGAUCGUGUCCCAAAUAAGGAAUCAAACCUCGCGCGCAUAUUCGCAUAUCGAUAGGAUGUGAUUAACGUUGUCCUCAUCUUGCAAACACGUUUAGCAAACGGACGGCUCAUCCUGCAGACCAUGUCGUGCACGGCGGUCAUAAGUCCAUAGCCUAUACUGCAACGCCAGCCAAGCAAAGAUCUUACACUUGAGCGGGGCCCAGCUCCUCCACACACAUACACCCAUAGGCGACCUCGGCAGACCAGAGCAAAGGCUGGCAUAAAUCGCGCGAGCAGAGUACUGACUCGAUGCCAUGGAUGUUCAGGUAAACUCAUCCUGUUGGUCCUGAUUUCUAUCCACCGUGGUAAUCGCAUGACAAAGGUGAAUGAACUGCAAUUGGGCCAUGAAGGAGGUAACCUGACAGUCCCCUUGCCAUCGAUCAUUGAUCAGCGCCUGUUGCACUGUCCUCGCAUUGGCCACCUUGGCCACACCGUGUCUUGCAGCAGAGGGGCAAUGUCAGCCACUCUAAGUCCGUGUAUCCAUCGAUCUCACCAAAACAAAACCCUGUAUCCCACACCAACCGUGAUGUGUACAAGGCUGUCAAAGAGCUCCCUUGUGUCCCGAUCCUCGAUCAUAUGCAACCCCUGCCAUGGUCUGCUUGGUUCCGUGCGCUUAAGCCACUCCCACCUGACUCUCAGUGCUAGAGCUUGCAAGUUCAGGUUUUUGAUGCCUAGGCCUCCGUAACACUUGGGCCGACAGAUAGUAUCCCAAGAAACUAGGCAUUGGCCACCAGUUACUUUAUCCUUUCCAGCCCAAAAGAAAUUUCCUCAAACACCCACAUCGGAGCAUCCGCAAUCAUAAGGUGAUGAAUAGGCUUUGCCGAGAUAACAUAUUGCACCAAGAUGAGCCUCCCCGGCCGCAGAAUGAGGCCCCGUUGCCAAGCUGGAACAGAGUACCGUACCUUGUCCAGCACGGGUUGUAAGUCCGCCCUGGUUAAGCUUUUUAUUGCAAGCUAAAGGCCAAGGUACUUACAAGGGAAAUCUGCCUGAUUGCACUCAAGAAAUGUAGCCACUCUAGCUUUGUCCUCGUGAUCUCCUCUGAUCGCAAUGGAAGAUGACUUCCCGUAGUUCACUCGCAGGCCCGAGGCAGCACCAAAUGCUUCCAGGGCAUAUCGAACGAAGCUCAUAUCCAUAGUACUUGGCUUGAUAAACAUGGGGACAUCAUCCGCAUAAAUGGACAACCUCUACAUAGGUGAGAUCCCCGGUGUCGAACUAAGCACUCCCACCUUAGUAGCAUUUCUAACCAUGGCCGUCAAGACAUCCAUGGCUAUGACGAAUAACAGCGGGGAGAUAGGAUCUCCUUGCCAUAGCCCACAAGCAUGUGCAAAACUCUUUCUUGGAAUACCAUUGACAAUGAUCUUAGUGCUAGAAAUUUGUAGUAGCAAGGCCACCUCAUCCGCCGAGUGCCAAACCCUUUGGCUUCCAUGACCUCAAAUAGGAAAGGCCAUGACGAAGAGUCAAAAGCUCUCGAAAUAUCUAACUUGAGGAACAUAGCCGGGGCUCUCCUAGCAUGUAGCUUCCUUGCCACUUGCCUCACGAGGAUGAAAUUGUCAUGUAAAUGUCUACCUUUGAUGAAAGCCGAUUGGUUAGUCUCCACAAUGUCAUGCAUCUGCCUCCUCAUUCUAUUGGCAAGAGCCUUAGCAAAUAGCUUAGGGAUGCUAUGGGUAAGACUAAUGGGCCGAUAGUCUCCUAUUUCCUCCGCAUCCGGCUUCUUGGGGAUGAGCACAAUGUGCGCCUCAUUUAGCUUCGCAAAACCCCUACCAUCGCCCACAUAGAGCUUGAGCAUAGCUUCCAUGACAUCAUUCUUAAUAAUGGGCCAUGCUUUUUGGUAGAAUGCAGCGAUGUACCCAUCCGGACCUGGUGCUCGGUCCGUGGGUAGCUCCUUAAUGACGCUCCAAACCUCUUCUUCCGUAAUCAUGAUUUCCAGCUUGCUAAGGUCUCGUGGCUGUAUGCCCAGGUAUUGCAAGUCUAGCGAAUGCUCUCUGGCUUGAUCAGUUCCAAUCAAAAUCUCAUAUGCCUCAUAGAAAGUUUUCUCCUUGAGCUCUUGAUCUGUGAUCAGCACCACAUCCUUCUUGACAUGAGCAAUAAUUUUUUUGGAUCGAUGUCCAUUCGCCACCGCUUGAAACAAUUUGGUGUUGGCAUCUCCCUCCUUGAGCCAUUUCAUCCGGGAUCUUUGCCGAUCAAUGGUGCGCUCUAGUGCCGCUAGACCCAGUAGCGCAUGCUUCAAAGUUUUCCGAAGCCAAAUCUCAAGAUGCACCGGUGCUCUAUUUUCCUAUGCACAAUCAAGUCUAUGUAUCACCCAUCGUGCCACACGCAUCAACAACAUUACGUUGCCCAUUUUGCAUUGAACCCAAGCUUGCAAGUUGAUGACCCACAAGUGUAGGGGAUCUAUCGUAGUCCUUUCGAUAAGUAAGAGUGUCAAACCCAACGAGGAGCAGAAGGAAAUGAUAAGCGGUUUUCAGUAAGGUUUUCUCUGCAAGCACUGAAAUUGUAGGUAAUAGAUAGUUUUGUGAUAAGAUAAAUAGUAACGAGUAACAAGUAAAUAAAGUAAAUAAAGUGCAUCAAGGUGGCCCAAUCCUUUAUGUAGAAAAGGAUAAGCCUGGACAAUUUCUAAUAAUGAGAAAGGAGCUCCCGAGGACACAUGGGAAUUAUCGUCAAGCUAGUUUUCAUCACGUUCAUAUGAUUCGCGUUCGGUACUUUGAUAAUUUGAUAUGUGGGUGGACCGGUGCUUGGGUACUGCCCUUACUUGGACAAGCAUCCCACUUAUGAUUAACCCCUAUUGCAAGCGUCCGCAACUACAAAAGAAGUAUUAAGGUAAACCUAACCAUAGCAUUAAACAUAUGGAUCCAAAUCAGCCCCUAACGAAGCAACGCAUAAACUAGGGUUUAAGCUUCUGUCACUCUAGCAACCCAUCAUCUACUUAUUACUUCCCAAUGCCUUCCUCUAGGCCCAUAUAAUGGUGAAGUGUCAUGUAGUCGACGUUCACAUAACACCACUAGAGGCAAAGACAACAUACAUCUCAUCAAAAUAUCGAACGAAUACCAAAUUCACAUGACUACUAAUAGCAAGACUUCACCCAUGUCCUCAGGAACAAACAUAACUACUCACAAAGCAUAUUCAUGUUCAUAAUCAGAGGAGUAAUAAUAUGCAUUAAGGAUCUGAACAUAUGAUCUUCCACCAAGUAAACCAAAUAGCGUCAACUACAAGGAGUAAACAACAUUACUAGCAACCCACAGGUACCAAUUUGUGGUUUUGAUACAAGAUUGGAUACAAGAGAUGAACUAGGGUUUUGAGAGGAGAUGGUGCUGGUGAAGAUGUUGAUGGAGAUUAACCCCCUCCUGAUGAGAGGAUCGUUGGUGAUGACGAUGGUGAUGGUUUCCCCCUCUCGGAGGGAAGUGUCUCUGGCAGAACAGCUCCGCCGGAGCCCUAGAUUGAUUCCGCCAAGGUUCCGCCUCGUGGCGGCGGAGUUUCAUCCCGUAAGCUUGGCCACAAUUUUUUCCAGGGUAAAGGCUUUCAUAUAGUAGAAGAUGGACACCGAGGGGGCACCAGGGGGCCCAGGAGACAGGGGGCGCGCCCAGUAGGGGUGGGCGCGCCCCCACCCUCCUGGGCAGGGUGUGGGCCCCUGGUGUAUUUCUUUCGCCCAAUAAUUCUUAUUAAUUCCAAAAACAUGUUUCGUGGAGUUUCAGGAUUUUUGGAGCAGUGCAGAAUAGGUUUCCAAUGUUUGCUCCUUUUCCAGCCAGAAUCCCAGCUGCCGGCAUUCCCCCUCUUCAUGGUAAACCUUGUAAAAUAAGAGAGAAUAGCCAUAAGUAUUGAGAUAUAAUGUGUAAUAACAGCCCAUAAUGUAAUAAAUAUUGAUAUAAAAGCAUGAUGCAAAAUGGACGUAUCAACUCCCCCAAGCUUAGACCUCGCUUGUCCUUAAGCGGAAGCCGAAAUCGAAAAAUAUGUCCACAUGUUUAGAGAUAGAGGUGUCGAUAAAAAUAAAAUACGUACAUGAGGGCAUCAUGAUCAUUCUUGUAACAGCAACAUAUAUAGAUUUUAUUAUAUGAUUUCUUAUGCUCAAGUAAUGAUCAAUUCACAAUGUCAAGUAUGGUUAAGAGUCAAACUAACAAACUAUAUUCUCAGUCAUUGAAGCAAUUGCAAUUUAUUAUAACAUCAGAAAGAGUCAACAAUAGAGCUUUUCAACAAGUUCACAUACUCAACUAUAUUGUAGUCUUCUACAAUUGCUAACACUCACGCAAUACUUGUGGUUAUGGAGUUUCAGCCGGACACUGAGAAAGAUAGGGGCUUAUUAUGUUGCCUCCCAACGUAUUCACCUUUAGGUGAUGACAAUAAUAAUAGCCCAUGCUAACUUACAUCCAAUUGGAUAUAUAUAUAUAUAUAUAUAUAUAUAUAUAUAUAUAUAUAUAUAUAUAUAUAGAGAGAGAGAGAGAGAGAGAGAGCUUGCCAAAGGAUAAAAUGAAAAAGGGAAAGGUGAGGAUCACCUUGACUCAAGCAUAAAGUAAAAAUAUAAAGUAAAAGAUAGGCCCUUCGCAGAGGGAAGCAGAGGUUGUCAUGUGCGUUUAGGGUUGGAUGCACAAAAUCUUAAUGCAAAAGAACGUCACUUUAUAUUGCCCCUUGAAUGUGGACCUUUACUAUGCAGUCUGUCGCUUUUAUUACUUCCACAACAAGAUCGUACAAAGCUUAUUUUCUAUGCACUAAUAAGUCAUACAUAUUUGGAUAGCAAUUUUUAUUGCCUGCAACAUGACAACUUACUUGAAGGAUCUUACUCAAUGCAUAGGUAGAUAUGGUGGACUCUCAUGGCAAAACUGGGUUUAAGGAUAUUUGGAAGCACAAGUAGUAUUUCUACUUGGUGCAAGGAAAUUGGCUAGCAUGAGGGGGAAAGGCAAGGUCAACAUGUUUGGAAGGACAAUGAAAAUAUACUUUAACUGAGAUGUGAGAAAACAUAAACCAGUACGUUGUCUUCCUUGUCUAACGUCAACCCUUUUAGCAUGUCAUACUUAAUGAGUGCUCCCAAUCAUAAAAGAUGUCCAAGAUAAUAUAUUUAUAUGUGAACCUCUCUUUCCUUAUCACUUCCUAUUAAUUGCAACGAUGACCAAGACUACGUUUAUCAACUCUCAACAAUUUUUAUGCCUCAUACUUUCUAUGUGUGAAGUCAUCACUAACCAUAAGAUCAAUAUGAACUCUUUUAUUCUUUCUACUUCCUCAAGAUCAUAGCAGCAUAGCAAAGCCCUUGACUCAACACUAAUCUUUAUUAUAGAUAGCUCACGGACUCGAUUACAUAAAGAGAUCACAAAGCAAAACUCAAAACUACUUGAUAUCAAAACUUCAAUCUACUAGAUCAAGAUACUACUAAAAGGAUCGACUAAAUAAAACGGUAAAGAUAGGAGUGUGAUGGUGAUACGAUACCGGGGCACCUCCCCCAAGCUUGGCAGUUGCCAAGGGGAGUGCCCAUACCCAUGUGAUUAUGCCCUCGGAGGUGGUGAAGUGGGAGUUGUUGAUGAUGUAGGCUUCUUCCUCAAUUUACGCUUGAGUAUAGUAUUUUUCUCUUUUAGGUCCUCGAUCUCCUGCUCAAGGCUUAAUACUCUUUUGCACAAUUCCUGUUUAUUUUCCUGCAAGAGACGAAAAGGGAUAAACUCGAUAUUUGGCUUCUCCACUCUAUCAGGGAGGCUUGACUUUUUAAACUCCACAUGCAUAUCCCCAAGUUGAGGUAAUGGGGUUUCGUCCUCGUCUGAACUCGUCUCCUCUUUUCCUUUAGGCUCAUAGUCUUCUUCUUCUUUAGAGGUUCAGCCAUCAUACUCCAAGUCCCCAUAGACCUUAGGGUCUGCAAGGUAAUCAGCCACAUAGCUUUCCCCUUCCAAAUCCUGAGAUGACAUAAUGCUCUAAAUCUGCAAUAGAAACAGCUCGAAACGAAAACAGAGGAUAUUUGCUUGAUACGGUGGUCAAAACCUUUGGGAGUAUAAAUAAUGAAUUUCUACCGACCAAAAUACGUAACGUGCAAGAAAACGGAGUCGGGGAGGCACACGAGUUGUCCACGAGACAGGGGGGCACGCCCAGUAAGGGGGGGGGCUCCACUCUCGUGGGGGCCUCGUGUCCCUUUCGGACUACUUCUUUCUUCCUAAAAUUCUUAAAUAUUCCAAAACUAAUAAAAAUUGCCUUUGGAGUUGUUUUGGAGUCGGUUUACUUACCGUACCACAUACCUAUUCGUUUUCGGGGUCUGGAACAUUCUGGAAAGUGUCCCUUAUGUAUUCCUCCGGGGUUACGGUUUCAAUAAUAUUAGUUUCAACAUUGAUAGGAUUACCUGAAAUAUAAUGUUUAAUUCUUUGACCGUUUACCACCCUCGGACUUGUGCCUUCGAAGUUGUUAAUUUUUAUGGCACCAGAACAAUAGACCUCCUCGAUAACGUAAGGACCUUCCCAUUUAGACAGAAGUUUUCCUGCAAAAAACCUUAAACGAGAGUUGAAUAAUAACACAUAAUCUCCUACGUUAAGCUCACGCUUUUGUAUCCUUUUAUCAUGCCAUCGUUUGACUUUUUCUUUGAAUAGCUUGGCAUUCUCAUAGGCUUGGGUUCUCCAUUCAUCGAGUGAGCUAAUAUCAAACAACCUCUUCUCACCGGCAAGUUUGAAGUCAUAGUUGAGCUCUUUAAUAGCCCAAUAUGCUUUAUGUUCAAGUUCAAGAGGUAAAUGACACGCUUUUCCAUAAACAAUCUUAUAAGGAGACAUACCUAUAGGAUUUUUGUAUGCAGUUCUAUAGGCCCAUAAUGCAUCAUCAAGUUUUUUGGACCAAUUCUUUCUAGAUCUAUUCACAGUCUUUUGCAAAAUUAAUUUGAGCUCUCUAUUGCUCAACUCUACUUGACCACUAGAUUGCGGAUGAUAAGGAGAUGCGAUUCUAUGAUUAACAUCAUACUUAGCAAGCAUCUUACGGAAAGCACCAUGAAUAAAAUGUGAACCACCGUCAGUCAUAAGAUAUCUAGGGACUCCAAACCUCGGAAAAAUAACUUCUGUAAGCAUUUCAAUAGAAGUGUUAUGAUCAGCACUACUAGUUGGAAUAACUUCUACCCACUUAGUAACGUAAUCAAUAGCAACUAAAAUAUGAGCGUAACCAUUAGAGGCAGGAAAAGGUCCCACAUAAUCAAAGCCCCAAACAUCAAACGGUUCAAUAAAAAGAGAGUAAUUCAUAGGCAUUUCUUGGCGUCUACUAAUGUCACCUAUUCUUUGACAUUCAUCACAAGAUAAGAAAAACUUACGAUCAUCUUUGAAGAGAGUAGGCCAAUAAAAACCAGAUUGUAGUACCUUGUGUGCAGUUCUAUCUCCAGCGUGGUGUCCUCCAUAGGAUUCGGAGUGACACUUGCGUAGGAACUGUUCCUGUUCAUGCUCAGGCACACAAUGUCUAAUAACACCAUCUACUCCUUUAUAAAGGUGUGGGUCAUCCCAAAAGUAAUGUCUUAAAUCAUAAAAGAACCUUUUCUUUUGCUGGUAUGUGAAACUAGGCGGUAUAAAUUUAGCAACAAUGUAAUUAGCAUAAUUAGCAUACCAAGGAGCAGUACGAGAAGCAUUAAUGACCGCUAAUUGUUCAUCAGGAAAGCUAUCAUCAAUAGGCAGUGGGUCAUCAAGAACAUUCUCUAACCUAAACAAGUUGUCUGCAACGGGGUUCUCAGCUCCCUUUCUAUCAAUAAUAUGCGAAUCAAAUUCUUGGAGCAAGAGAACCCAUCUAAUGAGUCUAGGCUUAGCAUCUUUCUUUUCCAUAAGAUAUUUAAUAACAGCAUGAUCAGUGUGAAUAGUAACUUUGGAAUCAACAAUAUAAGGUCUAAACUUAUCACAUGCAAACACAACUGCUAAGAACUCUUUUUCAGUAGUAGCAUAAUUUCUCUGGGCAGUAUCAAGAGUCUUACUAGCGUACUGGAUAACAUUCAAUUUCUUACCAAUUCUUUGCCCUAGAACAACACCUACAGCAUAAUCACUAGCAUCACACAUAAUUUCAAAAGGUAAAUUCCAAUCAGGUGGCUGAACAAUAGGUGCAGUGAUCAAAGCUUUCUUAAGUAUUUCAAAUUCUUCUACACAAUCAUCAUCAAAGACAAAAGGAAUAUCUUUUUGCAAUAAAUUAGUCAGAGGCCUAGAGAUUUUAGAAAAGUCCUUAAUGAACCUCCUAUAAAAACCGGCAUGACCAAGGAAACUUCUUAUACCUUUUAUGUCCUUGGGACAUGGCAUCUUUUCGAUAGCAUUAACCUUGGCUUUGUCAACUUCAAUACAUCUCUCGGAAAUCUUAUGCCCCAAGACAAUGCCUUCAUUAACCAUAAAGUGACACUUUUCCAAUUCAGGACAAGACUAGUGUCUUCGCAUCUCUGCAAAACUCGAUCAAGGUUGCUCAAACAAUCAUCAAAAGAGGAUCCAUAAACGGAGAACUCAUCCAUGAAUACCUCACAAAUCAUUUCACAAAAAUCAGAGAAUAUAGCCAUCAUGCAUCUUUGAAAGGUAGCAUGUGCAUUGCAUAAACCAAAAGGCAUACGUCUAUAAGCAAAAUUACCGAAAGGGCAAGUAAAAGUAGUUUUUGAUUGAUCCCCAGCUGACACAGGUAUUUGAGAGAAACUAGAAUAACCAUCUAGGAAGCAGAAAUGAGUGUGUUUGGAUAGUCUUUCUAGCAUUUGAUCAAUAAAAGGUAAAGGGUAAUGAUCUUUCUUUGCAGCCUUAUUAAUUUACGGAAAUCAAUUACCAUCCUAUAACCAGUAAUAAUUCUUUGCGGGAUCAAUUCAUCUUUAUCAUUAGGAACAACGGUAAUACCUCCCUUUUUAGGAACACAAUGGACAGGGCUUACCCAAUCACUAUCAGCAAUGGGAUAAAUUAUACCUGCCUCAAGGAGCUUUAGUAUCUCCUUUCUUACCACUUCUUUCAUCUUGGGAUUCAGUCGUCGUUGAGGAUCUCUAACUAGUUUGGCAUCUUUCUCCACUGUAAUUUUGUGUUGGCAUAAUGUGGGACUAAUGCCCUUAAGAUCAUCCAGAGUAUAUCCAAUAGCUCCUCGGUGCUUCUUCAGAGUUUUCAAUAAUCUUUCUUCUUCUUGCUUUGAAAGGUUAGCACCAAUAAUAACAAGAUAUAUUUUCUUUUCAUCAAGAUAUGCAUACUUAAGAUUAUCAGGUAAUGGUUUGAGUUCAAACACAGGAUCACCCUUGGGUGGAGGGGGGUCCCCAAGAAUUUCAACGGGAAGAUUAUGUUUUAGCACAGGUUCCUGUUUAAGGAACACUUCAUCUAUUUCCCUUCUUUCCUUCAUAAACAUAUCAUUUUCAUGGUCUAGCAAAUAUUGUUCUAACGGAUCAGUAGGAGGUACGGCAAUGGAAGCAAGACCAAUAAUCUCAUCCUUACUAGGUGGUUCCCUAUCACGAGGUUGUCUAUGAAACUUAGCAAAAUUAAACUCAUGAGACAUACCAUCUAAGCCAAUGGUGACAGUAUCUUUUUCACAAUCAAUCUUAGCACUAGCUGUAUUCAAGAAGGGUCUACCAAAAAUAAUGGGACAAAAAUCUUCUUGUGGGGAGCCAAGAACAAGAAAAUCAGCAGGGUAUUUAACCUUCCCACACAAGACUUCAACAUCUCCAACUAUCCCAACUGGUUUAAUGGUAUCCCUAUUAGCAAGCUUAAUAGUAACAUCAAUGUCUUCUAAUACAACGGGUGCAAUGUCAUGCAUAAUUUCUUUAUAUAGAUCAUAAGGUAUCGCACUAGCACUAGCACCUAUAUCACAUAAACCAUGAUAACAAUGAUCUCCUAUUUUAACAGAAGUAACAGGCAUGCCUACGACAGAUCUAUGUAUAUUAGUAUCUGGUCUAGCAAUAUUAGCAGACUGAUCAUAGAAAUAAAUAACAUGCCCAUCUAAAUCAUCAUCCAAGAGAUCUUUAACCAUAGCAAUACUAGGUUCAACAUUGACUUGCUCAGGAGGUGUAUAAGUCCUAGUAUUACUCUUAUGAACAACAACCGAAGUUUUAGCAUGAUCCUUUAUCCUAACAGGAAAAGGAGGUUUCUCAACAUAAGUAGUAGGAACAAUAGGAUCACUAUAGGUGAUAGUCUUUUCUUCAACUAUAAUAGGUGCAACUACUUUCACUUCAACAGGAGGAUUAUAUUUAAACUAGUUUUCUUCAGGGAGAUCAAUGUGAGUAGCAAAAGAUUCACAGAAAGAGGCUACUAUCUCAGAGUCAAGUCCAUACUUAGUGCUAAAUCCACGGAAAGCAUCGGUAUCCAUAAAAGAUUUAACACAAUCAAACUUAGGUGUCAUACCUGACUCCUUACCAUCGCCGGAACCCCAAUCUUCAGAGUUGCGUUUAAUUCUUUCCAAUAAGUCCCAUUUGAAAUCAAUAGUCUUCAGCAUAUAAGAACCAGCACAGGAAGUAUCGGGCAGUUUGCGAUCAUUAAGAGAAAGUCGAGCAUAAAAUUUUUGAAUAAUCAUUUCCAGGGAGAGCUCAUGAUUGGGGCAUGAAUAUAACAUUGACUUAAGCCUCCCCCAAGCUUGAGCGAUGCUUUCUCCUUCGCGAGGCCAGAAAUUAUAUAUGUAAUUACGAUCACGAUGAACAAGAUGCAUAUGAUAGAACUUCUAGUGAAAUUCCAACUUCAAUCGUUUAUAAUUCCAAGAUCUCGUAUCAUCACAUAGCCUAUACCAUGUCAAUGCGUCUCCCUUCAAAGAUAAAGGGAAGACCUUCCUUUUGACAACAUCAUCGGGAAUACCUGCAACCUUAAAUAAUCCACAAACUUCAUCCACAAAGAUAAGGUGUAAAUCGGGAUGCAAUGUUCCAUCUCCUGCAAAUGGAUUAGCUAGCAGUUUCUCUAUCAUACCCGAAGGAAUCUCAAAGUAAAUAUUUUCAUAAAGUUCAGUAGGUUGAGGAGCAACUCUUUGCUCUUCUGGUCGGGGUGAAGAUACCCCAAACAAGCCCCUCAAAGGAUUAGUUUCCAUAGUGACAAGUAACAGAAAAUUCAAGCACACUAUAUAAAUGUUUCCUUACCAAGUUCCAUUCACCAAAAGCGCUACACUCCCCGGCAACGGCGCCAGAAAAGAGUCUUGAUGACCCACAAGUGUAGGGGAUCUAUAUUAGUCCUUCGAUAAGUAAGAGUGUUGAACCCAACGAGGAGCAGAAGGAAAUGAUAAGCGGUUUUCAGUAAGGUUUUCUCUGCAAACACUGAAAUUGUAGGUAAUAGAUAGUUUUGUGAUAAGAUAAAUAGUAACGAGUAACAAGUAAAUAAAGUAAAUAAAGUGCAGCAAGGUGGCCCAAUCCUUUAUGUAGCAAAGGAUAAGCCUGGACAAUUUCUAAUAAUGAGAAAGGAUCUCCCGAGGACACAUGGGAAUUAUCAUCAAGCUAGUUUUCAUCACGUUCAUAUGAUUCGCGUUCGGUACUUUGAUAAUUUGAUAUGUGGGUGGACCGGUGCUUGGGUACUGCCCUUACUUGGACAAGCAUCCCACUUAUUAUUAACCCCUAUUGCAAGCGUCCGCAACUACAAAAGAAGUAUUAAGGUAAACCUAACCAUAGCAUUAAACAUAUGGAUCCAAAUCAGCCCCUAACGAAGCAACGCAUAAACUAGGGUUUAAGCUUCUGUGACUCUAGCAACCCAUCAUCUACUUAUUACUUCCCAAUGCCUUCCUCUAGGCCCAUAUAAUGGUGAAGUGUCAUGUAGUCGACGUUCACAUAACACCACUAGAGGCAAAGACAACAUACAUCUCAUCAAAAUAUCGAACGAAUACCAAAUUCACAUGACUACUAAUAGCAAGAUUUCACCCAUGUCCUCAGGAACAAACGUAACUACUCACAAAGCAUAUUCAUGUUCAUAAUCAGAGGAGUAAUAAUAUGCAUUAAGGAUCCGAACAUAUGAUCUUCCACCAAGUAAACCAAAUAGCAUCAACUACAAGGAGUAAACAACAUUACUAGCAACCCACAGGUACCAAUUUGUGGUUUUGAUACAAGAUUGGAUACAAGAGAUGAACUAGGGUUUUGAGAGGACAUGGUGCUGGUGAAGAUGUUGAUGGAGAUUAACCCCCUCCCGAUGAGAGGAUCGUUGGUGAUGACGAUGGUGAUGGUUUCCCCCUCUCGGAGGGAAGUGUCUCUGGCAGAACAGCUCCGCCGGAGCCCUAGAUUGAUUCCGCCAAGGUUCCGCCUCGUGGCGGCGGAGUUUCGUCCCGUAAGCUUGGCCAUGAUUUUUUCCAGGGUAAAAGCUUUCAUAUAGUAGAAGAUGGACACCGGGGGGCCACCAGGGGGCCCAGGAGACAGGGGGGCGCGCCCAGUAGGGGUGGGCGCGCCCCCACCCUCCUGGGCAGGGUGUGGGCCCUCUGGUGUAUUUCUUUCUCCCAAUAAUUCAUAUUAAUUCCAAAAACAUGUUUCGUGGAGUUUCAGUAUUUUUGGAGCACUGUAGAAUAGGUUUCCAAUGUUUGCUCCUUUUCCAGCCAGAAUUCCAGUUGUCGGCAUUCCCCCUCUUCAUGGUAAACCUUGUAAAAUAAGAGAGAAUAGCCAUAAGUAUUGAGAUAUAAUGUGUAAUAAUAGCCCAUAAUGCAAUAAAUAUUGAUAUAAAAGCAUGAUGCAAAAUGGACGUAUCACAAGUGUCUUGCGGUAUUAUGCAAAAGUGUGUCGAGCCUCUUGUAGGGAUCCACAAUGUCCGGGUCACAAACCCAAGCUUCACUAAUUGCUUCCUCGAAGCCCUCCAUCUUGGUCCAAAAUAUCUCAAACCUGAAUCUGCGCUUCGGGCUGAAACCAACACUUGUAGUGAGCAUAAGAGGUGCAUGAUCCGAAACCCCUGUGGACAUCGCCUGGAGCAGGUAUUUUGCGUUGUCUAACUCCCAGUCAACUGUGGUGAGAACUCUGUCUAUCUUCGUCAGGGUCGGGGCAUCUCUCUCAUUGGACCAAGUGUACCUCUGACCGUGCAUGUACAUCUCCUUGAGCUUGUGAUCGUCCACAAAAUCUCUAAACUUGCUCAUCAUCCUCCGAUUGAUGUUUGUUGGGGAACACGGUAAUUUCAAAAAAAAAAUCCUACGAUCGCGAAAGAUCUAUCUAGGUGAUGCAUAGCAACAAGGGGGAGCGUGUGUCCACGUACCCUCGUAGACCGAAAGCGGAAGCGUUUAGUUAACGCGGUUGAUGUAGUCGAACGUCUUCGCGAUCCAACUGAUCCAAGCACCGAACGUACGACACCUCCCGUUCAGCUCACGUUCAGCUCUAUGAUGUCCCUCGUACUCUUGAUCCAGUUGAGGCCAAGGGAGAGUUUUGACAGCAUGACAGCGUGGUGAUGGUGAUGAUGAAGUUACCGGCACAGGCUUCGCCCAAGCACUAUGACGAUAUGGCUGAGGUGUGUAACUGUGGAAGGGGGCACCGCACACGGCUAAACAAUGUCAACUUGUGUGUUUAUGGGGUGCCCCCCUCCCCCGUAUAUAAAGGAGUGGAGGAGGGGGGAAGGCCGACCCUCUAUGGCGCACCCUGGAGGAGUCCUACUCCCACCGGGAGUAGGAUCCCCCCAUCCCUAAUUGGACUAGGAGAGAAGGAAGGGGGAGAGAGGGAGGAAGGAAAGGGGAGGCCGGCCCCCCACCCAAUUCGGAUUGGGAUUGGGGAGGGCGCGCCCUCCACCUGGCCGCCUCCUCCUCUCUUUAACUAUGGCCCAAUAAGGCCCAUAUACUUCCCGGGGAGUUCCAGUAACCUCCCGGUACUCCGGUAUAUGCCCGAACUCACCCGGAACCAUUCCGAUGUCCAAACAUCGGAUUCCAAUAUAUCAAUCUUCAUGUAUCGACCAUUUCCAGACUCCGCGUCAUGUCCGUGAUCACAUCCGGGACUCCGAACUAUCUUCGGUACAUCAAAAUACAUAAACUCAUAAUACCAAUCGUCAUCGAACAUUAAGCGUGCGGACCCUACGGGUUCGAGAACUAUGUAGACAUGACUGAGACACGUCUCCGAUCAAUAACCAAUAGCGGAACCUGGAUGCUCAUAUUGGUUCCUACAUAUUCUACAAAGAUCUUUAUCGGUCAAACCGCAUAACAACAUACGCUAUUCCCUUUGUCAUCGGUAUGCUACUUGCUGAUACGUAUCCAACGUAUCUAUAAUUUUUGAUUGUUCCAUGCUAUUAUAUUACCCGUUUUGGAUGUUUAUGGGCUUUACUUUACACUUUUAUAUCAUUUUUGGGACUAACCUACUAACCGGAGGCCUAGCCCGAAUUGUUGUUUUUUUGCCUAUGUCAGGACCCCGACUCAAUGCCACAUCGAUCUAGCAUGUAACACCUCAUAUCACUUUGCGGCCUCACGCACGGUAUUCCCACGGGUGUCUCCCUACCUUUACCCGGGACCGUUUGCGCCUUUUGGCACACGUAUAUGACAGUGUCGCUAGCAUCUAUAUGAUAAGGAGCCCGGGCUGACAUGGCUAGUCGUAAACCCAAAGUGGCACAAACUUACAGGGACAGGCAUCCAUGACCCAGCAUCGAACGUGUCGGUCAUCAGCGAGUGAAUCCAGGCUGUAGCACUGGGCUAGCAGGACUCCGGUGAACCGGGCUGUAGCGGGCUAACAGGACUCCGGUAUUCAUCGCAUGACAUUUCCCCGAAGGGACAGACACAGGAACGAAGAAGGACACAUGCCGGCCAGCCUAAGUGUUCCGGAGCAGUAGCAAGCUACCAUUGGAAACACUAGGAGACAUUUCUCGGUAAGAGAGGCUACUAAGGAUAAACAACUAGAUAGUCAGAUCCCACACAUACCAAGCUUUCAAUAACAUACACACAAUAUGCUCGAUAUGUGCAAACACAACAUGGCAUCACAACAUGACUCUAUGACUCAAGUAUUUAUUCAUUAGGCUCCGAGGAGCGAGAUAUUACAAACAUAGGUCUCAUGACCCAACAUUCAGAGUAUACAAGUCAAAGCACAAGCGGAAGCUAUCAUGUCUGAGUACAGACAACUAUAAAUGAAAAAGGCUGAGAAGCCUGACUAUCUACCAGAUACUGCCGAGGGCACAAGAUCGUAGCUGAGGUAACAAGCUAAACGUCGAAGUCCAAGGGGAACUACUAGUGAGACUGAAGUCUCUCUGCAAAAACAUAAAAUAGGCAAACGUGAGUACAAAUGUACCCAGCAAGACUUACAUCAGAACUAACUACAUAUGCAUCAUUAUCAACAAAGGGGUGGUGGGGUUUAACUGCAGCAAGCCAGCUUUGACUCGGUGGCUAUCCUAAACUACGACUGCAAGCGACUCUUUUGAGGUGGCGCACACGAGUCCACAUAUUCACCAUAUCAAUACACCACUAUGGAUCCGCUCCCGUCUCCCUACGAGAACGCCAUCCAUAGCACUCACGCUUAUCUUGCGUAUUUUAGAGUAUCCACUUUCACUUGUCUAUGAACUGAUAUAAGCAAUCCAGAAGUCCUUUUCCGCGGACACGGCUAUUCGAAUAGAUUAGGUUAACCCUGCAGGGGUGUACUUCUUCAUACACGCUCUCACCACUUACCGUCGUUUACACGACAUGUACUCGGCAACCUUCAAGCGGAAGCCCAACGUGGGUGUCGGCCACGACCUACCUAAUCACCUAAGUCUCUAGUCCAGGUUUAUCGCCUAUUCGGGUUCCAUCCAUGAGGAGAUCCGGCCAGAGUUUCGCUCACAGCCCCAAACGAUGUGAACAGGGUUCCCGAGACACCAAACGGGCGCCCAGUACACCGUGCCACGUGCCUACCGCAUCACAGCCCACCCCUACGGUCAGCGCUGCCCAUGGCCUCCAGCAUACUACAAACACCAGAAACUACUUGCAACUCCUGGACAGAGGACAAGGGUGAUCAAGAAGCCGAGAGGGUCCAUUGGUUUCGGGCCCAAUGCGUGGUAGUAGCUGAAUCAUGGAUCACAAACACAGAACUCAGUUCCUGAGGACGGCUGCAAUGAGACAAGCCACCAUGUACUCCUACAUGGCCUCUCACCGCUACCUUUACCAAAACGUGUUCACACACUUAGCUCACACACAGUAGGACAUGUUCACACGCCUCUGAUUCAUCCCCGAUGAAUCAGACCUGACUCAACUCUAAGCAGUAGCAGGCAUGACAAACAAGCAAGAAUGAGUAGGCACAACAGGGCUCAAACAACUCCUACCCAUGCUAGUGGGUUUCAUCUAUUUACUGUGGAAUGACAGGUCAUGCAAAGGAUAAAGGGGUUCAGCUACCACAGCAAGUAACAGAUGAAUCGUUGUUGUCCUAAUGCGGUAAAAGAGAGCAGGAGCGAGAGAGUGGGAUUGUAUUGGAAUGAACAAGGGGGUUUUGCUUGCCUGGCACUUCUGAAGAUAACAUUGAGUCUUCAUCAGUGUCAACGAUCACAACGUCGGAACAUCGUCUACCGGGAGGGAACAGAUACCGGCAACAAAGAAGAACACAAUCAAUGCAAUGCACAAAAUGAUGCAUGCGAUGACAUGGCAAUAUGAAUGUGUUUUGAGCUAAUGCAACUAGCAACAGAUUAAAUGAAGUUGGUUUGAAUACAAGAUUCAAAUUCAAACUCCAUAUGUGAUUAUUCAAAUGCCAUUUAAUUGAUUUGUGCUAUACAGCAGCUAUAAGUUGUUCUAACAUGCAUAAAAAUGGUACAGAUGGAUUCCUUGAAUUUUUCUGAUAAUUUUUCAUAUAUAAAUUAUUUAAUUUGGAGUUACGGUUGAAUUACUAUGAAUUUUUGAAGUUUUGAACAUUUUUUGGAAUUUCCUGAAUAUUUAGAAUUAAAAUAAUUCCAGAAAAUGAUUUAACUGCGUCAGCCUGAUGCCAGCAUGACGUCAGCGAGUCAACGGCCAGGUCCAGGUCAAACCUGACGUGCGGGGUCCACACGUCAGUGACACAGGAACUAAUCCCGGUCAAACCCAGCGCUGACUGGGGUUUGACCAGGGGUGGGGCCUACUGUCAGUGGCUGUAGGUGGUUUAGUUAGUUGGAUUAGCUCCUAAUGACGGAGCCACGUCAGCUCCCGCCGGAGUUUCGCCGGCGACGACCAUGGCCGACGACGGAGAUGCAACGUGUGCUCGCUACGGAGCACCAUACAACGCGUGGUUUGCUCCUACAGGUAGCUGAAGAUGCGCCGCAUCCAACUGGGCGAGCGACAGCGGCUGUGGUGGCCGGAGCUCACCGGAAACGAGCUCGCGGCGGCGCCGGAGUUCGGGCGCCGAUCGAUUCGACGCUAUGGUGCGCUACGGGAGAAACUGGUGGGUGCUGCGGCUCCUGAGGUUGCGGUGAGCACGACGGUGGGCUCGGGAGCGAGCUGCGGUGGCUGUGGCCACGGCCACGCCAUGGCCGGCGGCGAGAAGCUCUCGGCCGCGGUGGUAACGGCGGCUACGGAGGGAAAUAGAGCACGGGGAGAGAGGGGUUCGGCAGAGGAGCUCACGGCGAGGUCGACGAGCAGCUCGGUGGGCUCGGGGAGGUGGUGGAGACGGCGAAUCGACGAGCGGCAUCCGGCGGCCGUGUGUGAAGAAGACGGCUCGAUGACGGCGAUGCAGGGCGUCCGAGGUCGCUUGACUCGUCGGAGAGGAUGAGGGCGAGGUAGCCGAGCUACUGGGCACGCUGAGGGUCGAGGGGGAGGCUCUGGGUGCGGCAACGGCGAGCGGCGGCGAUGAGCUCCGCUCGGGCUGCGCGAGAGAGAGAGAGAGCAGAGGAGGGGGAAGGGGUCGAGAGAGAGUGCGAGGGGGUUCCAGGGGGUGGCGUGGAGCUGCGGGAGACGUCCAGGAGAGGAGGAGGCAGCCAGGCAGGGAGGAGGUGGCCGGGGCGCGUGGCCGCGCGCGCCACCGAGCAGCUUCGGGGCGAGGGGGAGGAAGACGACAGGGGGAGAAGCGGCGGUGGGCUGGGCCGGCUGGAGGAGCUGGGCCAGGUGGGCUGAGGUGAGCGCCAGGUAGUCCUCUGCUCUUUCUAUUUUUGUUUUUAUUUAUCUAUUUUGUUCUGUGUUGUUUUAGUUUAGUAAUAUACUAAACCAUUUUAUAAAAUCCUGAAAAUAGUUAUGUGGCUAGAACUAAAAUAUAACAAACCACAUAAAAUGUUCCAGUAAUUAUUGGACAUAUAUUAUUUAUAUAUCAAAUAUAUAUCCAAUGCAAAUAGCUAUUUAUUUAAUUCAAAGGCCCAAAAUAAUUAACUCUGAGAUACCAAAAAUAUUGUUUUGAGUUUUACCUCUUUGCAAUAUUUUCAGAGACUAAGAGGAACAUUUUCUUGGACUUCUUUGAGGAGAUUUUAAUGUUGAUCAUUUUUAGAAGGUUUCUGAGGCUUUGAAAAUUCCUCAAUUCAAAUUUCAUUUGAAUUAAAACAUGAUGCUCACAUGAGGUCUAGCCUAGUGCAUAACAGGACCAGGGAUGUGACAACUCACCCCCACUAAACAAAAAUCUCGUCCCGAGAUUCAAGCGUAGGGUAAGGUGAAGGGGAAACGCAACUAGUAUAAUCUUCACGAUCCAGGGUGCACUUCAUAAGAGCGUUGAUUCGAUUACCAUCAUUGUCUCGAAGUCUUUCUCUGAGAACUCCAACUAACAUGACAAGAAGAGGGAAGGAAAACUCUAGAAGAAUUAAUCUUCUCAAAGAACGAACAACUCAGGAUUAACUCACGGAAUGGGACAUAGCAACAUCUCUCGAGCUGAGAGACGAAGCACACCUCUAGAGGAAUGGAGUGGAACAGAUGACGAAGGUUCACUAGGUAGACAACGAUUCCACACCUAAGAAGGUGGUGAACGGUUGUCAACGUAGCGAGGAGUUGAGUUGCCAUGAUACCUCAACGAGACAUCCUGGAGGGGGGGGGGUGAUUCGUAGAUAUAUCCCCUUAAGUGGCAAAAGAAUUACCUUUGAUUCAGAGAUCAUUGAAACUCUUUAAACCAGCCUAGGACAAUUCUCGAGCGAUCGUUUGGAGGGGGUCGGUAGAAUGGCAUACUCGGACUUGGAUGAUGUGGAUUACCUUGUUGAAGACAACGUAAUGGAUGAAUUUGCUUAUCACCGGAAAUGGAAGAGACCCAUGGUAGAAUGGCACAUUGGCGGUGCAAGCUGGGAACAAAAUGCAAAUGCUGGGAAUGAUUCUGGUAACUAGGGAAGAACCCAACAAUAGAGAGUGAAUUCACUGUUUGAGAAGGUCAUAGCAUUGCCGAGGGAACUGAGAGCAUCCCAAUUAGAGCCGAUGAUAACACGUAGCGCUUGUGCGUGCUCUCAAGAACUUGAGCAUUUCCACAAUCAUCAAGGUUUUAUCAACAACUGCGUCAAGGGUGCUGACAACACAACAUACUACCAUGAUGAAUAGCGAUGGACGAUGCAGAUGCGAAGGAGGAUAACACUUUCUCAGAUUUCACCUUAGCGAGGCCAAGCAAAUAAAAUCUGGAUGAUCGACCGAGAGACAUUUAGCACUCUGCUUCUAAUGUUCUCCUUGAUGUGCUAGCGUAAUCCACCCAUAGAUAUGGUUUGAUAUCUAGAACAUCAAGUAAAAAGGUCGGACUUCGGAACACAGAAAUCCAUAGGGGCAACUAGGGAGUAAUCCUACAAAAUCCCUAUGGGGAGGUGGCCAACUUCCUCAAACAAGAUACUAUAAUAAUAGGUCUACCGGAUGGGUGUGUUGGCCACGACAUCCACCUUGCCGGUUAUUGAGAGACCAAUAUUAUAAUUCUUGGGAAAUGUUUCAACCAUCACAUCUGCCUGAGAUUCAGAUCUGGUUGGUGUCAGGAUAUCCCAGACUCAUCAAGUCUAGAAAGAAAAAUGAAAGUUUGCAACACAAAUCGACGAGAUAAUGUUGCGGGAUUCUCGGGGAGUGAGCUAUGAUAGUAAGCUCCAAAACAUGAGCUGGUUCUGCUACAAACAUGCGAACACGUUGUCCCAGACAAGCAUGGCCACGUAGCAGUCUUAUAAUUAAACACUACCGAGUUCAGGUGGAGAACCAUCAUCGAGGAUAUCGAAGUCUUUACGCAAGUCCAUGGAUUAGAUCCCAAGCAUAGAAUUCUUUUCCUUGAACAAGUCAAUCAGUGGCUUAGUGUGCUAGGGACACAUAUAGAAUGAAGGUUGCAAGUCUCCAGACUACAGAAUACUUCGCACGUGUGCAUGACUGAUUUGGGAUGAUUCCAAAGGAAACAAAACAAUCUUUCUCAAAUUCACGGCGGCAACUUUCACCAAAUGCACGUGUAUAAGAGGAAGUCACUCCUUUCAUCAAACAAAUACUUCAUGAGCUAGCAUGAAGAAAAUGCUUUCAAAAGUUUCCAACACUAGCUUAAUGUUCAACAACAUCAUGGAGGAGAUAAGGAUGUUGCCAAUGGGCUCAACAACAAUUCAUCUAGGUUUCCUUUUAAAAGGAAUUCCAUAGUUAAGUGAACACGGUGAUAGCAUUGGUCAGACCAAAGAUGUAAUGGUGUAUGCUCGAGGGAUCAACCACGAAUAAGACAACAUUACGAGCAUCAUUGGUACUGAUUUGAUUUGACGAUAGCCCACACUCAAAUCAAAGGAUUGAUAAGACAAUAGGUCCAGCAACUGAUCACAAGGACCAAUCGAUGAAGAUAUCAUCUUUCUUCAGCACACCCUACACAAGAAUAUCCCUUUGGAACGAACUAAGUCAGGCAAGCUUUUAUCUUCCAACUCUCCAAGUUGUUGUCUAGCUUAACCAACUAGCUCAGGGAUAUCUAACACCGAUUUUUGGAGAGAAGGUGGUUCACAAGAACCCAACUUGAUCACGAGAUCAACAUAGCGGUCAGGCGACAACCUGGUGAUACUUCCGAGAAGAAAUUUGGAAUAUCAUGAACCACCGGUAUGUUACUAAGCUCGAGAACAAUCUUACUUUUCAGGGCAAGACGAUAUGAUCAAAUAAGCAAGGAUUGGCACUAUCCUAACUCACUGAUCGGAGAGUGCACCAGAAAUAAGGACUAGGUAGCACAAUCAACCUUAGGGUGACGAUUCAAUAAUCAACACGCUAAGAAUGAGGUUAUCGUCCAUUUAACUACCAAGCAAUGGAGUUGCUAGCAGUAUUGAUUUCACACGCCAUGAUUCAUUUGUCGGCAUUCCGGUUACAAUAACACGGAAACCGAGAAAUUAUCAAUGAUGAUCAGAAGUAUUACUGCGUCAAGAAUUCAUAAGAUGGUGUGCAAUUCCCAUGACAUUCCUGAUAUAAAGAUGGUAAUACUUCAAGGUAGAACAGACCAGAAGCUGGAUUGGCAUUUUGAUCUGCGGAAUACAAUUGCUUUGACCCAAUCCUAGAUAUGGAUGAGAUUCUAGAGUUUGUUUCUCCUAUUCAUUCUGAAAUAGAAUGGCUUGGCGGACCACAAGGGUAAUAGGCAUCGACGAACGAAUGCACGCAUACUCUUGACUAUCAAUUGAUAGGCGAGGGUCGGAAACAAUUAAGAUGGGACAACUCAAAAGAACAUAUGAUUUUCUGAGUUGUGGAUGCAUGGAUUAGCAUGUGGAACGAAGUUCAACAUAUUUCUUCCGGAUAACCCAUGCAGAAAGGUAGAACUGGCAGAGCCACAAUAUAUAAUGGAGAACUCAUCAAGAAUAAUCCUGUUGUGAUAUUUCAGUUCAACGAGGAACUUCUGCCAUAAGUAGUUCAUGGUAUUUGGAAGAAGAAGAUACCACGGACUUCAAGGACUAUCGCAAAGGUUACUAAUAUCCUAAAGGCACUAGCAAUUACUAUCAACAUGAAGUAGGUAGAGUGAAUCUCGGGUUCAAGAACCCAGGAACAGAAUACCUAUUACUAAGUAGCAUCACGGGAUGCUUUCGAGAAUGAUGGCCAGAAUCAUCACACUGGGAACACAAAUCAUGGCUAAAUUACUAGAUGACCCCCUAAGACACCUAGGGUCAUAAUAAUAUCUCCAACAUAUAUGUCAAGGUAACGGAGUACCUCAACUCACUAAUUAGUGUGGUUAAUCUGGCCCAUGGGAACAUUGAAACGGGAAGAAAGGAUUUGCAAAUGCAUCAGACUACUUAGAAACCUGGGAUGACUCGGACAGCAUAACGGCUGUAAAUGCUCAGAAAAGAUUUGAGACAUUCACAAAAAUGGUGGCAUAACCACUCAGAAGCACAAUAUCAAGGUUUCGAGAUCAACAAUUAACAUACGGAAGUAGUAGGAACUGAACUGAGACUUAAAUCCAACAAUCUUAUAAGUCCACUGAUUAGUAACACGUGAUCCUAAUAGAAAGAAGAGAUAGCCUAGUUCUUAAUCCCCGUAGAAGAGAAGAUGAUGACUCAGAUCAGAAGGCCAUGAGGUAUAAGGAGUAAAAAGAGCCUUACGUUCCAUCCCACAAUCAAUUCCCCUACAUAUAACUAAAGAAUUUCUAGACUCAACAUCGACCAGUUUGGCUUGGCAAUCCUACAGGCAGUCAAGCUCUGAUACCAACGCUGUCAGGACCCCGACUCAAUGCCACAUCGAUCUAGCAUGUAACACCUCAUAUCACUUUGCGGCCUCACGCACGGUAUUCCCACGGGUGUCGCCCUACCUUUACCCGGGACCGUUUGCGCCUUUUGGCACACGUAUAUGACAGUGUCGCUAGCAUCUAUAUGAUAAGGAGCCCGGGCUGACAUGGCUAGUCGUAAACCCAAAGUGGCACAAACUUACAGGGACAGGCAUCCAUGACCCAGCAUCGAACGUGUCGGUCAUCAGCGAGUGAAUCCAGGCUGUAGCACUGGGCUAGCAGGACUCCGGUGAACCGGGCUGUAGCGGGCUAACAGGACUCCGGUAUUCAUCGCGUGACAUUUCCCCGAAGGGACAGACACAGGAACGAAGAAGGACACAUGCCGGCCAGCCUAAGUGUUCCGGAGCAGUAGCAAGCUACCAUUGGAAACACUAGGAGACAUUUCCCGGUAAGAGAGGCUACUAAGGAUAAACAACUAGAUAGUCAGAUCCCACACAUACCAAGCAUUUCAAUAACAUACACACAAUAUGCUCGAUAUGUGCAAACACAACAUGGCAUCACAACAUGACUCUAUGACUCAAGUAUUUAUUCAUUAGGCUCCGAGGAGCGAGAUAUUACAAACAUAGGUCUCAUGACCCAACAUUCAAAGUAUACAAGUCAAAGCACAAGCGGAAGCUAUCAUGUCUGAGUACAGACAACUAUAAAUGAAAAAGGCUGAGAAGCCUGACUAUCUACCAGAUACUGCCGAGGGCACAAGAUCGUAGCUGAGGUAACAAGCUAAACGUCGAAGUCCAAGCGGAACUACUAGUGAGACUGAAGUCUCUCUGCAAAAACAUAAAAUAGGCAAACGUGAGUACAAAUGUACCCAGCAAGACUUACAUCAGAACUAACUACAUAUGCAUCAUUAUCAACAAAGGGGUGGUGGGGUUUAACUGCAGCAAGCCAACUUUGACUCGGUGGCUAUCCUAAACUACGACUGCAAGCGACUCUUUUGAGGUGGCGCACACGAGUCCACAUAUUCACCAUAUCAAUACACCACUAUGGAUCCGCUCCCGUCUCCCUACGAGAACGCCAUCCAUAGCACUCACGCUUAUCUUGCGUAUUUUAGAGUAUCCACUUUCACUUGUCUAUGAACUGAUAUAAGCAAUCCAGAAGUCCUUUUCCGCGGACACGGCUAUUCGAAUAGAUUAGGUUAACCCUGCAGGGGUGUACUUCUUCAUACACUCUCUCACCACUUACCGUCGUUUACACGACAUGUACUCGGCAACCUUCAAGCGGAAGCCCAACGUGGGUGUCGGCCACGACCUACCUAAUCACCUAAGUCUCUAGUCCAGGUUUAUCGCCUAUUCGGGUUCCAUCCAUGAGGAGAUCCGGCCGGAGUUUCACUCACAGCCCCAAACGAUGUGAACAGGGUUCCCGAGACACCAAACGGGCGCCCGGUACACCGUGCCACGUGCCUACCGCAUCACAGCCCACCCCUACGGUCAGCGCUGCCCAUGGCCUCCAGCAUACUACAAACACCAGAAACUACUUGCAACUCCUGGACAGAGGACAAGGGUGAUCAAGAAGCCGAGAGGGUCCAUUGGUUUCGGGCCCAAUGCGUGGUAGUAGCUGAAUCAUGGAUCACAAACACAGAACUCAGUUCCUGAGGACGGCUGCAAUGACACAAGCCACCAUGUACUCCUACAUGGCCUCUCACCGCUACCUUUACCAAAACGUGUUCACACACUUAGCUCACACACAGUAGGACAUGUUCACACGCCUCUGAUUCAUCCCCGAUGAAUCAGACCUGACUCAACUCUAAGCAGUAGCAGGCAUGACAAACAAGCAAGAAUGAGUAGGCACAACAGGGCUCAAACAACUCCUACCCAUGCUAGUGGGUUUCAUCUAUUUACUGUGGAAUGACAGGUCAUGCAAAGGAUAAAGGGGUUCAGCUACCGCAGCAAGUAACAGAUGAAUCGUUGUUGUCCUAAUGCAGUAAAAGAGAGCUGGAGCGAGAGAGUGGGAUUGUAUUGGAAUGAACAAGGGGGUUUUGCUUGCCUGGCACUUCUGAAGAUAACAUUGAGUCUUCAUCAGUGUCAACGAUCACAACAUCGGAACAUCGUCUACCGGGAGGGAACAGAUACACAAAAUGAUGCAUGCUAUGACAUGGCAAUAUGAAUGUGUUUUGAGCUAAUGCAACUAGCAACAGAUUAAAUGAAGUUGGUUUGAAUACAAGAUUCAAAUUCAAACUCCAUAUGUGAUUAUUCAAAUGCCAUUUAAUUGAUGUGUGCUAUACAGCAGCUAUAAGUUGUUCUAACAUGCAUAAAAAUGGUACAGAUGGAUUCCUUGAAUUUUUCUGAUAAUUUUUCAUAUAUAAAUUAUUUAAUUUGGAGUUACGGUUGAAUUACUAUGAAUUUUUGAAGUUUUGAACAUUUUCUGGAAUUUCCUGAAUAUUUAGAAUUAAAAUAAUUCCAGAAAAUGAUUUAACUGCGUCAGCCUGACGCCAGCAUGACGUCAGCGAGUCAACGGUCAGGUCCAGGUCAAACCUGACGUGCGGGGUCCACACGUCAGUGACACAGGAACUAAUCCCGGUCAAACCCAGCGCUGACUAGGGUUUGACCAGGGGUGGGGCCUACUGUCAGUGGCUGUAGGUGGUUUAGUUAGUUGGAUUAGCUCCUAAUGACGGAGCCACGUCAGCUCCCGCCGAAGUUUCGCCGGCGACGACCAUGGCUGACGACGGAGAUGCAACGUGUGCUCGCUACGGAGCACCAUUCGACGCGUGGUUAGCUCCUACGGGUAGCUGAAGAUGCGCUGCAUCCAACUGGGCGAGCGACAGCGGCUGUGGUGGCCGGAGCUCACCGGAAACGAGCUCGCGGCGGCGCCGGAGUUCGGGCGCCAAUCGAUUCGACGCUAUGGUGCGCUACGGGAGAAACUGGUGGGUGCUGCGGGCUCCUGAGGUUGCGGUGAGCACGACGGUGGGCUCGGGAGCGAGCUGCGGUGGCUGUGGCCACGGCCACGCCAUGGCCGGCGGCGAGAAGCUCUCGGCCGCGGUGGUAACGGCGGCUACGGAGGGAAAUAGAGCACGGGGAGAGAGGGGUUCGGCAGAGGAGCUCACGGCGAGGUCGACGAGCAGCUCGGUGGGCUCGGGGAGGUGGUGGAGACGGCGAAUCGACGAGCGGCAUCCGGCGGCCGUGUGUGAAGAAGACGGCUCGAUGACGGCGAUGCAGGGCGUCCGAGGUCGCUUGACUCGUCGGAGAGGAUGAGGGCGAGGUAGCCGAGCUACUGGGCACACCGAGGGUCGAGGGGGAGGCUCUGGGUGCGGCAACGGCGAGCGGCGGCGAUGAGCUCCGCUCGGGCUGCGCGAGAGAGNNNNNNNNNNNNNNNNNNNNNNNNNNNNNNNNNNNNNNNNNNNNNNNNNNNNNNNNNNNNNNNNNNNNNNNNNNNNNNNNNNNNNNNNNNNNNNNNNNNNNNNNNNNNNNNNNNNNNNNNNNNNNNNNNNNNNNNNNNNNNNNNNNNNNNNNNNNNNNNNNNNNNNNNNNNNNNNNNNNNNNNNNNNNNNNNNNNNNNNNNNNNNNNNNNNNNNNNNNNNNNNNNNNNNNNNNNNNNNNNNNNNNNNNNNNNNNNNNNNNNNNNNNNNNNNNNNNNNNNNNNNNNNNNNNNNNNNNNNNNNNNNNNNNNNNNNNNNNNNNNNNNNNNNNNNNNNNNNNNNNNNNNNNNNNNNNNNNNNNNNNNNNNNNNNNNNNNNNNNNNNNNNNNNNNNNNNNNNNNNNNNNNNNNNNNNNNNNNNNNNNNNNNNNNNNNNNNNNNNNNNNNNNNNNNNNGGCUGAGGUGAGCGCCAGGUAGUCCUCUGCUCUUUCUAUUUUUGUUUUUAUUUAUCUAUUUUGUUCUGUGUUGUUUUAGUUUAGUAAUAUACUAAACCAUUUUAUAAAAUCCUGAAAAUAGUUAUGUGGCUAGAACUAAAAUAUACCAAACCACAUAAAAUGUUCCAGUAAUUAUUGGACAUAUAUUAUUUAUAUAUCAAAUAUAUAUCCAAUGCAAAUAGCUAUUUAUUUAAUUCAAAGGCCCAAAAUAAUUAACUCUGAGAUACCAAAAAUAUUGUUUUGAGUUUUACCUCUUUGCAAUAUUUUCAGAGACUAAGAGGAACAUUUUCUUGGACUUCUUUGAGGAGAUUUUAAUGUUGAUCAUUUUUAGAAGGUUUCUGAGGCUUUGAAAAUUCCUCAAUUCAAAUUUCAUUUGAAUUAAAACAUGAUGCUCACAUGAGGUCUAGCCUAGUGCAUAACAGGACCAGGGAUGUGACAGCCUAUUUCAAUGUUUCGAAGAAAAGGAAUAUCAAACGGAGUCCAAACGGAAUGAAACCUUCAGGAGCGAUCUUUUUGGAACAAACGUGAUCCUGGGGACUUGGAGUGGACGUCAAGCAACAGAGGAGGUGGCCACGAGGGUGCCCGGUGCGCCCCCUACAGGUGGGCGCGCCCCCAACCCUCGUGGGCCCCUCGAGCGUCCACCGAGCUACUUCUUCCUCCUAGAUAUACCCACGUACCCAGAAAACAUCAGAAGCGACCAUGAAAACUAUUUCCACCGCCAUAACCUUCUGUGUCCGCGAGAUCCCAUCUUGGAGCCUUCGUCGGUGCUCCGCCGGAGGGGGAAUCGACCACGGAGGGCCUCUAAAUCAUCUCCAAGGCCCUUCCGAUGAGUUGUGAGUAGUUUACCAUAGACCUUCGGGUCCAUAGUUAUUAUCUAGAUGGAUUCUUCUCUCUCUUUGAAUCUCAAUACAAAGUUCUCCUCGAUCUUCUUGGAGCUCUAUUCGAUGUAACUCUUUUUGCGAUGUGUUUGUCGAGAUCCGAUGAAUUGUGGGUUUAUGAUCAAGUUUAUCUAUGAGAAAUAUUUGAAUCUCCUUAGAAUUCUUUUAUGUGUUAUUAAGUUAUCUUUGCAAGUCUCUUCGAAUAUCAGUUUGGUUUGGCCUACUAGAUUAAUCUUUCUUGCAAUGGGAGAAGUGCUUAGCUUUGGGUUCAAUCUUACGGUGUCCUUUCCUAGUGACAGCAGGGGCAGCAAGGCACAUAUUGUAUUGUUGCCAUCGUGGAUAAAAAGAUGGGGUUUAUAUCAUAUUUCAUGAGUUUAUCCCUCUACAUCAUGGCAACUUUCUUAAUGCAUUACUCUGUUCUUUAUGAACUUAAUACUCUAGAUGCAUGCUGGAUAGCAGUCGAUGUGUGGAGUAAUAGUAGUAGAUGCAGGCAGGAGUCGGUCUACUUGUCACGGACGUGAUGCCUAUAUACAUGAUCAUGCCUAGAUAAUCUCAUAAUUAUUCACUUUUCUAUCAAUUGCUCGACAGUAAUUUGUUCACCCACCGUAAUACUUAUGCUAUCUUGAGAGAAGCCACUAGUGAAACCUAUGGCCCCCGGGUCUAUCUUUUAUCAUAUAAGUUUUCAAUCUACUUUUAUUUGCAUCUUUUACCUUUCCAAUCUAUAUCAUAUAAAUACCAAAAAUAUUUAUCUUAUCAUAUUAUCUCUAUCAGAUCUCACUUUUGCAAGUGGCCGUGAAGGGAUUGACAACCCCUUUAUUGCGUUGGUUGCGAGUUCUUGUUUGUUUGUGUAGGUGCGUGGGACUUUUGAGGAGCCUCCUAUUGGAUUGAUACCUUGGUUCUCAAAUACUGAGGGAAAUACUUACGCUACUUUGCUGCAUCACCCUUUCCUCUUCAAGGAAAACCAACGCAAGCUCAAGACGUAGCAAGAAGGAUUUCUGGUGCCGUUGCCGGGGAGGUCUUUGCUCAAGUCAAGACAUACCAAGUACCCAUCACAAACUCAUCUCACUCGCAUUACAUUAUUUUCCAUUUGCCUCUCGUUUUCCUCUCCCCCACUUCAACCUUGCCGUGUUAUUUGCCCUUUCUUUCCCAAUCUCCUCUCUUUUUCACUUGUAUUUUGUUUGCUCGUCGUCAUGGCUAGUCCUCCUAUCCUCGUUAUUACUCCCGAACAUGAAAUUCUCAAUUUUAAGCAAAUGGAGGGAGAAAAAUUUAAAAGAUGCUUGGCAUAGAAUUUGCAAUGCUCAAAAUAGAUCUACUAGGAAGCUUUCUACUUCUGUUCUUCUUCACAAUUUUUAUGUAGGCAUUACUCCAUGGAAUAGAUGCAUUCUUGAUACCAUUACCGGAGGGAAUUUUUUGGAUAGCCAUACCUUUGAUGCUUAUAAUGCUAUGUUAGAUUUGUUUGGUCCUCCUCCUCUCUUGGUAAAUGGGACUAUUUUUACUCUAGAACAUGUGAUACAAAGGCUUGAAAUUAUUGAAAAUAAAAUCGGCACUGUUGAGUUAAUUGAAAAUCUAGAAAAAAAGAUUCAUAACCAAAUUACCCAAUAUGGAUCUAGGGUUGGAGUUACUUUGAAAUUUUUUAAAGAGAAAGAACCUAUAGUUAAUGAAAGAAUAGAUCUAGAUUCUACGAGAAUUGGUAAACUUGAGGAUAUCAUUACCAACUUAGGAUCGGCCUUUUCAUCCGUGAAAAACACUCCAAAUCCUGCUACCAAAACUACCAAAUUUAUUUAUGUUCCUAAAAAUAAGGGUGAAUCUUCUAAUAAGGGAAAUGCGGAUCUCAAAUCAAUAUGUGUUCAUCCCAAUUGUCUCUCUAUCAUUAAGGAACCUUUUGCUACAAAUGAAUUUCUUGAAUUCUUGCCUAAGGGCUUAAUCAUUGCUAAAAAGGGAGAAACCCCUAAAGAUUAUAAGUGCUCUAUUGAGGAAUUGAGUGCCAAAGAUGGCACUACUUAGAUCUAUCCUCGCUUUUAUGCCUAGCUAGGGGCAUUAAACGAUAGCGCUAGUUGGGAGGCAACCCAAUUUUAUUUUUGUUUUUUGUUUUUGCUUCUGUUUAGUAAUAAAUAUUUCAUCUAGCUUCUGUUUAGAUGUGUUUUCAUGUUUUAAUUAGUGUUUGUGCCAAGUAGAACCUAUAGGAUAACCUAUCAUGAUAGUUAAUUUGAUUCUGCUGAAAAACAGAAACUUUGCGCGCACGAAAAUAAUUUUAGUAAUUCACAUAAACGUGCUUUUGCGUUGAUUAUUUUUGAUGUAGAUCAAUGGAAAAAUUUCCAGGGACUUCCUAUUUUGGUAGGAUUUUUAGAGUUCCAGAAGUAUUUGAGAGUUACAGAUUGCUACAGACUGUUCUAUUUUUGACAGAUUCUGUUUUUCGUGUGUUGUUUGCUUAUUUUGAUGCAUCUAUGGCUAGUAUUAAGUGGUAUGAACCAUAGAGAAGUUGGAAUACAAUAGGUUUAACACCAAUAUAAAUAAAUAAUGAGUUCGUUACAGUACCUUAUGUGGUGGUUUUUCUUUCUUGCACUAACGGAGCUUAUGAGAUUUCCUGUUGAGUUUUGUGUUGUGAAGUUUUCAAGUUUUGGGUAAAGAUUUGAUGGACUAUGGAAUAAGGAGUGGCAAGAGCCGAUGCUUGGGGAUGCCCAUGGCACCCCAAGAUAUUCAAGGAUAACCAAAAGCCUAAGCUUGGGGAUGCCCCGGAAGGCAUCCCCUCUUUCGUCUCCGUUCAUCGGUAACUUUACUUGGAGCUAUAUUUUUGUUCGACACAUGAUAUAUGUUUUGCUUGGAGCGUCUUGUAUGAUAUUAGUCUUUGAUUUUUAGAUCACCACAAUAAUCCUUGCUGUACACACCUUUUGGGAGAAACCCACUUGAUUGGAAUUUAUUAGAAUACUCUAUGUGCUUCACUUAUAUCUUUUGAGCUAGAUAGUUUUGCUCUAGUACUUCACUUAUAUCUUUUAGAGCAUGGCGGUAGCUUAAUUUUGUAAAAAUUAUUAAUAUCUCAUGCUUCAAUUAUAUUAUUUUGAGAGUCUCUUAGACAGCAUGGUAUUUGCUAUGGUUAUAAAAUUGGUCCAGGAAUGAUGGGCAUCCAAGUUGGGUAUAAUAAAAACUAUCAUAGGAAGUGAAUUGGAUGCUAUGAUCAAUUUGAUACUUGAUAAUUGUUUUGAGAUAUGGAGGUGGUGAUAUUAGAGUCAUGCUAGUUGGGUGAUUAUGAAUUUAAAGAAUGCUUGUGUUGAAGUUGGCAAGUCCCGUAGCAUGCACGUAUGGUAAAAGUUGUGUAACAAAUUUAUUGCAUAGGGUGCUCUUUUGAUUGCCUUCCCUUGAGUGGAGGUCGGGGGCGCGUGAUGGUUAACUCCUACCAACCUCCCCCCUAGGAGCAUGCGUAGUAGUACUUUGCUUCGAGGGCUAAUAAAACUUUUGCAAUAAGUAUAUGAGUUCUUUAUGACUAAUGUUGAGUCCAUGGAUUAUACGCACUUUUACCUUUCCAUCAUUGCUAGCCUCUUCGGUACCGUGCAUUGCCCUUUCUCACCUUAAGAGUUGGUGCAAACUUUGCUGGUGCAUCCAAACCCCGUGAUACGAUACACUCUAUCGCACAUAAACCUCCUUAUAUCUUCCUCAAAACAGCCACCAUACCUACCUACUAUGGCAUUUCCAUAGCCAUUCCGAGAUAUAUUGCCAUGCAACUUUCCACCGUUCCGUUUCAUUUUUCAUGACAUGCAUCAUCAUUGUCAUAUUGCCUUGCAUGAUCAUUUAGUUGACAUCGUAUUUGUGGCAAAGCCGCCCUGCAUAAUUUUUCAUACAUGUCACUCUUGAUUUAUUGCCCAUCCCGGUACACCGCCGGAGGCAUUCAUAUAGUCAUAUCCUGUUCUAGUUUUGAGUUGUAAUUCAUGAGUUGUAAAUAAAUAGAAGUGUGAUGAUCAUCAUUAUUAGAGCAUUGUAAAAAAAAGGGAAAGGCCAAAAAGAAAAAAAUAAAGGCCAAAGAAAAAAAAAGAAAGGCCAAAAAAAAGAAAGGCCCAAAAAGAAAAUAAAAAAAUAAAAGAAAAAAGGGGGCAAUGUUACUAUCCUUUUCCACACUUGUGCUUCAAAGUAGCACCAUGUUCUUCAUAUAGAGAGUCUCAUAUGUUGUCACUUCCAUAUACUAGUGGGAAUUUUUCAUUAAAGAACUUGGCUUGUAUAUUCUUGCGAUGGGCUUCCUCAAAAUGCCCAAGGUCUUCAUGAGCAAGCAAGUUGGAUGCACACCCACUUAGUUUCUUUUGUUGAGCUUUCAUACAUUUAUAGCUCUAGUGCAUCUGUUGCAUGGCAAUCCCUACUCCUCAUGUUGACAUCAAUUGAUGGGCAUCUCCAUAGCCCGUUGAUUAGCCUCGUCAAUGUGAGACUUUCUCCUUUUUUGUCUUCUCCACACAACCUCCAUCAUCAUAUUCUAUUCCACCCAUAGUGCUAUAUCCAUGGCUCACGCUCAUGUAUUGCGUGAGAGUUGAAAAAGGCUGAAGCGCGUUAAAAAGUAUGAACCAAUUGCUUGGCUGAAACCGAGGUUGUUCUAGAUGGGAGUAUUUUGUGUGAUGAAAAUGAAACAUAGCUUAACUAUAUGAUUUUGUAGGGAUGAACUUUCUUUAGCCAUGUUAUUUUGAGAAGACAUGAUUGCUUUGAUUAGUAUGCUUGAAGUAUUACUAUUUCUUAUGUCAAUAUGAACUUUUAUUUUGAAUCAUUUGGAUCUGAACAUUCAUGCCACAAUAAAGAAAAUUACAUUGAGAAUUAUGCUAGGUAGCAUUCUACAUCAAAAAAUUUGUUUUUAUCAUGUACCUACUCGAGGACGAGCAGGAAUUAAGCUUGGGGAUGCUCGAUACGUCUCCAACUUAUCUAUAAUUUUUGAUUGUUCCAUGCUAUUAUAUUACCCGUUUUGGAUGUUUAUGGGCUUUACUUUACACUUUUAUAUCAUUUUUGGGACUAACCUACUAACCGGAGGCCCAGCCCGAAUUGCUGUUUUUUUUGCCUAUUUCAGUGUUUCGAAGAAAAAGAAUAUCAAACGGAGUCCAAACGGAAUGAAACCUUCGGGAGCGAUCUUUUUGGAACAAACGUGAUCCAGGGGACUUGGAGUGGACGUCAAGCAACAGAGGAGGCGGCCACGAGGGUGCCCGGCGCGCGCCCUACACGUGGGCGCGCCCCCACCCUCAUGGGCCCCUCGAGCAUCCAUCGACCUACUUCUUCCUCCUAUAUAUACCCACGUACCCUGAAAACAUCAGAAGCGACCACGAAAAACUAUUUCCGCCGCCAUAACCUUCUGUAUCCGCGAGAUCCCAUCUUGGAGCCUUCGCCGGCGCUCUGCCGGAGGGGGAAUCGAUGAUGGAGGGCCUCUACAUCAUCUCCAAGGCCCUUCUGAUGAGUUGUGAGUAGUUUACCACAGACCUUCGGGUCCAUAGUUAUUAUCUGGAUGGAUUCUUCUCUCUCUUUGAAUCUCAAUACAAAGUUCUCCUUGAUCUUCUUGGAGAUCUAUUCGAUGUAACUCUUUUUGCGGUGUGUUUGUCGAGAUCCGAUGAAUUGUGGGUUUAUGAUCAAGUUUAUCUAUGAGAAAUAUUUGAAUCUCCUCUGAAUUCUUUUAUGUGUGAUUAAGUUAUCUUUGCAAGUCUCUUCAAAUAUCAGUUUGGUUUGGCCUACUAGAUUGAUCUUUCUUGCAAUGGGAGAAGUGCUUAGCUUUGGGUUCAAUCUUGUGGUGUCCUUUCCCAGUGACAGCAGGGGCAGCAAGGCACGUAUUGUAUUGUUGUCGUCGAGGAUAAAAAGAUGGGGUUUAUAUCAUAUUGCAUGAGUUUAUCCCUCUACAUUAUGUCAUCUUUCUUAAUGCGUUACUCUGUUCUUUAUGAACUUAAUACUCUAGAUGCAUGCUGGAUAGCGGUUGAUGUGUGGAGUAAUAGUAGUAGAUGCAGGUAGGAGUCGGUCUACUUGUCACGGAUAUGAUGCCUAUAUACAUGAUCAUGCCUAGAUAAUCUCAUAAUUAUUCGCUUUUCUAUCAAUUGCUCAACAGUAAUUUGUUCACCCACCGUAAUACUUAUGCUAUCUUGAGAGAAGCCACUAGUGAAACCUAUGGCCCCCGGGUCUAUCUUUUAUCAUAUAAGUUUUCAAUCUACUAUUAUUUGUCAAUCUAUGAAGGGAUUGACAACCCCUUUAUUGCAUUGGUUGUGAGUUCUUGUUUGUUUGUGUAGGUGCGUGGGACUUUUGAGGAGCCUCCUACUGGAUUGAUACCUUGGUUCUCAAAAACUGAGGGAAAUACUUAUGCUACUUUGCUGCAUCACCCUUUCCUCUUCAAGGAAAACCAACGCAAGCUCAAGAGAUAGCACUUGCCCGAGAUUCGAUCGUCGGUAUCAUCAUACCUAGUUCAAUCUCGUUACCGGCAAGUCUCUUUACUCGUUCCAUAAUACUUCAUCCCGCAACUAACUCAUUAGUCACAAUGCUUGCAAGGCUUAUAGUGAUGAGUAUUACCGAGAGGGCCCAAAGAUACCUCUCCGAAAAACGGAGUGAAAAAUCCUAAUCUCGAUCUAUGCCAACCCAACAAACACCUUCGGAGACACCUGUAGAGCACCUUUAUAAUCACCCUUUUACGUUGUGAUGUUUGGUAGCACACAAGGUGUUCCUCCGGUAUUCGCGAGUUGCAUAAUCUCAUAGUCUGAGGAACAUGUAUAAGUCAUAAAGAGAGCAGUAGCAAUGAAACUGUAAUGAUCAUAAUGCUAAGCUAACGGAUGGGUCAUGUCCAUCACAUCAUUCUCCUAAUGAUGUGACCCCGUUCAUCAAAUGACAACACACGUCUAUGGUUAGGAAACAUAACCAUCUUUGAUCAACGAGCUAGUCAAGUAGAGGCAUACUAGGGACACUAUGUUUUCUCUAUGUAUUCACACAUGUACUAAGUUUCCGGUUAAUAAAAUUCUAGCAUGAAUAAUAAACAUUUAUCAUGAAAUAAGGAAAUAAAUAAUAAAUUUAUUAUUGCCUCUGGGGCAUAUUUCCUUCAGUCUCCCACUUGCACUAGAGUCAAUAAGCUAGUUCACAUCGCCAUGUGAUUUAACAUCAAUAGUUCACAUAUGUAUGUGAUUAACACCCAUAGUUCACAUUGCCAUGUGACUAACAACCAAAGGGUUCACUAGAAUCAAUAAUCUAUUUCACAUUGCAAUGUGAUUAACACCCAAAUUUUGCUAAGGUGUGAUCAUGUUUUGAUUAUGAGAGAAGUUUAGUCAACAGGUCUGUCACAUUCAGAGUCAUAUGUAUUUUGCAAAUAUUCUAUGUCUACAAUGCUCUGCAUAGAGCUACUCUAACUAGUUGCUCCCACUUUCAAUAUGUAUCCAGACUGAGACUUAGAGUCAUCUAGAUCGGUGUAAAAUCUUGCAUCGACAUAACUCUUUACGACGAACUCUUUAUCACCCCCAUCACCGAGAAACAUUUCCUUAGUCCUCACAAAGGAUAAUUUUGACCGCUUACCCCUUUGCCAAACUCAUGGCAAGGUAUACAAUAGGUCUGGUACACAGCACAACAUACUUUAUAGAACCUAUGACUGUGGCAUAGGGAAUGACUUUCAUUCUGUUUCUAUCUUCUGCCGUGGCCGGGCUUUGAGUCUUACUCAACUUUACACCUUGUAAUAUAGGCAAGAACUUCUUCUUUGACUGAUCCAUUCUGAACUUCUUCAAAACUUUACCAAGGUAUGUGCUUUGUGAAAGUCCAAUUAAGCAUCUUGAUCUAUCUCCAUAGAUCUUGCUGCCCAAUAUGUAAGCAGCUUCACCGAGGUCUUUCAUUGAAAACUCUUAUUCUGGUAUCCCUUUAUGCUAUCCAGAAAUUCUAUAUUAUUUCCAAUCAACAGUAUGUCAUCCACAUAUAAUAUUAGAAAUGCUACAGAGCUCCCACUCACUUUCUUGUAAAUACAUGCUUCACUACAAGUCUGUAUAAAACUAUAUGCUUUGAUCAACUCAUCAAGGCGUAUAUUCCAACUCCGAGAUGAUUGCACCAGUCCAUAUAUGGAUUGCUGGAGCUUGCACACAUUGUUAGUACCUUUAGGAUUGACAAAACCUUCUGGUUGCAUCAUAUACAACUCUUCUUUAAGAAAUAUCCAUUUAAGGAAUGUAGUUUUGACAUCCAUUUGCCAGAUUUCAUAAAAUAUGGCAACUGCUAACAUGAUUCGGACGGAUUUAAGCAUCGCUACAGUUGAGAAAAUCUCAUUGUAGUCAACACCUUGAACUUGUCGAAAACCUUUUUGCGACAAGUCGAGCUUUGUAGAUAAUAACACUACUAUCAGUAUCUGUCUUCCUCUUGAAGGUCCAUUUAUUUAAUAUGGCUUGCCGAUCAUCGGGCAAGUCCACCAAAGUCCACACUUUGUUCUCAUACAUGGAUCCCAUCUUAGAUUUCAUGGCCUCGAGCCAUUUCACGGAAUCUGGGAUCAUCAUCGCUUCCUCAUAAUUUGUAGGUUCAUCAUGGUCUAGUAACAUGACUUCCAGAAUAGGAUUACCAUACCACUUUGGUGCGGACCGUACUCUAGAAGACCUACGAGGUUCUGUAGUAACUUGAUCUGAAGUUUCAUGAUCAUCAUCAUUAGCCUCCUCACUAAUUGGUGUAGGAAUCACUGGAACUGAUUUUUGUGAUGAACCUCUUUCUAAUUCGGGAGAAGGUACAAUUACCUCAUGAAGCUCUACUUUCCUCCCACUCACUUCUUUCGAGAGAAACUCCUUCUCUAGAAAGGAUCCAUUCUUAGUAAUGAAUACCUUGCCUUCGGAUCUGUGAUAGAAGGCGUACCCAAUAGUUUCCUUUGGGUAUCCUAUGAAGACACAGUUCUCCGAUUUUGGUUCGAGCUUAUCAAGUUGAAGCUUUUCACAUAAGCAUCGCAGCCCCAAACUUUAAGAAAUGACAACUUUGGUUUCUUGCCAAACCAUAGUUCCAUAAGGUGUCGUCUCAAUGGAUUUCGAUGGUGCCCUGUUUAACAUGAAUGUAGCUGUCUCUAAUGCAUAACCCCAAAACGAUAGUGGUAAAUCGGCAAGAGACAUCAUAGAUCGCACCAUAUCUAAUAAAGUGCGGGUAUGACGUUCGGACACACCAUUAUUCUUUGGUGUUCCAGGCGGCGUGAGGUGUGAAACUAUUCCGCAUUGUUUUAAAUGAAGGACAAACUCGUAACUCAAAUAUUCUCCUCCACGAUCAGGUCGUAGAAACUUUAUUUUCUUGUUUCGAUGAUUCUUCACUUUACUUUGAAAUUCUUUGAACUUUUCAAAUGUUUCAGACUUGUGUUUCAUUAAGUAGAUAUACCCAUAUCUGCUCAAAUCAUUUGUGAAGGUCAGAAAAUAACGAUACCCUCCAUGAGAAUCAACACUCAUUGGACCGCAUACAUCGGCAUGUAUUAUUUCCAAUAAAUUCCUAGCUCGUUCCAUUGUUCCGGAGAACGGAGUUUUAGUCAUCUUGCCCAUAAGGCACAGUUCACAAGCAUCAAAUGAUUCAUAAUCAAGUGAUUCCAAAAAUCCAUCUUUAUGGAGUUUCUUCAUGCGCUUUACAUCGAUAUGACCCAAACGGCAGUGCCACAAAUAUGUUGCACUAUCAUUAUCAACUUUGCAUCUUUUGGCAUCAAUAUUAUGAAUAUGUGUAUCACUACGAUCAAGAUUCAAUAAACCACCAGCAUUAGGUGUAUGACCAUAGAAGGUUUUAUUCCUGUAAACAGAAUAACAAUUUAUUCUCUGUCUUAGAUGAAUAAUCGUAUCGCAAUAAACAUGAUCUAAUCAUAUUUAUGCUCAACGCAAACACAAAAUAACCUUUAUUUAGGUUCAACACUAAUCUUGAAAAAAUAGGGAGUGUGCGAUGAUGAUCAUAUCAAUCUUCGAACCACUUCCAACACACAUCGUCACUUCACCGUCAACUAGUCUCUGUUUAUUCUGUAACUCUAGUUUCGAGUUACUAAUCUUAGCAACCGAACAAGUAUCAAAUACCCAGGGGCUACUAUAAACAGUAGUAAGGUACACAUCAAUAACCUGUAUAUCAAAUAUACCUUUGUUCACUUUGCCAUCCCUCCUUUCCACCAAAUAUUUGGGGUAGUUCCGCUUCCAGUGACCAUUUCCUUUGUAGUAGAAGCACUCAGUUUCAGGCUUAGGUCUAGCUUUGGGCUUCUUCACGGGAGUGACAACUUGCUUGACAUUCUAUUUGAAGUACCCUUUCUUUCCCUUUGCCCUUUUCUUUAAACUAGUGGUCUUGUCAAUCAUCAACACUUGAUGCUCUUUCUUGAUUUCUACCUUUGUCAAUUUUCAGCAUCACGAACAACUUGGGAAUUUCUUUCAUCAUCCCUUGCAUAUUAUAGUUCAUCACAAAGUUCCAGUAACUUGGUGAUGGUGACUAGAGAACUCUUUCAAUCACUGUCUUAUCUGGAAGAUUAACUCCCACUUGAUUCAAGCGAUUGUAGUACCCAGACAAUCUGAGCACAUGCUCACUGCUUGAGCUAUUCUCCUCCAUCUUUUAGCUAUAGAACUAUUAGAGACUUCAUAUCUCUCAACUCGGGCAUUUUCUUGAAAUAUUAACUUCAACUCCUGGAACAUCUCAUAUAUUCCAUGACGUUCAAAACGUCUUUGAAGUCCCGAUUCUAAACUGUAAAGCAUGAUGCACUAAACUAUCAAGUAGUCAUUAUAUUGAGCUAGCCAAACGUUCAUAACGUCUGCAUCUGCUCCUGCAAUAGGUCUGUCACUUAGCGGUGCAUCAAGGACAUAAUUCUUCUGUGCAGCAAUGAGGAUAAACCUCAGAUUACAGACCCAGUCCACAUCAUUGCUAUUAUAAUCUUUCAACAUAGUUUUCUCUAGGAACAUAUAAAAAACAUAGAGAAGCUAUAACAUGAGCUAUUGAUCUACAACAUAAUUUGCAAAAUACUAUCAGGACUAAGUUCAUGAUAAAUUAAAGUUCAAUUAAUCAUAUUACUUAAGAACUCCCACUUAGAUAGACAUCCCUCUAGUCAUCUAAAUGAUCACGUGAUCCAAAUCUACUAAACCAUGCCCGAUCAUCACGUGGGAGUAGUUUUCAAUGGUGAACAUCACUAUGUUGAUCAUAUCUACUAUAUGAUUGACGGUCGACCUUUCGGUCUCUAGUGUUCCGAGGCCAUAUCUGCAUAUGCUAGGGUCGUCAAGUUUAAUCCGAGUAUUCUGCAUGUGCAAAACUGGCUUGCACCCGUUGUAUGUGAACGUAGAGCCUAUCACACCCGAUCAUCACGUGGUUUCUCAGCAUGAAGAACUGUCGCAACGGUUCAUACUCAGGGAGAACACUUAUACCGCCGAGUGCCAAACCCUUUGGCUUCCAUGACCUCAAAUAGGAAAGGCCAUGACAACGAGUCAAAAGCUCUCGAAAUAUCUAACUUGAGGAACACAGUCGAGGCUCUCAUAGCAUGUAGCUUCCUUGCCACUUGCCUCACGAGGAGGAAAUUGUCAUGUAAAUGUCUACCUUUGAUGAAAGCCGAUUGGUUAGUCUCCACAAUGUCAUGCAUCUGCCUCCUCAAUCUAUUGGCAAGAGCCUUAGCAAAUAGCUUAGGGAUGCUAUGGGUAAGACUAAUGGGUCGAUAGUCUCCUAUUUCCUCCGCAUACGGCUUCUUGGGGAUGAGCACAAUGUGCGCCUCAUUUAGCUUCACAAAACCCCUACCAUCGCCCACGUAGAGCUUGAGCAUAGCCGCCAUGACAUCAUUCUUAAUAAUGGGCCACGCUUUUUUGUAGAAUGCAGCGAUGCACCCAUCUGGACCUGGUGCUCGGUCCGUGGGUAGCUCCUUAAUGACGCUCCAAACCUCUUCUUCCGUAAUCAUGAUUUCCAGCUCGCUAAGGUCCCAUGGCUGUAUGCCCAGGUAUUGCAAGUCUAGCGAAUGCUCUCUAGCUUGAUCAGUUCCAAUCAAACUCUCAUAUGCCUCAUAGAAAGCUUUCUCCUUGAGCUCUUGAUCUAUGAUCAACACCACAUCCUUCUUGACAUGAGAAAUAAAAUUUUUGGAUCGACGUCCAUUCGCCACCGCUUGAAACAAUUUGGUGUUGGCAUCUCCCUCCUUGAGCCAUUUCAUCCGGGAUCUUGCCGAUCAAUGGUGCGCUCUAAUGCCGCUAGACCCAGCAACGCAUGCUUCAAAGUUUUCCGAAGCCAAAUCUCAAGAUGCACCACUGCUCUAUUUUCCUGUGCACAAUCAAGUCUAUGUAUCACCCAUCGCGCCACACGCAUCAACAACUUUACGUUGCCCAUUUUGCGCUGACCCCAUGCUUGCAAGUGUCUUGCGGUAUUACGCAAAAGUGUGUCGAGCCUCUUGUAGGGAUCCUCAAUGUCUGGGUCACAAACCCAAGCUUCACUAACUGCUUCCUCGAAGCCCUCCAUCUUGGUCCAAAAUAUCUCAGACUUGAAUAUGCGCUUCGGGCUGAAACCAACACUCGUAGUGAGCAGAAGAGGUGCAUGAUCUGAAACCCCUGUGGACAUCGCCUGGAGCAGGUAUUCUGCAUUGUCUAACUCCCAGUCAACUGUGGUGAGAACUCUGUCUAUCUUCGUCAGGGUCGGGGCAUCUCUCUCAUUGGACCAAGUGUACCUCUGACCAUGCAUGUACAUCUCCUUGAGCUUGUGAUCAUCCACAAAAUCUCUAAACUUGCUCAUCAUCCUCCGAUUGAUGUUAGUAUUAUUUUUAUCUGUCGCUCUAAUGAUCAUAUUAAAGUCACCCAGGACCAUCCACGGUCCAAGACAUCCAACCCUCCGGCUCUUGAGGUCCUCCAAAAACUGUGUUUUAAGAUCAUCUCCUUGUGACCCAUACACCACCAUGACCCACCAAGGUUGCCCAACUUUUGUGUGCACUAGCCCAGUGAGAAAGUUAUCGUUGAGCAGAACAUUGUCCACCCUGAGAGCCGUGCUAUCCCAAGCCAGCAAAAUCCCACCCCGCGUGUCAACCGCCGGCACAUAAGCAUGACCAUCAAACGAUGGCCCCAAACAUUGCACUACGACAUAUUGAUCAAUUACAUCAAGUUUCGUCUCCUGAAGACACGCCAAGUUCACCUUCACCAUGCUCACAAAGUCACAAACGGCCUUUCGCUUUGCUUGAUUGUUAAGGCCCCUAACAUUCCAGCAGAUUACUUGUGGGUGCAUAUCCAUGGAUGAUAUAGAACACCAACACCGGGGGAAAAACACCUAGUUGGAGCAGACCACCACCGGCUGGCUCACAUGCAGCUCCUCAGCCACCGAGAUGGACUUGCCAAAAAGGCCAGCGAUAAUCCGGACAUGUUGCUCUUUUAGCGGUGGGUCGAACAGUGCCUUGAACUCUUGAAAUACUCCAUCCUCCACGGUUAGGUCAUCCGGGACCAACCCAAGCGCAUGUAACAACACAUUCUCCGCAGGGUUCUCCUUAGCAUGACUAGACGUGGAGCUCUUCUUGGCGGCCCUGGUGGUGCGCUUUGGUGUGAAAGGCGUAGCUUCCGGCCUUAGCUUUGAGGCUUCCACCUCUUUCAGGAGCGGGGGCGCCAACUUUUUAAUGAUAUUGGAGCAGAAAGACUUCAGUUUAGCAUAUGCGUCCGCCUCCUGGGCAGUCAUGCCCUCCAUUUCAUCCUCAUCAUGGCAAUUUGAAGCCACUGGCCCCAACUCCAGGGUCGCAGCCGAGCCCAAGUGCUCAGCGUGCUCCUCCUCCAUGCCGCAGGCGCCAUUAAUCUCCAGCGCGGCAUCCAAUCGGCAGUACCAGGCCGUGCCAUGCGUACCGUGCCUUCUCGCUCAGCAACAUCGCUACGAAAGAAUGCCUGGCUCGUGGGCAAGAGAGUGCUCACGUCGUUGCAUGGUGCAUGGGCAUGAUUCCCAUUAGGGGCCCCAGCAGGGUCCACCACCUCCAUCACUUUAUUGACUGGUAGAAUUUCAGUCUGGGGUGGGGUCGUCUCUCCAUUGUCCUGUUUCAAGGCAAGCAUUUCACCCGAGGACACGCACUGGCCCACCAGAUCACUUGGGUUGCGUGCGGUGGUGGGGGCAGUCUGAUCCUCCAGAAUGAGUGGCAGUGGGGCCGGCCUUCUUGUGCCUGUGUGCAGUGGGAUCCUAGGAAGGGGUAUCAUAGCCAUCCCAUCCCCCGAUGGGCACGUGGUGGGCCUCAGCACCAUCCCAUCCACCUUGUCUCCGUUGGUGGGACGACUGUUGCCCACUCCCAACUGGCCAUCUAUCGCCGCGCUGCUGGUGAGAGCCAAAGCCCCACUCAGCUCCUCCUCGCCGUUGGUGGUAUGCAGAUUAUCCGGUCCCCUCUGGCCAGCUGUCUCAGCAGAGUUGGUGAGAACUAGAUCCCCAUGCUCAUCUGAAUUCUCGGCCCUCGCACGUGUUGUGCUAUCCCCACGUUGUGCUCCGUUGUUGCCGCCUUGCGAAUUCGAAUUCCUGUCAAUCCUCCUCCCAAAAUCUUCCACCGGACCCACAUCUCUUGUCAGCCGGUCAAAAGCAGAGUUUCUGAUGGAUAGCCUGUGUCGAACUGUCAUUGGUGACCCCACCAGUCGCUCCACCUAUUGGGAACUCAUCGGCGGCAACUACCACGCCUGGCCAGCCCCGCCCUCAGCGCCCUGCGAACCGAUGCCAGCGGAGGCCACGCCCAGCUCCGGCGAGCCACUCCUAUCUCGAACACCGAACUGCCAUUGCGGGUGACGAGUAGACGCAACACCACCAGCGCCACCACCAGAGCCACCGAACGGACCUCCAUCCGAGCCAGGGAUGCCGCUCUGCCUGCUAUCCGACAAAGCACCCAAGAACAGCGGCUCCUCUAACUCAGACACCAAAUCAAGAUGGAUCAAGACCUUGUACCACAGCAGCGCAGGCUCCACCAGGGGAUCAACGAGACCCGGCUCGGGGAUGGCUAGCCAGCGGAGUGUGGGAAUGGACUCCGGGUGCGCCGUCCACACCGACAGGUUGAAUGAAGACAGGUCACGGCGGGAGUGCGUCUCCGGCGCCACCGGAUCCACCAAGCAGGCCGACCCAAGGAAAUCCUCAGCCACCUCCCGGUCCCAAGCAUGCGGCCGGAUGCUCUCGAGGACCAAAUCAACCUUGUACCGGAGCACAACAUGCACCGCUUGAGCUUGUCGAGUCCAUUGCCUAAAGUAUAGGCGCACGCCUUGAUGCUGGAGGAACGGGCGCGCGCCCAUGCUAUUGUGGUGCUUAGGGCGCGCGAAGAUGACAAGGAAAUCCUCCGGCCUGAAGUCGUGCACCGAGACCUAGUUCGAGUCGAUGCCGGCCUCCGCUGCUAGAGCAUCCACGACGAACUGAGGGGAAAUGACGCGCCUUGCACCACCCACAUAAGCAACCAUGGCGUACUUCAGCCGAUUCUCCAAUUCACCCAUGGAGCGGGAGCGAUGUACCACACAGAGAUCUGAGGGGAGCAUAUCUUCGUAGGGGGGGGGGGCUGUAGCCGGGGUGCCAUCAGCCGCGGCCACGCCGGGACCGAUACCUCAUUUGGGAACAACGGCGGGGGAGGCGUCGGAGGGGAACUUGGGCCGGCCAUCUGCACGACGGGUUACGGAUCUCUGUGCACCACCUUCGCCGCCGUCGCACGCCGCGGCUCCUCGACCGGGGAGGGACUCCACGGACGCUUGCAGUCCUUGGCCCCAUGGCCCGGCAAACCAUAGCGGAAGCAGAANNNNNNNNNNNNNNNNNNNNNNNNNNNNNNNNNNNNNNNNNNNNNNNNNNNNNNNNNNNNNNNNNNNNNNNNNNNNNNNNNNNNNNNNNNNNNNNNNNNNNNNNNNNNNNNNNNNNNNNNNNNNNNNNNNNNNNNNNNNNNNNNNNNNNNNNNNNNNNNNNNNNNNNNNNNNNNNNNNNNNNNNNNNNNNNNNNNNNNNNNNNNNNNNNNNNNNNNNNNNNNNNNNGAAGGCACUUGAAGCAGAGCGUCUCCGUGCCCGGCGAGAUCUCCCGGCGAGCCUGCGGCCGCGAGGUGUGGUGGGAGCCAGGCGCAUCCGGGGAGGGCCGCCACCUCCAGAGACUAUCAAUCACCCCCGAUCGAUCGGUCUUUCAGGAGACGGUAGUUGGUGAUAUAACAUUUUUGAUAAAGGAAAUAUAUUAAUAUCGCCAAGAUGCCAAUUGCACCUGGCCUCUGCAACAAUGCAAUACCCUAAUGGCAUUACGAAUGCACAUAGCCAAAAAACAAGAAAAAGAAGCUAAAAAAGAAAAGCCCCGCUAUGGAAUUCGAGUCCAUGCAGCAACAGUACAACCACCACCAAAACAACACCUGAAGUCCAAGUUCUCCAAAAGUGACGCCUCAAAGAAGGAAACAGUGCACAAGCGCCGUCGUCACCCGAUCGUAGAUCUUGGGUUUUCACCCCGAAGAUAGUCCCCCCUCUCAAAACAAUGCCUUCAACAAGACCAUUGCCAGGCACAACCAAUUAAGGCCAGACCUUGGAUUUUCACCCAGAGAGGUAAGACUUUGAACUGCACCUGUGCUGCCACCUCCACUUACAAAAUCCGAAACUCCAAGCAAGUUGCUCAUUGCCACAACUGCUCCAAUCACCAUUACCAGUCCUCCGAUCACGGCUUCCAUGACAUUCUCCACCUCUAACUUCACCAUGGAACUAACAUAUCCCAUGAUGGCAACAGAUAGCAGAGCUUCGCACCGCUCCCUCCUUAACGGAGAACCCGUGUGCACGACCGAAUCCCACCCGAUCCAGCAAUCUCCAGGCAUAACGCGCCCAUGGGAGUUCACCGGCGAAACCUUCCGGAACCCAACACUCCGACCAGAUCAAGAAGGACAGACGUCAGGCAGAUCUUCGUCUUGUCACUUGAGGAACCCUAGGACCGUCCCCUUAAAUCGGGCCGAGCCUGCUGCCCCCACGCCGCCGCGGCACCCCAGAUUAGAUUGAGGCGGUGCGCAGAUCUGGCUCGUAUCGGGAGCAGCACGGAUGCCGGGAAAGGGCACCUUGCCUGUAGCCAACAGCGCGCUGCCGCGCAUGGAGGAGCAGGCCACGCAAACACCAUGGCCGGCCGCCGCCUCAGCCUUGAAUCUGAGGGGAAAACGUCAUGCCACGAGAGAGAGCUCGCCCCGCCGCCGCCGUCCGCGGCACGGGCUUAGCCCGGUCGCCUCCUCCGGCGGCGGCGAGGGGAGGGGGGUGGAGGGGAGGGGCUUGAGAUGUCCGGCGGCUGGGUCUACCCCCGUGUCGCCAGUGAGAGCGACGCGGGGGUCGGGCUGGGCAGAGUAGGGGAUUUACCUAACCGCAUGGCACCAUUAUGAGCAUGGCACCAUGCCCGAGGCCCGAGGAAGGAGAAGGCAUUCACCAUCACUCGCACCUAAGGAUGACAAAUUUAUCCAUGGACAUGGAUAUCCAUGAAUAUCCGACCCGAAUGGAUAGGGUUUGGAUAUGUUUUUGUGUCCAUGGGCGGCGCCCAAACCCGACCCAAUUGUCCGUGGGUAGGGCAUGGAUAUAAUCUUGUACCCAUGGAUAUACCCAAACUCGACCCGAUAGGAUGACUUAAUGGGAAAAAAAAUCUGCUACCCCUGCCUCACGUUCACAUCUCCCACGGCAAUUUUACACUUUUUUUAUCUAAAACAUGCAUAAGAAAUUACAUCAUAACUUUUAUAAGUUGACAUUCAAUCCCCUCCAAAACAUACUCCAACACCACUUCCCUUAUUUUUGUCUCCUUCUUACACGAUUCGUCAUUCUCAUCUGUUAGAAAAAUACUAAAUGAUCUUAGGUUGUUACUGGAUGUUGAUUUACUAUAAGUGAAGUCUAGCCUGCCACGAGGUGAAGAAUGGAAGAGUUUAUGUUACUAUUGUGUUAAGUCUUAUUUAUAUGUUUCGAGAGGACCCAAUGGAUAUCCAGUGGACGUGAAUAUCCGUCGGAUUUGAACAUGGACAUAAUUUUUCACACAUAGAUUUUUUCAUGGGCGGGCAAAGACUGUCUUCAUGAAUAUGGAUAUGAAUUUGAUAUUGUUCAACCCGAUCCAAACCCGACCCAUUGCCAUCCUUACUCGCACCUUGUACCAAAACCUCCCAUGUUUGGGCCUUGCAGAGCUGCCGAGUCAUUGCCUCCUGUUGCCCAUCCCAGCUCCCCAUUUCCCUUGGAGCAACGGCACGAACUGUUCACCGCGCGCAGUGUAGAUUCCUUGUGGCGCAUCUUGUUGGCUUUGUCUUGAUUACAGCCAGCGCCCAUACUAGUCCCAAAUUUUCUCACCCCCGGUAUUUAACCCCAACAGGCCAAAGCCAUAGAAAAAUAGGCUCGUCUGCUCAAACCAAAAAACGUAGCUCCUGCUUCUGAUCACAGUACUUUUGUGGAUCUUUGUGAUAAGAUCUUGUACUUUGUCGCUUGAUUCCGGUGAAGUAGUACGAGAUGAAGACGACGACUUUAUGUCACACGAUGGACUCACGCGGGUGCUACCGGCUCUCUGUAAUAAACGGAGCAUUGAUACAGUACCGAGCGGAGAGGUGCAUUGGCGGCGCGCCGGCCCCGGCUGGAUCAGGAAAGGGAAGGUGGCGACUGGCGAGGAGGAGCGGUAGCCGCUCGUAGGCAGCAGUAGUAAGGCCUCUUUUGAUUCAAAGGAAUUCUAUAGGAUUUCUGAAGGAUUGAAAUCCUUAAGAAUUUUUCCUAUGUUGGUUCUUUGAUUCAUAGGAUUGGAUCCCACAGGAAUUUUUCCUAUGGAAUCUUUUGUACUACAUUUCAUAGGAAAUCUAACAUCCACUCCAACCUCUUUUUACAAUUUCUUUGCUUUUUUUGUGCCAUCAAACACUCCAUGCUAAUCCUGUAGGAUUCAUGUGUGCAUGUCACUCCAACCCUAUACUUUUCCUAUUCCUACGAUUUGAAAAUCCUGCGAAUCAAAGAGGGCCUAAAAGUGAUAGCAGGGCCGCAGAUGAACACCAGCCAGCGCACGGCGCCACCUUAAAUUCUCCUCACCGGCCAACCACUCCCUGCCCUCCCCGUCCCCGUACCUACUAGUUCCCUCGCAUCCAUGCUCGAUCAGGGUGAGCUUGGCCGUUCCCGUUGUUGUUUCUUUCUUUUCGGAAGUGAUGAUCUUUUUACGGUGUUAUCUUGAUCUUUCACGAGAUUUUGAAAAGGGCAGAUGGAGCGCAUGGGAGCUCUGUGCGAUGCGCGGGCCGAAAGCAUGGCCAAGUGCCCACUGGCGACUGUUGCGACGCAUCCUGGUCGAUCGCUGUCAUGCUGUACCCGCUCUCGCCCACGCUGCCUGCCAGCACUAAAUGGCGGCAGGUUGCUAGUGUAGUACUGCUCCCUCGGCUGAGCAUGUUAUGUUACUACUCCACUGACAAUGAUCACUUGCAUUUCUUUCCCACGUCCACAUGCAAUGUACCCUUGCUCACCUCUCAUUAUGCGUCCUGAUCAUCCUUAAUUUGGUAGGCCCGGAUAAUUAUUUAAUCUAGUGUACUUAGCAAAUGAUGGUGAUUAGCUAAUUAUUACCACGACUACCCACUUAGAGAGCGCAUUUCUGUCAUACUCUAUAUUGUAGAAAAACACAGGUAGUAACCAUGUCUUGGUCCACGCCUCCACGGCGUCGGAUCGUAACGAAGGAAUCGGAGAUCGAUGGACAAUGUUUGCCCAGCCGCUGGAGCAAGGCUGGUACCGCAUUUACUGCUCGGCUCACAGAGAAAUAAGAAAUUAACACAAGGGUUUUCUGUCUGUCCUCUGGUCCGGCGCGUCUCGCUGGAAGGCAGGCAGGCAGCUGGAAAUGUGACGCCCACGCACGCUACAUGACCGCCAUCCACGGUUGACGGUGCAAGUAUACUACGCAGUACGCAUACGGAGGAGAGGAGUACUGGAGUAACUACGGGCCUCUGUGGCCAGCCGCGACAGAUCUCACCGUACGUGUAUGAUUUCCAUCGGGCUGGUAUGGGACAGGGGCUAGCUGGCCGAGAGGACGGCAAAGAUGUCCAACGUUUGAAGCAGUGACCGGUGACACUGACGCUGCAUUUACCGGUUUACGUACGUACGGGUGCAACACCUACUAGAGUCUCCUGUCUUUCAAACUCUUUGCAAAUUUACGGUUUUACUAUUGUUUAUAAAUGUCAGAAAAGAACAUGUAUUUCGUAAAAACGUUAUUUUUGGCGUGGAACACGGGAGAUCUUUAUUCAACAGAUCGGACCUAGUACAAUCAGCAAUCAUACUGCUAACUAGUGCUAGAAAAGAAGGAACAUAAUCCAACCAGCUCUCAAUCACCAUUAAAGGGUGAUGCUCGCUUGUCAUAUAGGUGGGCUGGGAAGUUGGCUGGCUGAGAAUGUUGAAUAGAAAACAAACUAGAAUCUGAAGAUAAAUCCCUAUUUCCAAAACAAGCGGAGCACAGCCGAACGAGAGUUAUGGCGAGAAUUCCAGAGGUGCACAAACUCUAGACGGUCAAUCUCCAUGACGACGUCUUUAAUGCUAUGAGCGUUGUAAAGACUAUACCGCCACGGAGCGCCAAAGCUUCAACUAUCAUAUGAUUUGGAACCCCAUCAUGAGGUUUACACCAAGCUCCUAGAAAACCGGUAGCGGAUCUCGCUACCCCUCGAGCUCCGUCGUUCCUUUGUUUCGAUCUUAUGACGGGAUCAGUGUAUAUCUUGAUACAAAUGACAUCCAGGGGACGCUAGCCAUGACGUGGAAGGACAAUGGCCUGGUCAUGCGAUAGCUCGAGAAUAACAAGUGUUUCUCUAAUGAUAUGCAUACAGUUCUCUAUAUAUGACCUUUCAUUGUCGCGUGUCCGUCUAUUUCGUGAUUUCCAGAUGGACCACGUUACCAAAACAAUAGUGACUUUGUCUCAAACGGGGACACGGUCGAGGAUCACAUAGAAUAUCAUGUGCCCAUGAGUUGGGAUGAAGUGGAGGUGGCCGGAAAUCAAACCAUUGUUGAGCUUCAUCCCAAAACCUCCUUGCAUGUGAAUAAUGGAUCAAAGCAUGCAUCAUGUCCUCCUUUGCCAAGCAUAAUUUGCAUAAAUUGCUAUCAGCAAUAUGCCUUCUAUGUAUAGAGCUUUCAUCUAGUACUAUAGCCCUGAGGACCCGCUACCAGUUAACUGUAAUUUUUGGCACUACAUUGAGCUUCCAGAAUGCAUUCCAUAACUGUGAAUCAGUCUGUGUGGUGCUUGUUGCGCCCUUUCUUCUAGAGCCAAACGCUCGUUGUAAAUCACUACAGCACGGUAUGCAGAUUUAAUAGCAUAGGAACCAGACUUCACAAAACCCCAAGCCGGGAAAUCCUCCCCGUCACCAUUCCACAUCGGAAUGUUAAGAAUUGCAUCAACAUAUGUGGCAAAAAGGUAGAUCGGACCACAUCUCUCUUCCAAGUCCAGUUUCCAGAAUAGAUAAGCUCACUAACAUGAAGUAACCAUGUGUUGUCUGCGCUGAAGAUGGGUGUCAUUGUCAUGGUGUCGAGGACCCAUUUGUGCUCCUAAAUGGAAAUGGAAGCCCCAAUUUCAAUACUGAGGGAGUCCUGGACUAGGGGGUCUCCGGAUAGCCGAACUAUCAUCUUUGGCCGGACUCCUGGACUAUGAAGAUACAAGAUUGAAGACUCCGUCCCGUGUCCGGAUGGGACUUUCCUUGACGUGGAAGGCAAGCUUGGCUAUACAGAUAUGUAGAUCUCCUACCAUUGUAACCGACUCUGUGUAACCCUAACCCUCUCCGGUGUCUAUAUAAACCGGAGGGUUUUAGUCCGUAGGACGAACAACUAUCAUACCAUAGGCUAGCUUCUAGAGUUUAGCCUCUCUGAUCUCGUGGUAGAUCUACUCUUGUACUACCCAUAUCAUCAAUAUUAAUCAAGCAGGAGUAGGGUUUUACCUCCAUCGAGAGGGUCCGAACCUGGGUAAAAACAUCGUGUCCCUUGUCUCCUGUUACCAUCCGCCUAGACGCACAGUUCGGGACCCCCUACCCGAGAUCCGCCGGUUUUGACACCGACAUUGGUGCUUUCAUUGAGAGUUCCUCUGUGUCGUCACCUUUAGGCCCGAUGGCUCCUUCGAUCAUCAACAACGACGCGGUCCAGGGUGAGAUUUUUUCCCCGGACAGAUCUUCGUAUUCGGCGGCUUUGCACUGCGGACCAACUCGCUUGGCCAUCUGGAGCAGAUUGAAAGCUACGCCCCUGGCCAUCAGGUCAGAUUUGGAAGUUUGAACUAUACGACUGACGUCCGCGGAGACUUGAUCUUCGACGGGUUCGAGCCACAGCCAAGCGCGCCGCACUGUCACGAUGGGCAUGAUCUAGCUCUGCUGCCGGACAGUGCCCUGAAGGUCGCACAAGUGUCCGCUCCGACCCUCAGCUCGGAGCCGACCGCGCCGAUCGAGGAUGGGUGGCUGGACACCGCCUUGGGGGCUGCUACCUCUACGGCGAUAGAGCCGAAUAGCAACCCUGUCCUUUGUGAAGCUCGUGACUCCAAGGUGCCGGACUCCUCUCUGGACUCCGAACCUUCUGCGUCCCUACCAAUCGAAUCCGAUUGGGCGCUUAUUAUGGAGUUCACUGCCGCGGACAUCUUUCAGCACUCGCCCUUCGGCGACAUCCUGAACUCGCUAAAGUCUGUCUCUUUAUCAGGAGAACCCUGGCCGGACUAUGGUCAGGGAGGUUGGGACACGGACGAAGAAGAAAUUCAAUGCCCACCCACCACCCACUUUGUAGCCACUGUCGAUGAUUUAACCGACAUGCUCGACUUUGACUCCAAAGACAUCGACGGUAUGGACGACGAUGGCGGAGACGACCAAGAACCAGCGCCUACAGGGCACUGGAAGGCCACCUCAACUCACGAUGUAUAUAUGGUGGAUACACCCAAAGGAAGCGAUAACGAGGAACAACGGGAUGCUGCGAAGGAUAAUUCCCUCGAAAAGCAGUCAAAACGGCGACGUAAGCGCCGCUCAAAGUCCCGCCUCGACAAAGACAGCACCCAUACAGACCCAGCCACAGAGCAGGGCGAACCGGUGGACGACGAACAUGCCCUCGAGCAACCAUCCGAACAGAAUAACUUGGAUAAACAAUCCGUCCCCGGCGAAGAUAACAGUCCGGACGAUCUCACGCCGGACACAUCGUUGGAGCAGAAGAACCUCCACAAAAGGCUCGUCGCCACUGCACGUAGUCUGAAGAAGCAGAAGCGGAAGCUCAAAACAACGGAAGACGCACUCAGAAUGAGAUGGAGCAAAGUACUCAACACCGCAGACAAAUACGGCGAUAGUCGCCAAACAAAGAGCUACCCGAAGCGCAAACUACUGCCCGAAUUUGACGAGGAGGCCGUAGAGCCCCCACAAUCAAAGAACAAAGAGGCCGACCGGUCGGAUAGACGACCACAUGGCAAACAUAGAGCGGCAAGCGGCGCCGCACAUAAGCCGGCACGCGAUCCGCAUAAGGAUCCGCACCAAAAGGAUGGCCCGGUCAGGUCUAUCUAUGGACCAAGAAAGCAAGGUCUAGAAAGCAAUGCAACACGUCGAGUAUUCGAACAUCACGGCACACCCAAAUACAGGGGCGCCGCACACCCCCUAUGUUUCACCGUUGAGGUGUUGGAUCAUGAAUUUCCAGCGGGAUUCAAGCCCGUAAACAUAGAGGCAUACGACGGAACAACGGACCCUGGAGCCUGGAUUGAGGAUUAUAUCCUGCACAUACACAUGACUAGAGGAGAUGACCUCCACGCCAUAAAAUACUUACCCCUCAAGCUCAAAGGGCCAGCUCGGCAUUGGCUCAAAAGCCUCUCGGAAAAUACCAUUGGAAGUUGGGAAGAGCUCGAGGAUGCGUUUCGGGCAAAUUUUCAGGGGACUCAUGUCCGCCCUCCGGAUGCAGACGAUUUGUCACAUAACUCAACAGCCCGGAGAGUCAGCCCGCAAAUUCUGGAACAGGUUCCUCACCAAAAAGAACCAAAUAGUCGACUGUCCGGACGCUGAAGCCUUAGCAGCUUUCAAACACAACGUCCGAGACGAAUGGCUCGCCAGACACCUUGGCCAAGAAAAGCCGAGAACAAUGGCCGCACUAACAAGCCUCAUGACCCGCUUUUGCGCGGGAGAGGAUAGCUG